CUAUAAGGUGGGUAUAAGGUUGUUGCCUAUAAAAUGGCAACUUAAUGGGUGUCCACUCUCACCUACCGCUUGCUUGACUGGUGGAGGGUCGUUAGCCGAACGGGUAGGACAAGGACUUAUAAAUUCUCAUUAAAAGUAUAAUGAUAAUUAUAAAGUAACUAAAGUUUUUAUUAAAUUCCCAAUCUUAGUUACUUUAGGAAAAAUGUGAAUAAGGUGCUAAUCCAUGAAAUUACAAUUUACACUUUGUUUAAGUCGUUGGUGGAGCGUGUGUGGUUAACCGGCACACUAACUUGGACUUAACAAGGUAGGUAAAGGGUGACUUAAAGUUUAUUAUAGUAUCGGUGGAGCGUGUGUGGUUUACCAGCACAUCGAUUGAGUGAUAAACUUUAAGGGUACCAAGUGAUUUGCAUGGUUACUUCACACCUCGUUUUGUGAUCCUCGGNNNNNNNNNNNNNNNNNNNNNNNNNNNNNNNNNNNNNNNNNNNNNNNNNNNNNNNNNNNNNNNNNNNNNNNNNNNNNNNNNNNNNNNNNNNNNNNNNNNNNNNNNNNNNNNNNNNNNNNNNNNNNNNNNNNNNNNNNNNNNNNNNNNNNNNNNNNNNNNNNNNNNNNNNNNNNNNNNNNNNNNNNNNNNNNNNNNNNNNNNNNNNNNNNNNNNNNNNNNNNNNNNNNNNNNNNNNNNNNNNNNNNNNNNNNNNNNNNNNNNNNNNNNNNNNNNNNNNNNNNNNNNNNNNNNNNNNNNNNNNNNNNNNNNNNNNNNNNNNNNNNNNNNNNNNNNNNNNNNNNNNNNNNNNNNNNNNNNNNNNNNNNNNNNNNNNNNNNNNNNNNNNNNNNNNNNNNNNNNNNNNNNNNNNNNNNNNNNNNNNNNNNNNNNNNNNNNNNNNNNNNNNNNNNNNNNNNNNNNNNNNNNNNNNNNNNNNNNNNNNNNNNNNNNNNNNNNNNNNNNNNNNNNNNNNNNNNNNNNNNNNNNNNNNNNNNNNNNNNNNNNNNNNNNNNNNNNNNNNNNNNNNNNNNNNNNNNNNNNNNNNNNNNNNNNNNNNNNNNNNNNNNNNNNNNNNNNNNNNNNNNNNNNNNNNNNNNNNNNNNNNNNNNNNNNNNNNNNNNNNNNNNNNNNNNNNNNNNNNNNNNNNNNNNNNNNNNNNNNNNNNNNNNNNNNNNNNNNNNNNNNNNNNNNNNNNNNNNNNNNNNNNNNNNNNNNNNNNNNNNNNNNNNNNNNNNNNNNNNNNNNNNNNNNNNNNNNNNNNNNNNNNNNNNNNNNNNNNNNNNNNNNNNNNNNNNNNNNNNNNNNNNNNNNNNNNNNNNNNNNNNNNNNNNNNNNNNNNNNNNNNNNNNNNNNNNNNNNNNNNNNNNNNNNNNNNNNNNNNNNNNNNNNNNNNNNNNNNNNNNNNNNNNNNNNNNNNNNNNNNNNNNNNNNNNNNNNNNNNNNNNNNNNNNNNNNNNNNNNNNNNNNNNNNNNNNNNNNNNNNNNNNNNNNNNNNNNNNNNNNNNNNNNNNNNNNNNNNNNNNNNNNNNNNNNNNNNNNNNNNNNNNNNNNNNNNNNNNNNNNNNNNNNNNNNNNNNNNNNNNNNNNNNNNNNNNNNNNNNNNNNNNNNNNNNNNNNNNNNNNNNNNNNNNNNNNNNNNNNNNNNNNNNNNNNNNNNNNNNNNNNNNNNNNNNNNNNNNNNNNNNNNNNNNNNNNNNNNNNNNNNNNNNNNNNNNNNNNNNNNNNNGGUUUUACCUUUUCAUUUGAUAAUGAAGUUGGUUCAAUUAAUGCUUUCUUUAAUAAUAUUCUUUAUUUUAAAGCAUUACCUUGUGAUGCUGUGUAUGAAAUUGUAUAUGUGGUUGACAACUUAGGAAAUAAUGUUUUGUGUAUUGAUUCUCUGAAUAAUAAUAACUUGGAUAAAGCAUCAUUAUGGCAUUGUAAUCUUGGACAUAUAAGCAAGAAACGUAUAGGCCAACUCCAAAAGGAUGGAGUCUUGGAGUCAUUUGACCUAAGGUCAGAUGAUAGUUGCGAAUCAUGCUUACUUGGAAAAAUGACAAAGUCACCCUUUACAGGUUCUUGUGAGAGGGGUGAAGGNNNNNNNNNNNNNNNNNNNNNNNNNNNNNNNNNNNNNNNNNNNNNNNNNNNNNNNNNNNNNNNNNNNNNNNNNNNNNNNNNNNNNNNNNNNNNNNNNNNNNNNNNNNNNNNNNNNNNNNNNNNNNNNNNNNNNNNNNNNNNNNNNNNNNNNNNNNNNNNNNNNNNNNNNNNNNNNNNNNNNNNNNNNNNNNNNNNNNNNNNNNNNNNNNNNNNNNNNNNNNNNNNNNNNNNNNNNNNNNNNNNNNNNNNNNNNNNNNNNNNNNNNNNNNNNNNNNNNNNNNNNNNNNNNNNNNNNNNNNNNNNNNNNNNNNNNNNNNNNNNNNNNNNNNNNNNNNNNNNNNNNNNNNNNNNNNNNNNNNNNNNNNNNNNNNNNNNNNNNNNNNNNNNNNNNNNNNNNNNNNNNNNNNNNNNNNNNNNNNNNNNNNNNNNNNNNNNNNNNNNNNNNNNNNNNNNNNNNNNNNNNNNNNNNNNNNNNNNNNNNNNNNNNNNNNNNNNNNNNNNNNNNNNNNNNNNNNNNNNNNNNNNNNNNNNNNNNNNNNNNNNNNNNNNNNNNNNNNNNNNNNNNNNNNNNNNNNNNNNNNNNNNNNNNNNNNNNNNNNNNNNNNNNNNNNNNNNNNNNNNNNNNNNNNNNNNNNNNNNNNNNNNNNNNNNNNNNNNNNNNNNNNNNNNNNNNNNNNNNNNNNNNNNNNNNNNNNNNNNNNNNNNNNNNNNNNNNNNNNNNNNNNNNNNNNNNNNNNNNNNNNNNNNNNNNNNNNNNNNNNNNNNNNNNNNNNNNNNNNNNNNNNNNNNNNNNNNNNNNNNNNNNNNNNNNNNNNNNNNNNNNNNNNNNNNNNNNNNNNNNNNNNNNNNNNNNNNNNNNNNNNNNNNNNNNNNNNNNNNNNNNNNNNNNNNNNNNNNNNNNNNNNNNNNNNNNNNNNNNNNNNNNNNNNNNNNNNNNNNNNNNNNNACACUAGUAAGUCAAGAUGACCCUAACAGCUACGAGGAAGCCAUGGCAGGCCCCGAGUCUGCUAAAUGGAAAGAGGCUAUGGAUAGCGAGAUACAAUCCAUGUAUGACAAUCAAGUUUGGAACUUGGUUGAAAAUGUACCAGGUCGUAAGACAGUAGGGUGCAAAUGGGUCUUCAAGAAGAAGACCGACAUGGAUGGUAAAGUACACACUUAUAAGGCUCGACUGGUUGCAAAGGGCUUCUCUCAAAUUCCUGGAGUGGAUUAUGAUGAGACCUUUUCUCCAGUAGCCAAGAUUAAGUCUAUUAGGGUUAUGUUAGCCAUAGCUGCAUUUCAUGACUAUGAAAUAUGGCAAAUGGAUGUCAAAACCGCUUUCCUUAAUGGAAAGUUGACUGAAGAUGUUUACAUGAGUCAGCCAGAAGGUUUUUUCAGUAACGAGUACCCUAAUAGAGUGUGUAAGCUUGAGAAAUCCAUCUAUGGAUUAAAGCAAGCACCUCGCAGAUGGAAUCUUUUCUUUGAUGAGAAAGUCAAGGAAUUUGGCUUUUCUAGGAGUGAAGAUGAAUCUUGUGUGUAUGUCAAGGCAAGUGGGAGUACAGUUAGCUUUUUGGUAUUGUAUGUGGAUGACAUACUACUCAUAGGAAAUGACAACCCAACUCUGCAGGAAGUUAAGUCCUGGCUUGGGAAGUGUUUCUCUAUGAAGGACCUAGGAGAAACUGCCUAUAUUUUAGGGAUAAGGAUUUUGAGAGACCGGAGUAAAAGACUAAUUGGACUUAGUCAAAGUACCUACUUGGACAAGGUGUUGAAGUGAUUCAGCAUGCAUAACUCCAAGAAAGGAGAGUUACCCAUCCAGAGUAACGUUAGAUUGAGUAAGACACAAAGCCCUAGUACUGAGGCGGAGUUAGCAGAAAUGAGUCGAGUGCCUUAUGCUUCGGCAGUAGGCUCGAUCAUGUAUGCUAUGACUUGUACUCAACCUGAUGUAGCCUUUGCCUUAAGCAUGGUUAGCAUGUAUUAGGGGAACCCUGGCAAGGCUCACUGGACUGCGGUAAAGAAUAUCCUCAAGUACCUACGGAGGACUAAGGACUGGGUCCUUACCCUCGGUGGGAGUGACGACUUGAGAGUUGUAGGGUAUUGUGAUGUUGGCUUCCAGACUGAUAAGGAUAAUUUCCGCUCUCAUUCGGGCUGGGUCUUUACCCUAAACGGAGGAGCAAUCACUUGGAAGAGUUCCAAGCAGGAGACAGUGGCUGAUUCCAUUUGUGAAUCAGAGUAUAUAUCAGCGAGCGAGGCAGCAAAGGAGGCUAUAUGGCUGAAGAACUUCAUUGGAGACCUUGGAGUAGUACCAGCUAUAAAGGAGCCCAUGGAAAUUUUCUAUGAUAGUGAAAGUGAUGUUGCCUUAGCCAAGGAACCAAGGGAUCAUAGGAGAUCCAGACACAUCGACAAAAAAUAUCAUUUUAUCAGACAUCGCAUAGAAGAAGGAAUCCUUGUGGCAAAGAGGGUAUCAUCGGAUGCGAACCCAGCAGAUCCCCUCAUGAAGGCACUGAGUAGGGUUAAGCAUCUCCAGCAUGCUCAGAGCAUAGGGUUGAAGGAUGAUAUAAGUUUUAGUAGUUAGAUAAAUUAUGAAAUUUGUAAAGUGUAAUUGACAUUUGAUGAUGAAUAAAAGUUGUGUUUAUUUAUGAGUAAAGUGUUACUAUCUUUUGUCAAUCGUUUACUAUAUUUAUUUUGCAUGUUUUGACUUCCAGAAUAAUUAUGUUUGGUAUAUCAUAUUAUUCGAACCUCCACAGUCGGUCAUAUGUCGGAAGUAGGUAUGAAUCAAGACUGUCAUGAUUGGUUGCAGAGGUCUAAGGUGUUGGACAUGGCUACAACAAUCAUGAGUGCUCAUAAGUUCUGAGNCAUAUUAUUCAAACCUCCACAGUCGGUCAUAUGUCGGAAGUAGGUAUGAAUCAAGACUGUCAUGAUUGGUUGCAGAGGUCUAAGGUGUUGGACAAGGCUACAACAAUCAUGAGUGCUCAUAAGUUCUGAGCAUUGGACUCAACCCAUGCUCACUGGAAUCACUUCAUGGAAUUUUAUCUCGAGUGAUCGUGAGACGGUAAUAUCAUAUAAGUCUUCAAACCUAGAGAUAUGAUUUGUUACUUACGAGUUGGUUAUGCAUUGAUUGUACGAAAACGCAUUGGUAACUCGAUGUUAUAAAACGUGCUUUUGUGUAUAAUUCAAUGAGUGGUAGAACAAACAUAUGAGUCGAAGUUUAUCUGUUCCUUCUUGGAUUAGAAGCUGAUAUCUGGGCCCCUCGAUGAUUUUGUUUUGACCUAUGUACCGGGCCCGGUCAGAACUAAGUUGAUGUGUUCAAUUAAGUUCUUUGUCAAACAAAUCGGAAAUCGGGAAACAAACUGCUGGACAAUAAGUAAGACAUUGUUCCAUGUAUUUGUCCGGCUGAUAUCUAGAAUAGAGGAUUAUAUGAUCACUUAUCUUAAAUGGCGUAUCAACAUCUUCUCAGUUCCGAGGGACCUUGAAAGAGCUACGAUUGUCGAUCAGUUCCUGAAGUAUAACAGUUACAGUUAUUAGACUUAUCCAAGUGGGAGACUGUUGGAUAAGGUGUCUAAGUCCAUAACUAUUUCUGGUAAGUACUUAACCCGACCCGGCAUGGUCCAUUUGGGUUGCAUGGCACCAUGCAAUUGGAUAAACUAAGUGAGAGAAAUAACACAUAUGAUUUAUUAAUAUAUUAUAAGUUCUAAUAUAUGAAUAAUAUUGUUUAAUUAGUUUUGAUCAAGAAUUAAUUUAAAUUUAAUUAAGUGAUCAAAAGAUAACUAAUUAAAUAUAUGGGUAGAUUAUGUAAAUCUUCCAUAUCUUAUAUAGUGGGCUAAGAGGCUCCAUGGAUUAUCAAGUUGGGUUCCACCCAUAGGAUGCUCCAUGGAGUUAACCCAUGGAUCAAGAAAUGAAGAGUCAUGGAGCAUUAGGGUUUACCUAAUGCAACACACUAUAUAAGCAACGUAACUCUCCCCAAAAUCGGCUACACUAAGAAACAAGAGGGCUUGGCCGAUUUUGCAUGUGUUAGAGUAUUCUGUCAAGUUUAUUCUUUGCAUUUGGUGUUGUGUGAAGCAUUUGAGGCAUCACACUUGAGGUGCUAGGCUCACUAGGUUUCAAGGAAUACUUUCAACAACAAGGUAUGUAGUUCUAUCUUUUAUACAAAGAAAAUUAUACCCCAUGUAUGCUAGAUAGGUUCAUAACCUUGGAAAACAACUUUACAUGAUUAUUAGACAAACAUAGAUCCAAGGUUAUUAGGGUUGCAUGUACACUUAGGAAGUGUUAGAAUGCUCAAAACCCAUCAUCUCUUUUCUUCAUGUUUUUGUAUGUAGAUGCUUCAUCAAGAACAAUCAUGAUCAGCUUACAAAGUUCCAAACCAAAGCUGAUGAAGCUAUCUUUCUUGGAUACUAUGCUAAAUCAAAGGCUUAUCGAGUUCUUAAUCGGCAAACUCGUGUUCUGGAAGAAAGCUUUGAUGUUACCUUUGAUAACAAUUUCGUUCGGAAUUCUGGCCCAACCCAUGUUAGAAAUCAUAUCAUGGAGUCCGAUGCUCCAGCGCCAGUAUGUCCGAACCAGCAAAUAGUCUAUGAAGUUGACUUUGAAACCUUGUUCAGACCCUCAGAAGGAGCUCUUGAUUCGAAAUCUCGAACAAGACAAACCUUAUUAGCCGAAUCUUCGGUUUUCCAAAAUGUUUCAGGUCUGACACCCAGUUUUCCUCCAUUUGAUUACAAACUAUUACAACCUUCUCAGUUUGAGGGGGAGAAUGGUAAACAUUCCCUUGAAUCAAGUGUGGUUGGAUUCCUAGAUGCAGUUGCUGAAUUCGACUCCAAUCCUAUCAACAGCAAUGAUGAUGCAAAUUUCUUCGAUUUCCCACCUAAUGAUGAUGUCGAUCUAUCCGGUUCAGAAGUUCAGGGGGAGCAUCAUCCACAAGUUCAAACUAUUCAAGGGGAGCAACACAACCUCAGUGUUGAUAUUGGAUCAUCUAUUGCACAAGAGCUUCCAAAACUACAUGUUUGGACUAAGGAUCAUCCUACGAAUCAAGUUAUUGGAAAUCCAAACGCUGGUGUACAAACUCGUUCUACCAUAAGUGUUCAAAAUGAAUGUCAUUUCUCGGCAUUUAUCUAAAUGGUUGACCCUAAAUCCAUUAAAGAAGCACUAGAACAUGCUGAUUGGAUUCAGCCAGGUAGGAAGAACUGGCAGAAUUCAAUAGAAAUAAAGUAUGGAGUCUCGUCCCUCCUCAUCAGAAUCAUCCCAUUGUUGGUACUAGAUGGGUGUUUCGGAACAAACUAGACGAUGCAAGAGUCAUCAUUCGGAAUAAAGCAAGAUUGGUGGCCAAAGGAUUCACACAGAUCGAUGGGCUUGACUACGAUGAGACCUUUACUCAUGUUUCCCGUCUUGAACCUAUGUGAAUCUUUCCUCCUUAUGUUGCUCACAAAGGCUUAAAUGUUUAGCAGACGGACGUCAAAAGUGCCUUUCUAAACGGUGAACUUGAUACUGAAGUGUAUCUCCAAUAGCCCCUCAGUUUUGUCAAUCUCUCAUAUCCGAACUAUUGCUACAAAUUCCGAAAAGUUAUGUAUGGCCUUAAGCAAGCUCCUCGCGCCUGGUACGAGACACUCACCGACUUUCUCAAUCGUUCAGGUUUUCAAAGAGGUAUUCUAGAUCCUACCCUGUUCCGAAGGUCAAAUGGAAAACAUCUCAUUCUUGUCCAAAUUUAUGUUGGCGACAUCAUUUUUGGAUCCACUGAUUCAUUAAUGGUUGAUGAAUUUGCUAAUUUAAUGGUUAGUCGGUUCCAAAUAAGUAUGAAUCGUGAACUAAGCUUAUUCCUAGGUCUCCAAGUUAAACAUACCAACAGAGGAGUUUUCGUUCACCAAGAGAACUACAUCUCAGAACUUCUCAAAAACUACUCGAAGGACACUUGUGCCUCUGCCAAGGUACCUAUGGGUUUCAGACACAAAAUAUUUUCGGACCCAUCCGGUGUUGCAGUUGAUGAAAAGAAGUACAGGGGAAUGAUUGGAUCCCUACUCUACCUUACAUCAAGUCGUCCAGAUAUCAUGUUUCCAACAUGUUUGUGUGCCAGAUUUCAAGUCAAUCCAAAGAUGUCUCAUCUCUUGGCCAUUAAGCAAAUAUUAUGAUCCCUCAAAGGUACAAGAAUCUAGGAAUUUGGUACCCAGUAAAUGAGAGUUUCAUCCUUCAAGCAUAUUCCGAUUCAAACUAUGGCAGUCUUAAAUUGGACAGAAAAAGCACAUUUGGUGGCUGACAAUUUUUAGGUAGUCGAUUGGUCAACUGGUCAUCUAAGAAGCAGAAUUGCAUUGCACUCUCAAUAGCUGAAGUAGAAUAAAUUGUUGUUGCUAGCUACACAUCUCAAGUUCUUUGGAUGAAAUCUCAGCUCUUGGAUUAUGGUUACCAGUUUCAACAAAUCCCAAUCUAUUAUGAUUCUCAAAGUAUCAUUGCAAUUUCGCACAAUCCAAUUCAACACUCUAUGACGAAGCACAUCGACACAUGUUUUAAGUUGUACAUCUCAUCUCAUCAUAUGAAGUCUAUGACCAAUAUAGUCACAUUGGUAGAAGUCUCACCUAGGAACUUAAUUCAUAAGAUCAUCCCGGAAUUCAAGUCUGUAACGGUAUUGAACCCUAACUCUUUGUCCAAGAUUAGAUUCUUCUUUUUUGAAUCUUUUCAAAAGUUUGCUCCGGAAUCUUUUCAAAAUUUUGCUCUGGAAUCUCUUGAAAAUUUUUCUCCGGAACCUUUUCAAAACUCACUCCAAAACUUUAUAAAAUGUUUCACUCUGGACUCUUGGCUCCGAAAUCCUUAAAAAUUCAAUCCGGACCAGAUGACUCAAUUGCUUCAUUCCGGAACCUAUUUCAGACCUUUUUCAUGUUUCGAGAUCACUAAUUUUUUUUCGGACUCUUCAUGAUAAGAAACUGUUUUCAAAACAUUUCGGAGCCCUAUGGUUCCGAUAUCAAAUCACAUGACGAAGUCCAAAAGGUUUUUAGGCGUAACGUUUUUUAACGGUUACUUUUUAAUGAUGAUUAUCAUUUCACCCUCGAAACUCGCUCCUUGUUGCACGUCUUUGUAAAGUAAACAUCACAUCAACCUAGUGAUGGUUUCUAUUUUUCACUUCAAACCAUCGGAAUCUUUAGUCACUACAGGUCAACUCACCUAAAUACGACAACAUAAUUAAUGCGAUCCAUUUCCAUUUUCGGGUUUCAUCAUUACACCUCCAACCCGACCCGGUUCCUCAACCUAUAAAAACCCUCCUCAAACCUUCUUUUACCCUUUACGCACACAAAAAAGCUACAGUCCUUCUUCUUUCUCUCCCAACUGUGCCUUCAUCUUCUGCAACAAUGGCGUCUUCUUCUCCUUCCAAAGUCUAUCAAAUCAUUCAUGAAGUCACUCAAACUGCUCCCAAAGUUCCCAAAACUGCUGUGAAGAAGAAAUCAUCAAAGGGAUCAUCAUCACCUCGGUCCAACGAACCCUUUCUUAGAGACAAGACGCAACUAUUCUCUCUUGACCCCAUGGAUUCCGACGAGCCCAUUAUAGUUAUGAUUGAGUUCGUUGUUCAUCAUCCCAUAGCCAUUCUGCUCACCAAGAUACUAGACCCACCAAUCCCACUUUGUCUUCUUCACACAUCAAGAUCAAGAACGAUGUUCUUGAGACAAAGAUAAUCGGUGAUCGCAUAGUUUCUGUUCGUAAGUCCACGUUUCUCAAGGCAAUUGGAAUAAAAUAAAAUCCUUCAGACUUCAAGGUACAAGAACCCACAGCAGAAGAAUUUCAACUGUUUCUCACUCAAAUUGGUUAUGUUUAAGAAUACAAAGCCAAAAAGUUCAAGAAAUCAGUUGUCUUAGGCCAUUAGACCAUCUUGAUGCACUUCAUUGUCAGAGGUUUAUCUGGCAAACAUGGAGUUACAGAUACCCUUAGCAAAGAUUGGUUGUACAUGGUUUAUAGCAUUUUCUCUUUCAAGAGCAACGUUGUUGAUCUUUCUGAAGUCUUGUGGAAAGAUUUUUGGAAGUUUUCCAUCAAACGGAAGCCAAGCGAUAUUUCCAACCCUAGAUUUUUGGCCCUAACGAUCCAACAACUAUAUCGUGAGAUGUCCGAACCAAUUCCAGUGGAUAUGAUUCUGAGAGAGGUAUCUGUUUCUUCCAAAACUGUUAGACAUUAUUGUAUUCUGGACCAAACUUCAUUCGGACCAACUAGACAUUUACUGGAACAUAUGUUAGCCGUCCUACAUUCCAGAUCCAAUCAUUUGAAACAUCAUAUGGAGACCUCGAUUGUUUAUAGCCCUACACAAUCUGCCCUAGUCCCCGUUGAGCCCACUCCGGAAGUGGCCAAGACUGUUCCUUCAGGUGGUAAGAAGAAGAAAUCUGCCAAGAGGAAAUCAUCUCUUUCAAUGCCAAAAGCCAAAAAGAGAACCAAAGUCGGUUCCUCCUCUCAACAGGAAGGAGCCAAGGACAUUUCGGGUGACUCUGGCCAUCCUCCUACCCCACUUACCCACUCUUCUGAAGUACCCUUCGGAGCUUUAAUAUCACAAGCACACACAUAUGGGGAGUCUCCUCAUAAUCCACCCCCACCUUCCCAAAAAGGUGGUGCCGGUGUUGACAAUAGUUCCUUGCCCCCUAGAACAAACCCAUGAGUCUCUUUUGAAAUCCCAAUUCCUUCAACACAAGCACAAUCUGAAACCCUUGUUCCACGCCCCAAGCAUUCCAAAGGUGGAGUAGUCCCUCCAACCUUAGGUGCCACAACUAAUCUGAUACCCGGUAAGGGUACAAGAUGACCAGGUGCUAAUGAUCCUUUGUGGGAAGAUUAUGUUGACAGGGCUCAUUCAAGACAUCCGGAACUCACCUGGCCUCAAUUUGAACCAACUCUCAUCGUUAUGAGGAAUAGGGCCAUUCAUAGCAACAUGCCCUUCGUUACCUAGGAAAUCAUAGAUCUGGAGUUUGCUUCCGGAGAAACACCAAAUACUCAUCUCCAUGAUGCUAUGCACUCUUAUCCAAUGAAGAACUUUCUGAUGAUGUCAUGUUCGAUGAUGAAGGUGCUUCAAUUGCUGCUCUUCAGUUUUUCUCCUCAUUUCCCUUUCAUACAAAGCCAUCCUCGUCAAGGCCAGAUUUCGACUUCGAAAUCUCAUCAUCCUUUUUGGAACCGGUUGAUGAAGAAGUUCAAAUAUAUGAUGAAGUCCAAGUCAAUCUUGAAGGUGAAACUGAAUCAACUCCCAAGUAUGUCAACAUUGAUACAACCCAACUUAGCACAUCUGAACAACCAGUAAACCAAAAAGAUGACAAGUACAUGUCCCGGACUUCCACUUCAGACACUGGAUCUUCUACUGGAAAUUACAUCGAUCUGUUUGCCCUUCUGGAACUCCGAGACAAUGUCUCUAACACUAUGAAGAAAGUCAAUGCCAUUGAGUCCUCUGUGGCCGGACUCAAUACCAAGCUUGAUGCAAAGGUUCCCGCACUGGAUUCUAAGCUUGGUGCAAUUCUUACAUCCUUGUCCGAUGUCACCAGAUCCUCACCAAUGGUUGUUGAACGUGAAGCUUAGCUUGAUCAUCUUAUCUAUCUUCGUCUAAAGCAUACAGUAGAAGAAGUGGAAAAGAAGUCCAAUGAAAGCUUGGAUCACUACCUUGACACCAUCAACAUAAUGCUCAAGGUCCAAGAAGACAUGAUUGGGGCCACCAAUGAACUUAUUAAGCAAACUCAUGUUCCUCAUGAGAAACAAAUUAAAAGGAUGGAGAAGGAGAUUAAUGUCACACCCUAAAACCGGAACGGCGGAAACUUUCUGGGGUGGAGGACGUCAUGUAAUGUAUCACAACAAUGUAAAGUAGUAAACAAGCAACAACAUCAUCCAUUGCAUUAAUAGUAUAAUUUUACUUACAAGUGUAUUAUUUCAUAGUAAUAACAACAUAAUGAAUACUCAAAAUAAAAGACGAGUCUUGACUGCUCCGUCUCUAAACCUUGCAUCGAUACCUAUCUAUUUGUGACCUGAGAAUACAAGUUAUUUUGAAAGCGAGUAUCAGCUUUAAAGCUGGUGCAUUCAUAAGUAUUUAAUGUUGUUAAUUAUAUAAGUAUUAAUGAAAAGUCUUAUAAGUAAAAGUGUAAACGUUUGAAUUCCCUAGAAAAUCCCAUAUUUCCUACUAGUAUAAAAACGUAGUCUUCUACCAAAACUAGACUGUUUUGAAAGUAGUCUUCUACCAAGACUUAAGUGAAAGAAAGUAAGCAAGUAAGUAGUCUUCUCACGAGACCUGCUAUAAGUAAGUAGUCCUCUCACGAGACCCGCUCUAAGUAAGUAGUCUUCUCACGAGACCCGCUGUAAGUAAGUAGUCUUCUCACGAGACUCGCUAUAAGUAAGUAAUAAUAUGAUUGGCAGUCCUUAUUCUACGUUUGGAACUAAAGGUGACUUCCGUGUCACACCCCAAAACCGGAACGGCGGAAACGUUCUGGGGUGGAUGACGUCAUGUCAAGUAUCACAACAUAUGCAGUAUAGUAAUCAAAGUACAAUAACCAUUGCAUUAAUAGUAAUAGUUUUACAUAAGUUACAUUUUAUAGAGACAUCAAAGUAAUAUAGAAACUAGUAUAGAUGCAGCUCGGUUCUAGGCUAGCUUCACAAAAGCUCCCGGGUGUACCUGUCUAUUGCUGACCUGAGAAUAUAAGUUAUUUUGAAAGCGAGUAUCAUAAUAACUUUAUGAAAAGUAUUUAGUGUCAUUUGUGUAAGUAAGCAUUUUAUUCAAAAUAACUUUAUGAAAAGUAGUAGUUUAGAAUCUACGGUGUAUUAGUGUCGUUUCCAGAAAAUCCUAUAUUUUCUAAAUAAAAGCAGUCUUCUACCAAGACUCGAUAGAGUUAUGUUUUAAAGAGUAAUUUUCCCUUAAAUACUAUCAUUACCAAAAUAUGGUAUUUGACUUUAAAGAAAGUAGGAGAAUAUCACUAGUAAAAUACUAGGGGAAAAUAACAUAUGCCUCAGCAGAAAUACUGUUGACUAAGGCAAAAGAAAUCAUAGACUCCAGGAGAGUAUCGAAUGAAUGAUACACCUGGCUCAGUCUAACGAAAGGAAACACAUACCCCAGACGGUAUCAAAUGUACGAUACGGCUAGCAAGGUCUAAAACAAGAAACACAGACCCCAGACAGUAUUGUGACAACCUGAAGUUCGUACCAUUAUUUGUAAUCCUUUUCGUAAUCCUUUUUCGUAAAUCCAUUUGUCGAUUCCAAAUUUGUUUCCGUUUACACGAUUAAGUUAAGUCAUUAAAUUGAGAUUGCUAUUAUGACUUAAUGGGUGUCCCAAUGCGUUUAGAACUCAUAUUAACACCCCAUACUUGUAAUCGGUAAAAUUUUAGAAUCGACCAUAUCGGGUUACGGCAACUUGAUCGAGUGCGACCAAAAGCCACGUCUAACGUUGGUAUCGGGUAGAAUUCCACCGUGUCCCGAACUUGAACCUUAUUUAAAGUGGUUUAAGCUUCCAUUUGAAGGUUUUGCUCUCUCUCACUACUCUCUCUCUCUAACCUCUCUCCUCAAACCAAAGAAUUAGGUCCAAAAACAUCAAUUUAAGGCUCAAAUUCAUCAAGGUAACUUCCUUAACUCAUAGUAUAGCAUCAUUAGCCUUCAAAUUCGGGUUUAAUCUUUGGAAAAGGACCAUAUUCAUGAGCUUACGGCCCUAGAACAUGCUUGGGACGUAAACACAUAUAAAGAGGGUUUUUGAGCCUUAAAAUCCCUCCAAACCAACUUUGGGGCUUAGAUAUGACCUAAUGGCUUAUCAAUUCGGACUUAGAACACCUUGAAGAUCAUUUUUGAGGAGUAAACAUGAGUUUACUGCCCAAGAACAUGCUUGGGCCGUAAACUCAUCUUCAUGGGGAGUAAACUCAAAAUAAAGUGUUUAAAUGCCACUUAAACACACCAAUAGCCUUGAGUUAAAUUCUAGAACCAACCACAAUCGAUUUAGGGUCUUUAAACAUGAUGAAAACCACUCCUUUGAGUGUUCACGGCCGUAAACCCCCCAAGAAUGGGCUCCUGGGCCGUGAACUCACAUACACAAGUCAUAUGAUGCCUUAAACUCAUUCUAAGGCUUAUAUAAUUGGUUUGAAUCACUUGUGAUUGAAUUAGGACCACCAAAACACUUUGUGAAUAGGCACACAAGAGCUUACGGCCGUAAACACAUAGUUUACUGCCGUAAACUCCUCUAAUGGUCCUUAAAAUGUUCAAAAUACUUUCCAAUGCCUUAAAGCUAAACCUAGAUUUAACCCCCAAAUGUUUCAAGGCCAUUUAGCACCCAAAAACACCACGCAUGAGUUCAUGGCCGUGAACUCAUGUGGAUGUGGUGUUUAGGGCCAAAAACUCUUCUAAGAGUUUACUAUUGAAGAGUAAACUCCAUUCCUAAGCCAUACAUGUCCGUAGAUGUCACCCAGGUCACUCUAAACACUUGAUUCAGUGUUUUCUCGCAUUGGAGUGUACUAGUAUAUUUAAUUAGUGGUUUAAAGUCUAAAUAGAUACAUUUGUAUAUCAUUUCAUAUUACAUAGGAACAUCGCGCAUUAUCAAGCCCCAAACCGACACUUAGCAUUCAAACCGUCGCGUUUUUCUCAUCUGGUGAGUUCAUACCCCUACCCUUUUUCAAUGUUUUUCACUGUUUUCAGGGGGAAUACAAGCAAAGUACAAGGGAAUACUUGUACUCAAAACUUGUUUUACAUGUGUUGUGUUUCAUAUUACAUAUGUUUUUAACACUGAUAAUCGUAACAGAUAACCGUUUGAACUUGCAGAACACUUAUUCAGAUUAUUUGUGAAAUACGUUAUAAAAUGUUGUAUUUUAUAUUUUCACAAAUGGUUUUCCACAGUUAAUCAGUUAAAAGCAUAACAUUUGAACUUGAACAUGAAACUUAGUACACUGUUUUGUCCUCGGUAACACUCCACAGAGAUACGCGAGUGGAGGAUCAUUGUUUGUAACAGAUUCUUUCUGUAUUAUUACUAGUAAAUUUGCUAUUCCUAUAAAUUGGAGACACGUCCUCGGUGAACACUCCACAGAGAUACGCGAGUGGAGGACUGCACCCGUAACCAGAAUCUCUUGGAUAGGGAGCGUGACUUGAGUGUAUAGAUCUAUACGGGGCUGACUACCCCGCACCUGGCUGCUAGCUACAGCCGAACCGAAAGGUUCAAGGGUGACGAAAGUCAUAAAGUGAUUUGGACUACUUAUUGCCAUAUCUAGUCUAUCGUAUGGUUAUGGAACUCGCAAUUUGGAUAACAGAUAUUUACUAAAUAGUAAUAAUGAAUAAAGUAACUAUGUUUACUUUGUACAUAUUAGUUUUAUAUACGUGUUAAAACUAAUACAUUUCACAAGUUAUCCAGGUUUUCGGUAUACAUCUUUUACAUUACAUAUCGGAUGGAUAACCAACAUUCAGGAAAAUAUGGGAUUUUCCUGGGGUAACAUUUGUACAUAACCAGAAUCAUGUAACAAUUCAUAUAACUAAACUUUACAAUUCAUAAGGGUAAACAUGUUUUCAGUGUACAUCUUUUACAUUACACUUUGGAUUCGAUAACCAACUUUUAAGAAAAUAUGGGAUUUUCUUGGUGCGUAACUUUUUCAGAAACAGAAAGGAACGUGUACAUUUUCAGAAAACAAAGCCACUUAUGAACUCACCAGCGUUAUGCUGACUUUCAAACUGCUUGUAUUCUUAGGUCCGCAUUAGACAGGUACCCGAUGAUUCCUUUUGGCGAAGAUGGAGUGCAUAGAAGACACGUCUUACUUUUGUUCAUAUAUACUAUGUAACACACUUGUACAACUUACUUUUGAACAAAUGUAAACUUUCAUAUGUAAUGUAAUGGUUGUUUACUUUGCUUACUACGUACAUUGGAUUUGAUACUCAACGUGGAGUCCGCCCCGGAAAUGUUUCCGCCUUCGGUUUUCGGGGUGUGACAGAUUGGUAUCACAGCAUUUGUUUAUAGUGAAUAAAGUAUACCAAACCUUACAUGGUAUAAGACUAUAAACACUAAGGGGCCUAAGUGCUCUGAACUAAAAGUAUACUUCAUAGUACAUGUAUUUUCAAAAAUAUACAAGUAUACCUAACCGUCGAGAUCCGUAGCUACAAGUAGAACAAAACAUAAGUAAAUGGGUGUCGUACGUUGCGGUUAAACCUAGGCAAUUAUGUAGUCGUGUCUAGGAUCAAUAUAGCCUGGCCAACUAUAUUCAUUCGAGACACGGCCAACAUGUGUUUGGGAGUGAUUGUGGUGUGCGGCAUGCCUAAAACUUACCCUAAUACCACAAACAUCAAGCCGGUGUCGUAAGCGAAUCAUGAAAUACUAUGGGAGUAUUUAUCGAGCCAAUCCUUUGUAGAAAUCCUCGUUCACGCGUUGUUCCUCGAUCAUUCCUUUAACNUCUCUUUCUUGAUCUUAUUAGAUCAAGAUGCCUCCAAGAAAGAGACCCAGCUCAAAGACCAACAACCCUCCGCCACCACCUCCUCCUGAAAUUGACCCUGUGGUGUUUCAGGCAGUUGUUACCGCCGCGGUGGCAGCUGCUAUGUCUCAAAUGAACACUGGUGGUUCCGGUGGUUCGGGAUGUGGUACCCAAACUCAAAACCAAGAAGGAAAUUAGGGACACAGUAAGGAGGGUUCCUAUAAAGACUUCAUGAACGCGAAACCUACAUCCUUCGAUGGCACUGGAGGUGUCAUUUCCCUUUCUCGAUGGUUCGAGAAAAUCGAAUCUAUCUUUGAAAUUUGUGCCUGUUCGGAAUCCGAUAAAGUGAAAUUCGCAGCCUAUACCUUCAUUGAUAAAGCUCUGACUUGGUGGAACGGCCGAGUCAAAUCCCUAACCCUACCCAUAGCCAAUGCCAUGGGUUGGGAAGCCAUGAAAAAACUCCUUCUAGCUGAGUACUGCCCCCGUGGUGAAAUGCAGAAAUUAGAGCACGAGCUCUGGAACCUGAAGAUGAAAGGUUCUGAUAUAGCUUCAUACACUUCUAGAUUCGCUGAUUUGGCACUUCUCUGCCCGGGAAUGGUUACCCUGGAAAAUAAGAAGAUAGAGAGGUAAAAACUUUUUCGCUUUCUCUCUCUACUUUCUCUCUCUUCCCUUGAUUCUUGCUGACGGUGGUGCGAUCUAGUUUCGAUUCAUCGGUGCUGCUUUUCCGACGUAUUUCUUUUAGUUUGGUAAAGCAGUUUCUCUUCUAUUUCCAUUGUCUUAAUGGGAGCAUCAUCCAAAUNNNNNNNNNNNNNNNNNNNNNNNNNNNNNNNNNNNNNNNNNNNNNNNNNNNNNNNNNNNNNNNNNNNNNNNNNNNNNNNNNNNNNNNNNNNNNNNNNNNNCGGCCGUAAACUCUAAGUAUGGUGUGUUUUUUAUGCUUUCAAGUCCUUUGCACUUGUGGUAUAGGUUCUAGACUUAUAUUCCAAGCAUAUGAAGGCAUUAGGCACACCUUGGUGCCCCUUUUAGGAGUUUACGGCCCAAGAACCAUGUCUUGGCCGUAAACUCACUUUGUUAAGUGAUUUUGAUGUGGUUUGGUCCCUCAAAUAAGUGGGUAACAAUUUCUUGUAGAUGUCUAGGGCUUUAGGUGUCAUGAAAACACCCUUUUGUCCAUUUCAAUGGAGUUUACGGCCUAAGAUACACUUGGGCCGUAAGCUCUCAUUUGUUUGUGUUCUUUGAUGUGUUUAAUGCCCUUGAGUUAAUGGGAACAAGUCUAGGUAAUUGUCUAAGGCUUUAGGAGCCUUAAAAGUACCAUUUAGAGGUUGAAAAGGGAGUUUACGGCCUAUGAAUCUCUUGGGCCGUGAACUCCCAAACUUGGGUGAUUUAUGGAUGUUUUCUUGUCCCUAACAUGCAUACAUAUGAGUCUAAGGCUUUAGCAUAACACAAGGGUAGGUUUUGGCUUCGUUUCGGGAGUUUACCGCCCAAGAACACCUUGGGGAGUAAACUCCUAGAUCUAAUGAUUUAGCCAUCUAAAUCAUGUUAUGAGCAUCUAAUAAGCAUUCUAACACUACUAGAAAGAGUUACUCACGUUUUGGUAUAAAAACCCGAAGAUCCGUGAGAGAGAAAACGGCUUUUCUCUAGUUGGAAAUGUGAAUAAUGAAUAAAUUUGGUUCAGAAAUCUAUUUAUAGUCCUGAGAUAUUUUGGCAGAAAAUAUUUUUAUUCCAGAAAUGAUCUCUAAUAUAAUAGAGUGUUGGAAUAAUAGUGUUGCACAAAACCCUAGUGCACCCACNCUGUUGCACACCCCUAGUGCAGCCACUCUCCUGAUAUUUCCUGAAGUGUAAACCCUGAAUUACUUUAACUUACGCGAAAAAGUCUGAAAAUUUACUGUGAGUGCUAUAACUUCUAUUGAAGUGAUAUAGUUUGUAUAGAAUGGAAAUUUCGGGUUGUCACACAUAGACUUCAGUUGUGGAGCUCAAGUAUUAAACAAUGCUAAUCAAAGAUUUGCUAAAUUGCAUAGACAUCUAUUAUGGAGAUCAGGAAUUAAACAAUGCUAAUCAAAGCUUUCCUAAAUUGUGAAGAUUACUUCUAUUGUGGAACUCAAGAAUUAAACAAUACUAAACAAAGCUUUGCUAAAUUGCAUCGACUUCUAAUGUGGAACACAAGAGUGAAACAAUGCUCAUCAAAACUUUGCUAAAUGGCGAAGACUACUUUUAUUCUGGAGUUCAAGAAUUAAAUAAUGUUCAUCAAAGCUUUGCUAAAUUGGAUAGACUUCUAAUGUGGAACACAAGAGUGAAACAAUGCUCAUCAAAGCUUUGCUUAAAUUGCAUACACUUCUUUCGUGGAACUCAGGAAUUAAAUUUUGCUCAUCAUAGCUUUGCUAAAUUGCAAAAACUACUUCUAUUGUGGAACUCAAGAAUUAAAAAAUGCUCAUCAAUGCUCUGCUAAAUUGCAUAGACUUUAAAUGUGGAAACAAAUAAUGAAACAAUGCUCCUCAAAGCUUUGCUAAAUUUCAUAGACUUCUAUUGUGGAACACAAGAGUGAAACAUUGCUCAUCAAAGUUUUGCUUAAAUUGCCUAAACUUCUAUUGUGGAACUCAAGAAUUAAACACUGCUCAUCGAAGCUUUGCUAAAUUGUAAAGAAUACUUCAAUUGUGGAACUGAAGAAUGAAACAAUGCUCAUCAAAGCUUUUCUUAAAUUGCAUAAAGGAAACUUCUAUUGUGGAACUCAAAAAUUAAACAAUGCUCAUCAAAGCUUUGCUAAAUUGCGAAGACUACUUCUAUUGUGGAACUCAAGAAUUAAACAAUGCUCAUCAAUGCAUUGCUAAAUUGCGAUGACUAUUUUUAUUGUUGAACUCAAGAAUCAAACAAUGCUCAUCAAAGCUUUGCUAAAUUGCAUAGACUUCUAUUGUGGAACUCAAGAAUCAAACAAUGUUAAUCAAAGCUUUGCUUUAAUUGCAUUGACUUCUAUUGUGGAACUAAAGAAUCAAACAAUGCUCAUCAAAGCUUUGCUUAAAUUGCAUAGACUUCUAUUGUGGAACUCAAGAAUUUAACGAUGCUAAUCAAAGCUUUGCUAAAUUGCAUAAACUUCUAAUGUGGAACUUAAGAAUGAAGCAAUGCUCAUCAAAGCUUUGCUAAAUUAUAUAGACUUCUAAUGUGGAACUCAAGAAUGAAACAAUGCUCAUCAAAGCUUUACAUAAAUUGCAAAGACUUUUAUUGUGGAACUCAAGAAUUAGACAACGCUCGUCAAAGCUUUGCAAAAUUUCGAAGACUACUUAUAUUGUGGAACUCAAGAAUUAAACAAUGCUCAUCAAAACCUUGCUAAAUUGCAUAGACUUCUAUUGUGGAACUCAAGAAUUAAACAAUGCUUAUCAAAGCUUUUUGCUAAACUAAAAACACUACAUCUAUUGUGGAAAUAUAGAAUUAAACAAAGCUCAUCAAAGGAUUGUUUAAACUGCAUAGACUUCAAUUGUGUAGCUCAAGUAUUAAACAAUGCUAAUGAAAGAUUUGCUAAAUUGCGUAGUGUCACACCCCGAAACCGAUGGCAGAAACGUUCCGGGGCGGAGGACGUCAUGAAGUAUCGCAACCAAUGUACAUAGUAAGCAUAGUAAAACACAGCCAUUACGUUACAUAGGAAAUUUACAUUUGUUUGAAAGUAAAGUGUUACAAGUGUUAUACAUAUAUAUCAUAUGAAGAAAAGCUAAGACGGGUCUUCUAUACACUCCGACUUCUCUAAAAGAUCACAGGGUACCUGCCUAAUGUGGACCUGAGAAUACAAGCAGUUUAAAAAUCAGCAUAAAGCUGGUGAGUUCAUAAGCGGUUUGUUUUUCUGAAAUGAACAAGUUUCCUUUGGUUUUUCUGAAAAGUUAUGAAUCCAAGAAAAUCCCAUAUUUUCUUAUAAGUAAAGGUUAGUUAUCCCUUAGUUACACGGUCUAGUUAAGAACAGUUCAGUUAUCCACAGAAAAACCCUUAUUUUCCUAAAAGUUUGUGUUUGGUUAUCCAAUCCAUGUGUAAUGUACAAGUAUCUACCAUACUUAAAAUGUUUGUGUGAAGUUUCCUGAAAGCCUGGCCAUACUUGAAAUGUAUGUUAGUUUUAACACGUAUAUAAAAGUAUUGUGUGAAAAAUAAACUAAUUCUUAAGGUUAUUAGCUUACUAAAUUCAUUAUUACCAACAAGUAAAUCUCCGUUAUCUAAAUUGCGAGUUCCGUAACCAUACGAUAGACUAGAUAUGGAAAUAAGAAGUCCAAAUCAUUUUAUGACUUUCGUCACCCUUGAACCUUUCGGUUCGGCUAUAGCUAGCAGCAAGGUGCGGGGUAGUCAGCCCCGUAUAGAUCUAUACACUCAAGUCACGCUCUCCCUCCAGGAGAUUCUGGUUACAUGGGCGGUCCUCCACUCGUGUAUCUCUGUAGAGUGUUACAGAGGACGAGUCUCCAAUUAUUAAGAUUAACGAAUUUACAAGUAAUAAUGCGGAAAAUCCUGUUUUAAAUUCUAAUUACAAAGACGAUCCUCCACUCGCGUAUCUUUGUGGAGUGUUACCGAGGACAAAUCAAAAGUGCUAAGCUAAUUCCUUUAACAAUACUGAAGUGGAAAAUCAUUUGGGAAAUUUACAAUAUAACACUAUAUAAUAAGAUUUGAAAUCGGAUUGUAAACUAACUCUACAAGUCAAACGGUUGGUUAAUACGGUUUCGAUUGUUAAAAGCAUAUGGAAUAUGAAACAUUUCAAAUAAAAUAAUAAGUUUAAGUACAAGAUAUCCUUGUACUUUUGCUUUUAUUCCCCCUGAAAACAUUGAAAAACACGGAAAAAGGUGUAGGGGUAUGAACUCACCAGACGGGAAUUGUGUCAGUUUGGAUGCUAAACGUCAGUUCGAGGCUCGGAAACGUGCGAGGUUCCUAUGUAACAUGAAGAGAUACACAUUUGUAUCUAAUUAGGCUUUGGACUACUAAUCAAAUAUGAAUAAACACUUCGAGACGCGAAAACACUUCAUUACAAGUGUUUGGAGUGACCCGGGUAGCAUCUAACGGGUGUGUAUGACUUGAAUAGGGAGUUUGCUCUUCAAGAGUAAACUCCUAAUGGAGUUUUCGGCCUAAUGACCAAGUCCCCAUGAGUUUACGACCGUAAACUCAUGGUGGGGUGUUCUUGGGUGCUAAUUGGCCUUAAAACACUUGAGGGAUGAUGCUAGGUUUGGUUCUAGGGCAUUGGAAAGGGAUUAAACCAAUCAUAUGGACCAUUUGAUGAGUUUACGGCAGUAAACUAGGAGUUUAUGGUUGUAAACUCUCACCUACUCAAUCCUUAUGUGUUUUGAUGUACUAGGUUAAUCACAUGUGAUUCUAACUCAUUUUACAAGCCUUGGAUGGAAUUUAGGGCAUCAUUUGACCAUGUUUUAGGAGUUUACGGCCCAGGAACCUAUCCUUGGGGGGUUUACAGCCAUAAGCUCCUAUGGGGAUGGUUUUCACUAAAGUUUAAGGUCCCUAACUUGUUUGUGGUUGCUUCUAGACUUUAUUCCAAGGCUUAUGAGGUGUUUAAGUGGCAUCUUAACACCUUAAAAGGGGUUUACUGCCCAUGAAAGGGUGUUUACGGUCCAAGCAUGUUCUUGGGCCGUAAACUCAUAUUCUACCCUCAAUUGAUAAGGUUUUGGUGUUCCAAGUCCAGUCUUGUAAGCCCUUAAGUCAUAUCUAAGCUCCAAAGGUGAUUUGGGAGGGUUUUUGGGCUCCAAAACCCAUUUUAUGUGAGUUCACGGCCUAGGACUAUUUUAGGGCCGUAAACUCAUGUUAAUGGUCCUAUUUCAUAGAUUAAACACGAAUUUGAAGGCUAAAGAUGUUAGACUAUGAGCUAGGAUUGUUACCUUGAUGAUUUGGAGCUUUAAUUUGAUGAUUUUGGACCUAGAGCUUGGAUUGUUGGAGAGAGAGUAGAGAGAGAGUGAAAAAGGCUUCAAAUGAGGCUUACUCAGCUUUAUAUAUGGUUCAGGUUUGGGACAUGGUGUAAUUCUACCCGAUACAGACGCUAACCGAGGCUUUUGGUCGCUCCCGAUUAAGUCGUUGUAACCCGUCGUGGUCGGAACUAUAAAUUUUCUAAGUAAUAAUUUGGGAUGUUUUCAUGGGUUUCUAACGUGUUUGGACACCCAUUAAGUCAUAAUAGAAGUCUCGAAAUAAAUGACUUAAUUUAAAAUUGUAAACGGAAACAAUUCGAAAAAGACGAAUUUUAAUAACGGAAGGGGUUACAAAGACGGGAUACACUUCAGGUAGUCACACAUAGACAUCUAUUGUGGAUCUCAAGAAUUAAACAAUGCUAAUCAAAGCUUUGCUAAAUUGAAAAGACUACUUCUAUUGUGGAACUCAAGAAUUAAACAAUGUUCAUCAUAACUUUGCUAAAUUGCAUAGACUUCAAAUGUGGAACUCAAGAAUGAAAUAAUGCUCAUCAAAGCUUUGCUUAAAUUGCAUAGACUUCUAUUAUGGAACUCAAGAGUUAAACAAGCUCAUCAAAGCUUUGCUAAAUUGCAAAGACUACUUCUAUUGUGGAACUCAACAAUUAAACAAUGCUCAUCAAUGUUUUGCUAAAUUGCGUAGACUUCCAAUGUGGAAACUAAGAAUGAAACAAUGCUCCUAAAGCUUUGCUAAAUUGCAUAGACUUCUAUUGUGGAACUCAAGAAUGAAACAAUGCUCAUAAAAGCUUUGCUUAAAUUGCAUAGACUUCUAUUGUGAAACUCAAAAGGAACAAUGCUCAUCAAAACAUUGCUAAAUUGUGAAGACUACUUCAAUUGUGGAACUCAAGAAUGAAACAAUGCUCAUCAAAGCUUGAGGCAACUUCUAUUGUGGAACUCAAGAAUUAAAUAAUGCUCUUCAAAGCUUUGCUAAAUUGCGAAGACUACUUCUAUUUUGGAACUCUAGAAUUAAACAAUGUUCAUCAAAGCUUUGCUAAAUUGCAUAGAUUUCUAAUGUGGAACUCUAGAAUGAAACAAUGCUCAUCAAAGCUUUCCUUAAAUUGCACAGACUUUUAUUGAGGAACCCAAUAAUUAAACAAUGCUCAUCAAAGCUUUGCUAAAUUGCGAAGACUGCUUGUAUUUUGGAACUCGAGAAUUAAACAAUGCUCAUCAAAACCUUGCUAAAUUGCAUAGACUUCUAUUGUGGAACUCGAGAAUUGUACAAUACUCAUCAAAGCAUUGCUUCAGCUGCAUAGACUUCAGUUGUGGAGCUCAAGUAUUAAACAAUGCUAAUCAAAGACUUGCUAAAUUGCAUAGACAUCUAUUGUGGAGCUCAAGAAUUAAACAAUGCUAAUCAAAACUUUCCUAAAUUACGAAGACUACUUCUAUUAUGGAACUCAAGAAUUAAACAAUGCAAAACAAAGCUUUGCUAAAUUGCAUCGACUUCUAAUGUGGAACUCAAGCGUGAAACAAUGCUCAUAAAAGCUUUGCUUAAAUUGCGUAGACUUCUAUUGUGGAACUCAAUAAUUAAACAAUGCUCAUCAAAACUUUGAUAAAUGGCGAAGACUACUUUUAUUCUGGAAUUCAAGAAUUAAACAGUGUUCACCAAAGCUUUGCUAAAUUACAUAGACUUCUAAUUUGGAACUCAAGAGUGAAAGAAUGCUUAUCAAAGCUUUGCUUAAAUUGCAUACACUUCUUUCGUGGAGCUCAGGAAUUAAAUUAUGCUCAUCAAAGCUUUGCUAAAUUGCAAAGACUACUUCUAUUGUGGAACUCAAGAAUUAAAAAAUGCUCAUCAAUGCUCUGCUAAAUUGCAUAGAAUUCCAAUGUGGAAACCAAUAAUAAAAAAGUGCUCCUCAAAGCUUUGCUAAAUUACAUAGACUUCUAGCUCAUCAAAGCUUUGCUAAAUUACAUAGACUUCUAGCUCAUCAAAGCUUUGCUAAAUUACAUAGACUUCUAAUAUGUACAAUAUUAUGGUGAUGUGUCUACAAAAGCAACAUGAUAUUGUACAUAUUGAUGUUGUAUCUUAUCCCAUGAGUUCGAUCUUAAAGCUAAGUAAACUCAAAAAUCACAGCACUUGUGAUUCCACUCGUUUGUAGACUUGUCUAGNAAUUUGGAACUCAAGAAUGAAACAAUGCUCAUCAAAGCUUUACUUAAAUUGCAAAGACUUUUAUUGCGGAACUCAAGAAUUCAACAAUGCUCAUCAAAGCUUUGCAAAAUUACGAAGACUACUUAUAUUGUGGAACUCAAGAAUUAAACAAUGCUCAUCAAAACCAUGCUAAAUUGCAUAGACUUCUAUUGUGGAACUCAAGAAUUGAAAAUCUUAAGAGUGCUAGUAUACCUUUCGUGAAUACUCUUUAUGGGUAUAUGAUUGAUAAGAAAUUGGCUUUCCCAGUGAUACAAAAAGAAGUCAGAAGAUUAUGGAAGAAUGUGGGACUUGAUGAGGUGUUUAUGAAUAAUAAAUGAUUUUUUUUCUUUAAAUUUAGUGAUGAACAGGGGAUGUUGUCUGUUUUGGAAGAGAGUCCAUGGCUAAUGUUCAAUAAUAUGCCACUUUUUCUUCAAAGAUGGAGACCAGGGUUGACUUUAACUAAGAAUAGUCAUGAUAAGAUUCCUGUUUGGGUCAAAAUAUAUGAUUUACCUUUGGAAGUAUGGAGUGGAGAGAAUCUGUGUAUUAUUGCUAGUAAAUUGGGAANUCAAAAGGGCUAUGGUAAACACCAACAACAAGUUCGAUGGUAAAUUGAAUACAAAAAAAAAGGCGCCAAAUGAGUACAAAUGCAAAAUUUAAUUACCCUCAAGAGUCAUUAAACAAUGCUCAUCAAAACCUUGCUAAAUUUCAUAGACUUCUAUAGUGGAACUCGAGAAUUGUACAAUGCUCAUCAAAGUAUUGCUUCAACUGCAUAGACUUUAGUUGUGGAGCUCAAGUAUUAAACUAUGCUAAUCAAAGAUUUGCUAAAUUGCAUAGACAUCAAUUGUGGAACUCAAGAAUUAAACAAUGCUAAUCAAAGCUUUGCUAAAUUGUGAAGACUACUUCUAUUGUGGAACUCAAGAAUUAAACAAUGUUCAUCAUAGCUUUGCUAAACUGCAUAGACUUCUAAUGUGGAACUCAAGAAUGAAACAAUGCUCAUCAAAGCUUUGCUUAAAUUGCAUAGACUUCUAAUGUGGAACUUAAGGAUUAAACAAUGCUUAUCAAAGAUUUGCUAAAUUGUGAAACUAGUUCAAUUGUGGAACUCAAGAAUGAAACAAUGCUCAUCAAACCUUUGCUUAAAUUGCAUAAAGACAACUUCUGUUGUGGAACUCAAGAAUUAAACAAUGCUCUUCAAAGCUUUGCUAAAUUGCAAAGACUACUUCUAUUGUGGAACUCUAGAAUUAAACAAUGCUCAUCAAAGCUUUGCUAAAUUGCAUAGAUUUCUAAUGUGGAACUGUAGAAUGAAACAAUUCUUAUCAAAGGUUUUCUUAAGUUGCAUAGACUUUUAUUGUUGAACUCGAGAAUUAAACAAUGCUCAUCAAAGCUUUGCUAAAUUGCGAAGACUGCUUGUAUUGUGGAACUCGAGAAUUAAACAAUUNGUAAACAGUUUUGAAAUUUUGGGGGUGUUUGAUGAGGAAGUUAUAAUUGGAAUGGAAGAGGAUGAUAGAGGAGAUAAGAAUNUCUCAUCAAAACCUUGCUAAAUUGUGGAACUCGAGAAUUGUACAAUGCUCAUUUGUGACAACCCGAAAUUUCCAUUAUGUACAAACUAUAUCACUUCNAAAUGGGGAUUAGAAAAGAAGAUUUAGAAUUGGUUAACAAUGAAAAUAAGAUAGAUAGCAUAAGGGAUAAUAAAAGCAGCAGCAAAGGUGAGUUUUCUCAGGCAUUUGAGGUGGUAAAUGUCAAGAAUAAUGUUGUUAUCCAAUGAUGUCGAUAGGUGUUUGGAAUAUCAGAGGGUUGAAUAAAGGAGUUAAGCAAAAAGAGGUUAUUGAUGUUAUUAAGGAGAAUAAUCUGGGGAUAUGUGCUGUGCUUGAAACCCAUGUCAAAAUAUUAAAUCUCAAGAGUGUUUGUGCUAAAACUUUUGGACAUUGGGAUUGGGUUUCUAAUAAUAGUUGUUGCGAGGCUGGAACUAGGAUCAUAGUUGGAUGGAAUCCUAGAAUUGUGGAUGUGAUGGUGAUUUCUCAAUCUAGACAAGUUAUUCACUGUUAUGUUAGAUUCUGUGAAUCUAAUUAUAGCAUGUAUUUGUCUUUUAUUUAUGCUGCUUCCAAUUAUCUGGAUAGAAGAGAUUUAUGGGAGAAUCUGAAGAAACAUAAAAUGGUGGUUAAAGAGGAUGCUUGGGGAUUAUUAGGAGAUUUCAAUGUGGCUUUAAAACAUUCGGAAUAUUCUGAAGGUUGUUCUAGUUUUCCUAAAGGUGUUGAAGACUUUAUUGAUUGUAUUAACUGUUUAGAUAUUGAGGACCUGAAUUCGACUGGUUUCCAAUUUACUUGGAACAAAACACCUGCUGGAAGUAUGGGUCUCCUGAAGAAAUUGGAUAGAGUGAUGACUAAUUUGAAGUUUGUUUCAGAUUAUCCUUUGGCUCAUGCUAUAUUCAAGCCUUAUCGAAUUUCAGAUCACUGUCCGGCUGUUCUUAAUAUACCAUUGAGUAAAAUGAGAUGGCGACCUUCUUUCAGAUUUGCUAAUUUUAUUACUGAGAAGGAAGAAUUUUUACCUAUGGUCAAGAAAGUUUGGGAUGAAAACAUUGAAGGAUUUUAUAUGUUUAAGGUUUGUCAGAAAUUGAAGAUUCUUAAAAAACAUUGUAGGGAUCUUUGUAACAGCUACAGAGGAUAUGGGAAGCGAAUACAGGAGCUAAGGAAAAAUCUGGAAAGUAAACAAAUGGAGAUUGAUUGUAAUCCUUUUGAUCAUAAGAUUAGGAAUGAGCAUGCUGAUCUAUUGCUCAAAUUUAAUGAAGCUUGUAAUGAUGAAGAGAAGCUUUUAUUCCAAAGAGCUAAAAUUAAAUGGAUUCAGGAAGGUGAUAAUAAUACUAAAUUUUUUCAUAGUAUUGUGAAGAGUAGGGGCAAUAAAAAUAGAAUUAUGAGGGUUUUGGAUGAAGAUGGAAGAUGGGUUAGUGGAAUUGCUUUGAAGGAUAAAUUUGUUUCGUAUUUUAAAAUUUUCUUGGGGUGUAAGGAUGAUACUGUUAUACCGGAAUUAAAUGAAGAUCUUUUCAAUAACAGGUUAGACAGUUCUGAUGCUAUUAAUAUGAUCAGAGUGGUGACUGAUGAAGAAAUUAAAGCUGCCAUGUUUGAAAUUGAUGACAAUCGAGCUCCAGGACCUGAUGGUUAUUCUUCAAAAUUUUUCAAGAGUGCCUGGAAUAUUAUUGGAUCGGAGGUUUGCAAAGCAGUGAGAGAAUUUUUUUGGACAGGGAAGCUUCUUAAAGGGAUAAAUGCUACGAGAGUUAUUUUAAUUCCUAAAGUGGAUAUGCCGAGGAAGGUUGCUGAUUUUAGACCUAUAGCCUGCUGCAAUACUUUGUAUAAAUGUAUUAGUAAGGUUAUAGUGAAUAGAAUUAGAAGCUGUUUGGGGAAAAUUGUUAGUAAGAAUCAAUCUGCUUUCAUUCCUGGAAGAUCGAUCUUGGAUAAUAUACUUCUUGCGCAGGAAUUGAUGGUGGGAUAUAAUAACAAGAGGGGAGUUCCAAAGUGCACCUUAAAAAUUGAUAUUCAAAAAGCAUAUGAUACAGUGGAUUGGGAGUUUCUUAAGAGAAGUCUUAAAGGGUUUGGAUUUCAUCCGAUUAUGAUUCAAUGGAUUAUGGCUUGUGUGUCUUCCCCGUGGUUUAUGAUCAAUUUUAAUGGAGAAGACCAUGGGUAUUUUGAAGGAAAGAGGGGGCUUAGGCAGGGUGAUCCUCUAUCACCUUACUUAUUUACUAUAGUGAUGGAAGUUUUCAAUAAGAUUCUUGGUAAGAAAAUAGAAGACAGCCAUAAUUUUAAAUAUCACAAUAAGUGUGAGGUGCUUAGCAUUUCUCAUUUAUGUUUUGCUGAUGAUCUUCUGGUUUUUUCUUAUGGUAAUGGGAACUCGGCUAGAAUCAUAAGGGAAGCUCUUGAUGAUUUCAAAAAUAUUUCUGGGCUGAAGGUUAGCAUGGAAAAGAGCCAGAUCUAUUUCAGUUGUGUUAAACCGAAUAUGAGGAGAAUAAUUUUGGGAAUUCUUCCUUUUGAUGUUGGGAAAUUUCCUUUUAAAUACUUGGGUGUUCCUAUGUGUGUUACUAAACUUUUUGAAAGAGAUUGCAAGAAGUUGUUAGAAAAGAUUAGAAUGAGAAUUUUCAACUGGAAAUGCAAAACAUUAUCGUUUGCUGGAAGAUUACAGCUCAUUAAUUCUGUGUUGACUUCUAUUCAUGUGUAUUGGGCUUCAAUUUUUAAAAUCCCCAUUGCAACUAUAAAAGAGAUUGAAAAGAUGUGUAGAAGCUUCUUAUGGGCUAAUGGUGAAAAAGUUAAUGGGAAAGCUAAAGUCAAAUGGGAUGAUGUUUGUAAACCUAAAGAUUAUGGAGGAUUGGGGAUUAAGAAUUUAAGGAAAUGGAAUGAUGCUUUACUUGCAAAACAUGUGUGGAAUGUUGUUAAUAAUAAAAAUUCUUUAUGGGUGCAAUGGGUGAAAGCUUAUUACAUUGGAAAGAGAAAUUUUUGGGAUAUAAUGCAAAAGAAAAGCAUGAGCUGGACCUGGAAGAGAUUUUUGGAAAUUAGAAAAAUUGUUAGACCUCAUAUUGUUGCUUGUGUGGGAAAUGGGAGGAACACCUCUUUAUGGCAUGAUUGGUGGCAUCCUUUAGGUAUUUUAAGCACUAUCAUCCCAAGAAGAGAAUGGUUUAGCUAUGGAUUUAAUGAUUUUUCUUUGGUUAGUGAUGUGCUUGAUUAUGAUACUUAUUGUUGGCCUGUAAAUUGGGUUGAUAAAUUUUCAGGUCUAAAAGAUGCUCCUAUGUUUUGUAUUGAUCCUAAUAUGAGAGAUGGUGCUGGAUGGAGAGAUAAGGAGGGUAAUUACAAGCAAUUUUCGUGUAAUCAAGUGUGGAGAGAUAUUAACAACUUUGGGAAUAAGGUGCCAUGGAAGGAUAUCGUUUGGUAUGGUAAGGGCAUUCCUAGAAAUUCUUUCAUUUUAUGGAUGGCUAUCUUGAAUAGAUUGAAAACUCAGGAUCGUGUUAGAGUUUGGGAAACCACAGGAAUUCUCCUCUGUCCUUUUUGUAAUCUUAUACCUGAUUCUCAUGAUCAUCUCUUCUUUAAUUGUGAAUUUUCACAAAGUAUUUGGAGACAUUUUUGUGGUAAGAUGAGAAUUAAAUUGGUGAUGGGUGGCUGGAAUGAGACGAUUCUGAAGUGCUGUAACCUGUGGUACAAGGAUACAGGUGAGAGUUUAAUUAAUAAAUGUAUUCUUGCGAGUUGUGUAGCACAUAUUUGGAAGGAAAGGAAUGCUAGGAUUUUUAACAAGAAGAGUCUAACAGCUGAAGGAGUGAUAGCUUGUAUUGAGAAUGAAAUCAGAUUAAAGCUGUUGGAUUUAAGGAAUAAUAAUAAUUUGAUUAAUAAAAGAAUCUAUAAGGAUUGGGGCAUUUAUGGAAAGGACAAACAUAAAAGAUGAAUUACUGGAUCAGAUUUGGGAAGUUGACGGUUGAAGUGUUCUUUAGUUGGGGUUGGCAGUGGAGAAAUUAUUUUGAGUUUAUUCUUUGUAUUGGUUUUAGCUGGGGGCAAUUUUGGAAUAAGUGGUUUUACAAAGGAAUUGACGGAAAUUGUCUAUGGUUGGGGAGUUCUCUCUCUAAUCAUUUGACUUGUACCAAUGGGAUUUUUAAUUUGGAUAUGAUCCUUUGUGAGAUUAUUCAAAUUGAAAAUCCUAGACAUGUGAUUGAUGCCAUGUCAAGUCUGAAACUUAUUCUGAAUUUCUGGAGUCUCGGUAUUGGUUUUUGGUUCGUUGGGAUUUGUAUUCUUUGCAGGAAUCUUUUGCAGUGGAUGAAGAUGGACAUUAGUGAUAAGAAGGAUGGGAGUUUCUUGCUGAAAUUCAAGAGGAGAAAGAAGAAUUGGAAAAGAGACAGAAGAAGCAAAUUUGAUCAGCUAUUGGAGAUUAAUUGGGAUUGCAUUGUUAUUUUGGUUAAUAGUCUUAAUUAUGUUUGGAUUCUAUUUGUGAUUUGUUGGUUGAGAAUUUUGGUCUUAAUUGGAUUUUCGUUAAAGUUUAGUCUUUGGACUGAGGGUUUUUUUAAGGGCCUUACCCCUUGCUAUUUUUUUUAUGGUUAUCGGAGUUUUUGGAGGUGCAAGGGGGUGAAGUUACCUUUUUUCCCUCAUUCAAUAAGUCCUAGGGCUAACUUUAAGGAUUUUAGGGUUUAUUGGGGUUGUGAGUGGUUAGUUCUUAUUCUUAGGAAGUGGUUUGGUAGUUGGUUAUGGAUAGGCUGGAUAUUUUUGUUAUUUGAUUGAAAAUUGGUGUUUGUAUUCUUUUAUUCUUUUUAAUAUAGUUUGCUGAGCUUUGGCUCUUUCAAAAAAAAAAAAAAAGAAGAUAGAGAGGUUCAUUUGGGGGCUGACCCAGCCAACAAAAGGAAACGUCUUAGCUGCGAGGCCGGAUACGUACGACAGUGCCAAAAACUUAGCCCAAACCCUGAUUGACCACAGUGAUGAUGUUGAGGAGACAACUACCACUCCUGAACCGACCAAGAGGAGUGGUGAGAAAAUGAAAUUUUGGAAGAAGAAGAAGGGUCAAUCUUCCCAAGGAUCCUUAAAGAAACAGCAGACUGUAGCAGUCCAUGCUGCUACUACCCCCAUUGUUGUUGCUUCUGUUGUGGGAUCCACAACUCAAACACCUACUAGCAGGUAUGUCGGUAACCUUCCCCAGUGUGAAAAGUGCAAAUACCACCACAACUCUGGCCCCUGCCGUGAUCUGUCAUGCACAAACUAUGGUAAAAAGGGGCACACAAUCCGAUUCUGCAAGGCACCAGCCCAAUCUGCAAAUCAAUCUUCUGGAGUAGGUGUUGGUCAAGCCUGCUAUAAUUGUGGAGAGGUCGCGCAUUUCAAAAGGAACUGCCCCAAGAAGGCAACAGCUGAUAACACUGGAAGGGUCCUAGCCAUGGGACGGGAGGAGGCAGUUGCCGAUCCCACCAUUGUUUCGGGUACGUUCCUUCUCGACAACUCUUAUGCUAGUAUCCUUUUCGAUUCGGGUGCUGAAAGAAGCUUUGUUAGUCAUAUGUUCAAACAUAAUCUUAAACCUAAUCCCCAACCAUUAACUGAAACGUUUACCAUCGAGAUGGCUAAUGGUGAGAAAGAAAGCGCUAACAAGGUGUUCGUAGGUCUCGCCGGCUAUAGGGAAUUGGUCGGAAUCGAAGACACCCACAGAAAUCCGCCAAUUCUUGGGUCUCGCCGGCUAUUAUCGGAGAUUCAUCCAAAACUUUUCCAGAAUCGCCAAACUCUUAACCACUCUGACACAGAAAGGUGUACCCUUUUGUUGGAGUGAAAAGCAAGAAACAGCGUUCCAGACAUUAAGGCAAGCCUUGUGCAGCGCGCCUGUUCUGUCCCUACCCGAAGGGACAGAGGACUCCGUUGUCUACUGCGAUGCAUCUAAUCAAGGCUUAGGUUAUGUGCUUAUGAAAAGAGGAAAGGUAAUUGCUUAUGCCUCGAGACAGCUGAAAGCACAUGAGGUCAACUAUACUACGCACAACUUGGAGUUAGGAGCUGUAGUCUUUGCAUUUAAGAUUUGGAGACAUUAUCUCUACGAAACCAAAUGUACGAUCUUCACGGACCAUAAGCGCCUGCAACACAUUCUUGAUCAGAAAGACUUAAACAUGAGGCAACGGCGAUGGGUAGAACUACUCAGCGAUUAUGAGUGUGAAAUCCGCUACCAUCCCGGCAUGGCUAAUGUGGUAGCAGAUGCCCUUAGCCGAAAGGAAAGUUCGAGCCGCAAGGUGAAGACCCUGACGAUGACUAUCCAUUCCCACUUAUCCAUGCAAAUCCGAGAAUCCCAGUUAGAAGCCCUCAAACCCGAGAACAUGCCAAUCGAAGCCUUGAGGGGAAUGGAUAAGAAACUUGAGAUCAGAGGUGACAGAGUCUACUGUUUCAUGGACCGAAUCUGGAUUCCAAAGUCCGGAGGAUUCAGGGAGAUUGUCCUGGAAGAAGCACACAAGACCAGAUACUCUGUUCACCCAGGUUCAGAUAAGAUGUACCUGGAUCUCAAGAAACAAUACUGGUUGCCAAACUUGAAAGUUGAGAUCGCUACAUUCGUGGGCAAGUGUCUGACUUGCGCCAAAGUGAAAGUCGAGUACCAGAAACCCUCGGGUCUACUCCAGCAACCCAUGAUACCCGAAUGGAAAUGGGAGAUGAUUACCAUGGAUUUCAUCACCAAGUUACCCAAAUGUCCGAGUGGGUACGACACCAUUUGGGUAAUUGUCGAUCGUUUGACAAAGUCUGCUCACUUCAUUCCGAUCAAAGAAUCAUUCAAGAUGGAAAGACUCACGCGAAUCUACAUCCAAGAGGUAAUCCGACUGCACGGUGUACCUGUGUCCAUUAUCUCUGAUCGAGAUAGCAGGUUUACCUCCAGAUUUUAGCAGUCUCUCCAGAAGGCUCUUGGAACCAAACUAGACAUGAGCACAACUUAUCAUCCUCAGACCGAUGGACAGAGUGAGAGAACUAUCCAGACCAUUGAAGACAUGCUUAGAGCAUGUGCCAUCGAUUUUGAAAAUUCGUGGGACACACAUCUACCUUUGAUCGAGUUCUCGUACAACAACAGUUACCACACCAGUAUCAAGGCUGCCCCGUUUGAAGCCCUCUACGGUCGCAAGUGCAGAUCCCCUUUGUGCUGGGCCGAUGUAGGGGACACACAACUAGCUAAGAGUCAAGUCCCCGACAGUGCUCUUACUGGUCUUAAAAUCAUUCGCGAAACCACCGAAAAGAUUAUCCAAAUCCGGGAAUGAUUGAAACCUUCACGAGAUCGCCAAAAGAGUUACAAUGAUAACCGACGGAAACCUCUAGAGUUCCAGGUUGGAGACCGUGUCCUGUUGAAGCUCUCGCCCUGGAAAGGCAUGAUACGCUUCGGAAAGCAUGGGAAACUUAAUCCGAGGUACAUUGGACCCUUCGAGAUCCUCGCCAGGAUCGGUCCGGUAGCUUAUAAACUUCGAUUACCCCAUGAGCUCAGUAACAUUCAUCCCGUCUUUCAUGUCUCAAAUCUUAAGAAGUGCUUAUCUGAUGAAACCCUAGUGAUUUAGACGAGAUCGAGAUCAACGAAAUCAUGGAUCGAGAGAUCAAACGCACGAAACAAAGUCACAUCCCGAUAGUGAAGGUUCGCUGGAAUGCCAAGCGCGGACUGGAAUUCACUUGGGAGCGUGAAGACUCAAUGAAACAGAAGUAUCCGCAUCUCAUUGUUUGUAACAGAUUCUUUCUGUAUUAUUACUAGUAAAUUUGCUAUUCCUAUAAAUUGGAGACACGUCCUCGGUGAACACUCCACAGAGAUACGCGAGUGGAGGACUGCACCCGUAACCAGAAUCUCUUGGAUAGGGAGCAUGACUUGAGUGUAUAGAUCUAUACGGGGCUGACUACCCCGCACCUGGCUGCUAGCUACAGCCGAACCGAAAGGUUCAAGGGUGACGAAAGUCAUAAAGUGAUUUGGACUACUUAUUGCCAUAUCUAGUCUAUCGUAUGGUUAUGGAACUCGCAAUUUGGAUAACAGAUAUUUACUAAAUAGUAAUAAUAAAUAAAGUAACUAUGUUUACUUUGUACAUAUUAGUUUUAUAUACGUGUUAAAACUAAUACAUUUCACAAGUUAUCCAGGUUUUCGGUAUACAUCUUUUACAUUACAUAUCGGAUGGAUAACCAACAUUCAGGAAAAUAUGGGAUUUUCCUGGGGUAACAUUUGUACAUAACCAGAAUCAUGUAACAAUUCAUAUAACUAAACUUUACAUUUCAUAAGGGUAAACAUGUUUUCAGUGUACAUCUUUUACAUUACACUUUGGAUUCGAUAACCAACUUUUAAGAAAAUAUGGGAUUUUCUUGGUGCAUAACUUUUUCAGAAAAUAGAAAGGAACUUGUACAUUUUCAGAAAACAAAACCGCUUAUGAACUCACCAGCGUUAUGCUGAUUUUUAAACUGCUUGUAUUCUCAAGUCCGCAUUAGACAGGUACCCGAUGAUUUCUUUUGGCAAAGAUGGAGUGCAUAGAAGACACGUCUUACUUUUGUUCAUAUAUACUAUGUAACACACUUGUACAACUUACUUUUCAACAAAUGUAAACUUUCAUAUGUAAUGUAAUGGUUGUUUACUUUGCUUACUAUAUACAUUGGAUUUGAUACUCAACGUGGAGUCCGCCCCGGAAAUGUUUCCGCCUUCGGUUUUCGGGGUGUGACAAGUAUCAAAUGAAAGAUACAGAUAGCAAGGUCUAAAACAAAGGGUAAUCCUAAGUGGGUUGUUUCAAGAAUAUAGUGUUAAUUCUCGUUACCUUAAGGCCAUGAAUUAUAAGGUAAACAUGGAGAUACUCGUAACCAUACCGAUUGACACUAGAGUACUUGACGCCCUGCAAGCGUCGGAAUAAAUGUGACAUUUGUCACCCCUUGGCUUGGUAGGCCGAGGACUAUAGCUAGCAGUCAGGGUGCGGGAGUGUCAGUCCCGUAUAGAUCUAUACACACAAUGCCCGCUCUCCCUCCAGGAGACUCUGGUUACCAACUUGACGACAGGGAGAUCUGUGUCUUGAAGAUGCAUCUCGUAUUUUGAAUUCUAUUGUAAGUACUGAACUAAUGAUAUAGACUCACGAAUGAACUGACUCCUUUGGAAUUCUCUGAACUAGAAAGGGUGAUUAGAAUCUCCUAACUAUUCCUGUAAUAGUUACUAGUGUCUCUGAUCUAUGAAUGAUGAAUGGAAGGAUGCCCUUGCUACCCAAGGGAAAUGAACUGGUCGAUGUAACCCUUUAUGUCCAUACAUGUAUACAUGAUAUAUAAGUAAUGUUUAGACGACCUUCGGACGGAUGUCCGAUACCCACCAGACCACAUCCCAACGAGCAAAAGGAAAUAGGGCGAACUAGCCUUCCUAAGUCUUUUAAACAUUAUUUAUAUAACAAUACAAGUACAGGCAUGCAUUUAACGAAGUAGAAGCAUAGAAGCAUAGAAGAAAACCUUGGUAAAACCUUUGGAAAAUCUUUAAAAAUAAGAAUUUACGACUAGAUAUCGUUAUGUAAAACAAGCUUUGAAAACUGUUCAUAAACACGUUUUGAAUAUAAUUUGAUAAAACAAUAUAAGUAAAGAAAACCUUUGUUAAAAACACUGCUUUAACUGGUUUUGAAGUAAAACAUACGGCGUGAGAGACAAUUUGAGAAAAUAUUUAAACAAGUAAAGACGUUUUGGAAAAACCAUCUAUAGUAUUAUACUUAGUAAAACAACUGAAAGUGUGAUAAAUCCUUUUGCAUGCGGGCUAUUAAUCACAUAUGAUCGAUAUGAUAACUAGCAUGUUUUAACUUGUAUCCCCCCCCCCCCNGUAAAAAUGUUUAAAAGGUUAAUUCAAGGGUAUGAACUCACGUGUUGUAAGUGGAUCGGUGUCGGGCGGUGUCAAGUGAAGACUUGAACACACUUAGUGACCUAUUAACAUAUGGUGACAUAUGUUUACAUACAAUUAGUGUUUAUAAUACUAAUUAAACACGUAUAAGCAUCCUAGUGUGCGGAAAACACUUUGGUCAAGUGCUAGGAGGCUAUUGAGUUGCAAUAAGGGAGUGUAUGGCCUAGUUAGGGAGUUUACUCUUCAAGAGUAGACUCUUUAUGGAGUUUUCGGCCCUAAGACCAUAUCCCCAUGAGUUUACGGUCGUAAACUCAUGGGUGGUGUGUUCUUGGAUGCUUUAAGGUCUUACAACACUUGUGGAAUUAGGCUAGGUUCAAUUAUAGGGCAUAGAAAGUGGUAUAAUCAUCAAAUGGACCAAUUUAAGGAGUUUACGGCUAUAAACAAGGACUUUACGGCUGUAAAAUCUUACAUGCCCUUUCUUUUUGUGUAUUAAGGUCUUAAAUGGAAGGGUAUAAAGUUCUAUGCAUUUUCCAAGCUAUAUAGGUAAGUUAGGGCAUCAUUUGGUCUCUUUAAGGGAGUUUACGGCCCAUGGACCAAUCCUUGAGGGGUUUACAGCCGUAAACUCCUAAGUCCAAAGUUUCCUUGAUGUUUAAUGGCCCUACUUCAUUGGUGGUUGGUUCUAGACAUUUACCCAAGUCAUAGGAGGCGUUUGAGGGCAAUUCUAACACCUUAAAAGGUGUUCACGGCCCUUGAAGAGGGGUUUACGGUCCAAGAGUGUUCUUGGGCCAUAAACUCAUGUUUACUCUCCAUAUAAUAAGGUUUUGGUGUUCUAAGCUCGUACAUGCAAGUCUACAAGUCAUAUCUAAGCCCUAGGAGUGAUUUGGAAGGGUUUUGGGGCUUCAAACCCCCACUUAUGGGUGUUUACGGUCCAAGAGUGUUCUUGGGCCAUAAACACAUGAUUUGGACCCUAUUGGAUGUCUUAAACACGAAUUUGCAUGUUAAAUGAGCUAAACAACAAGUUAGGGUAGAUCACUUACUAGUUUGGGGCUCAAAAUGGGCGGUUUUUGGAUCGAAAGCAACUUGUAGAGAGAGAGUGAAAAGGUUGUAAAUGAGGUUUACUCUCCUUUAUAUAGGGGUUUGAGUUUGUGGCUCGGUGGAAAUCUACCCGAUACUGACAUUAAACGGGGCUUUUGGUCGCACCCGAUUAAAUGGUCAUAAUUCGACUUGGUUGAAACUAAAACUUUUUCAAGGGAAAAUUGAGGGUGUUUCUAAUUUGUUUCAACCCUUAUGAAGUCAUAAAAAGUCCCAAUUUAAUUAACCUAGUCCAAAAGGAUAACGGGCAAUUAAUAAAGCGGGUUUUAUUAAUGGAAGAUGUGGUUAAAAAUGACGGGAUAAAUUUCGGGUUGUCACAUUCCGCAACGAAUCGCUAGGUCGAAAUCCAUAUUUAUUACCAAAUCAUAUAUAAGCCCAAACUAUACCUAUAAUAGCUUAUUAGGGAUAUAUGUGUUGGAUAAGGUGUCUAAGUCCAUAACUAUUUCUGGUAAAUACUUGACCCGACCCGGCAUGGUCCAUUUAGGUUGCAUGGCACAAUGCAAUUAGAUAAACUAAAUGAGAGAAAUAACACAUAUGGUUUAUUAAUAUAUUAUAAGUUCUAAUAUAAUAAUAAUAUUAUUUAAUUAGUUUUGAUCAAGAAUUAAUUUAGAAUUAAUUAAGUGAUCAAAAGAUAACUAAUUAAAUAUAUGGGUAGAUUAUGUAAAUCUUCCAUAUCUUAUAUUGUGGGCUAAAAGGCUCCAUGGAUUAUCAAGUUGGGUUCCACCCAUAGGAUGCUCCAUGGAAUUAACCCAUGGAUUGAGAAAUGAAGAGUCAUGUUACAUCAGGGUUUUACCUAAUGCAACACACUAUAUAAGGACCAUGUCUCUCCCCAAAAUCGGCUAGUGAUACACAAGAGAAACAAGAGGGCUUGGCCAAUUUUGAGUGUGUUAAAGUAUUCUCUCAAGUUUAUACCUUGCAUUUGGUGUUGUGUGAAGCAUUUGAGGCAUCACACUUGAGGUGCUAGGCUCACAAGGUUUCAAGGAACACUUACAACAACAAGGUAUGUAGUUCUAUCUUUUAUACAAAGAAAAUUGUACCCCAUGUAUGUUAGAUAGGUUCAUAACCUUGGAAAAAAAACUUUGCAUGAUUAUUAGACAAACAUAGAUCCAAGGUUAUUAGGGUUGCAUGUACACUUAGGAAGUGUUAGAAUGCUCAAAACCCAACAAUAUGAACGUAUACCUUUGCUACCCAAAGGUACUGAACUAACUGAUUAGAACUAUUAUGUCCGUAUAUGUACACAUGAUAUAUAACUAAAUAUCUAAACGACCUUCGGACGGAUACCCGAUACCCACCAGACCACAUCCCAAUAAGGAAAAGGAAAUAAAGCGGGUUAGCCUUCAUAAGUCCUUUAAACAAUACUUAUAUAACUAUACAUAUACAAGCAUGCUUUUAACAAGGUAUCUAUGUAAAAGUAUCCAUGUAAGUGUAUCCAAGUAAGUGUAUCCAUGUAAGUUUAUCCAAGUAAGUGUAUCCAUGUAAGUGUAUCUCUUCAUAUAGCAUUUAGAAUAGACUCAUGAAUGAACUGACUCUGGUGUAUUCCUUGUACAUGGAAUGGUAAGUAGUAUCCCCUAACUAUACCUAUAAUAGUUACUAGUAAGGUACAAGUAUAAUGAAGGUAUACCUUUGCUAGCCAAAGGUACUGAAUUGACUGAGGGUACUUUUAUGUCUAUAUAUGUAUACAUGAUAUAUAACUAAUAGUUGAACGACCUUCGGACAGAUAACCGAUACCCUAAAGCCACAUCCCAACGAGGAAAAGGAAAUAAGGCGAGCUAUCAUUCCUAAGUCCUUCAAACAUUACUUAUAUAACUAUACAUAUAUAGGCAUGCUUUUAAGAAUUUAAAAGUAUAAAAGAAGUUUUGUAAAACAUUUAAGGGUUUUGAACAAUAAAUAAAUAAUAAUGACUUGAUGUCAUUUUAUAAAGCAUUUAUAUAGUCAUUCUUUUGAUAACAAAGUAUAACAGAGUUUGAAAGGAAACUUACAGAACAUAAUAUAGUUUAAUAAAGAGUUUUAAACAAGUAAAAACGUUUUAGAAAGCUAUCUGAAGUAAUCUGUUUGAUAAAACAGCUAAAAGUGUAGUAAAUCCAUUGGUAUGUUGGUUAUUAAUCACAUGUGAUUGAUAUAAUAACUAGCAUGACUUAACUUGUAUCCCCCCCCAUAAAAGCAUUUAAAAACAUUUAAAAUAUUGAUUAAGGGGUAUGAACUCACCUGCAGUGAGUGGAUCGGAUGGAAGCGUCAGACAAGUGUUCGGUGUCAAGUGAAGACUUAAACACACACAAUGAUCCUAAUAACAUAUGACGACAUAUGUGUGUGUAUAUAUAUAUAUAUAUAUAUAUAUAUAUAUAUAUAUAUAUAUAAUUAGUGAUUUUAACACUAAUUAAACAUGUAUAAACAUCCUAAUGUGAGGAAAACACUUUGGUCAAAGUGUUAGGAGGCUAUCGGGUUGCAACAAAGGAGUGAAAGGCAUCAAGUGGUUAAGUGCUCCAAAGCUUUAAAUAAGAGUUUAGGUGGGAUUAAGGUCCUAAAAUGACCUUGUUUGUUGUUUACGGCCCUGGGACCACUUCCCCAUGAGUUUAUGGCCGUAAACUCAUGUUAAGAAGUACCAUUUCGUGAAUUGUGGUCCUUAGGUCAAUGGUGUAAGGUUCUAUGUCACUAACCAAGGCUUACUAAGGUGUUAGGGUGUCAUUUGCACCCAUAAAAGGGGUUUACGGUCCAAGAACAUGUCUUGGCCGUAAACUCCUUGAAUCCCAUGAUUUCUUAUGUUUUCUAAGCUCUAAACAUGUUAAACCUAGUGUACAAUGAGUUGGAUCAAGAUUACUUACAAUCUAUGAGCUUGAAUGGUCGGUUUUGGCCAAGAACACUAGUGUGUGUUCUUGGUGUUUCUUGAAGAUCUAAGAAAACAUGAUUUUUGGUGGAUGAAAUCAUGAGAGAAUGCUAGAUUAAUUGGUGUAUAAACUAAUAAAGGAUGAAUACUUACUAGUUUUGAAGAUCUAGGGCGAUUGUUGUUAUGAUAGUUGAGAGAGAAUGAAAGAAAAUCCGGCCAAGAACUAAAGAAAUGAGAAGAAAUGACCCAAUGCCCUAUAUAUACUCUUGAGUUUACGGCCACAUGAGUUUACGGCCGUAAACUCAUGGUCUUGUGGCCGUGAACUCAUUUAGAUGGGGUUUGGAUUCGUUUUUCUACAAUGUGGUUCUAGUGGGUACUUUCUAACACUUAUUCCUUAAUUGUAUUAGGCUCAAAAAUCCUUAGAAUGACUUGUAACUAGGCUAGAACUCUGUACUAAUGAUUUUGACACUUAGUUGAGUUGACUGACUGAGCUUUAAAUAAUAAAAAUUUCUGGGUUGCACAAUUAAGAAGAAGGAUCAGAUGAAUCUCAUCAUGCAGCAGGUUCACAUCAAGCUCCUCAGAGAAUGCUAGAACAUCGUGGGUGUUUUGAAUCACAAGUUCGACUAGAUGCUCUCUUUUCUCUCUAAGUAAUUUGAUCAUCUCAAAUCUCAGGCUCCCACAGCUGAAGCUUAUGAUUCCCUAACUCUACAGCUCAACACCAGCUUUUAAAAGGUGUUUUACAAGUUUUCAGACUUGAAGCAAUCAUCUAUGCUUGCACCGGUUGUCGGGCCUUCCGUUGCAAGAGGGGGAGAAGGACCCAAUUCAAGAACUCAACCUUGGAAACCUAUCUUAGAGUUCAGACUCCGAGAUGAGAACUCUGAUGAUUCUUUACAAAUCCUUUCAGGUUCUCCAGGUGGUGAUGAUGAUGAUAAUAACGAUGAUUAUGAUGAUGAUGAUGAUGAUGAUGACGAAAGUGAUGAAGAAGAUGUGUAUGUUAAGAACUGAUUAGUGGGACUUCAAGCUCCAAGGAAAUAUCCCGCUAAAGUGCUAACGGAGGAAGAACAAAGAAUUUGGUCAGCAGUCUCUUAGCCAUCUACCAUGGCUGAUGUUCUUCACAAAAGCAUAGAAGAGGCUAAGGCAACAACGAACUUAACUAUUGAUGCCUUCCGAGCCACUACAUCAAUGUUACCUCUAACUCCCUCUCCCAAGAUUGAUCUUAUAGAUGAAGGCUCUCCACUCCGGAAGCCGGAUGAUAUUCCGGAAGAGCCCCAACCUUCCUCCCCUCUUAGAUUCAUUGUUGAUGAAAAUAUGCAACAUAUUCUUUCCGUUUUGAACAAACAACAAGACAAGGGUGUUGGGUACAAAGUAUCCACGUAUGACCUUGUAAAUCGUUUUACUUUUGUAUACCCACUUGUAUGUGGUAAAGUAGCCUUGUGACAUGAGAGAUAGAGAGAGACACAUGUAAACACCUCUAUAUAAGGUGGGUUCAUACCACUUGUAGAGGUGUGCUUGAGAGAUGCAACAUUGAGAGUGUUAGUGUGUGUUAAUUAUGUAGAUUUAGAUCUAGAUCGAUUUUUGUAAACACCUUUCAUAAUCGAAUGCAUCUCUUAAACACCCAAAUCAUCGUGUUCUUUGUGUGUUCUUUAAUUCUACAUUCCAAACCAAUGUGCAUAAUUCACAUCAAUUGGUAUCAGAACGGGUCUUCAAAGAUCAACAUGAUUUUUUGAAGAAACGAUUCUCGAUUGGGCUACAAUCAUCCCAAUUAGAACAUUUAUGGUGAGUCUCUUUAUGAUCUCUCUAAAUCUCGUUGAUUUGUGAGUUGCGUUCUUGAAUUUUUGAUCACUUUGACUCAUUGAAACCCUGUUGAUUAAUCCAAUUAUUUUUGUUUAGAUCAAAUUCAAACCAAAUUCAAAAUUAAAUUCUCAAACAAGAAAGUUUACUGUUGAUCGAUCCAUAUCUUUUAGCCCAAUAUUAAACAUUCAAUCUAUUUCUAUUCAUAAUCCAUUUAUUGAACCCAAGACUUCUAUCCAGUUCGUACUUCUCAGUUUACUCCAUUAUUCACAUUUUUUGUCUGUCAAGUCGCAUCUACUCGAAUAUUGUAUAAGAUUGCUUUGACAAAUUUGUUUGGAAUAUUACUUCACUUAAUUUGCUUCGAUUUUGAGUCUCGAUCUUAUUCAUCAUAUUGUUUGUCUCUUUAUCACGAUUCAAUUUAUGAAUCGGAUGUGUUGAUUGCUGAACUAAAUCGAAUUUCAUUUGAUGUUUACUGAUGAACACCGAAUGAUUCAUCAACAACAAGAUGAGUAUGUUGAAUCAGAAUUUUCGAUUUGAAAAUUGAUUUGGAAGAAAUUGAUUUGGUGUUCAUUGCUAACAGUUUAUCAGGGUCAAAAUUAAAAAGUCGAAGUUCGUGUUCUUGGAUGUUGAAUGUACGUUGCUUCAGAUGUUGAUUUUGAUGAAGAUUUGGUGUCGAAUAGCUUGGGUUGAACAAUUUCAAAUUCAAUAAGUUCAAUGGAUGUUUUGAUGUCGUUGAAUUUUGUUGUUGACAGUUACAAUGUGACUUUGGUGAAGAAUGUAUUUGGAUAUUUUGAUAUCAAAGCAAAGGACUGAUGUCAAUGAGUAAUAACUUGAGUUUUUAUGGUUAGAUUUGGAAUCAUUGAUCAAUAUUUAUCUAGUCGAUGUUUGACCAGUUGGAAUCGAAGUAGGUUGUCUUGUGUUUUUGAAGUCGAUCGAUGUUCGCAUCAAUGGUUUUGGAAUGAACAACGAAUUAUUGAACGUUGAUUUCUAAGGCUUAGAGUUGAGAUUUUGAUUUCGAAGUGUCGAUGUUACUUUGUUGAUUGGUAUCGACUGAGAAGUGAAAUCGAUUUGGGUAUGAUUUCAAAGGCUUAGAGUUAAAAUUUUGAGUCGACUGUUUUUGGUGCUUGGGUAUCAAGGUCGAUAAUCGACUGGAACCAAAAGGAUUUGGAUUCAAUGGAAUUUAUUGAUUUUGAUACAAUAUUCAUUGAAUGUUUGAACUGAAGUCUUUGUCAUUUCGCUAUUUGUUGAUUUUGAUUUUGUUAAGGACGAUUGAAGAUUUGUUGAUAUCGUGUAGUUGAAUGAAAAGCGAAGGACGAAGGACAGGUUGAAUGGUUGAGUUGGGUUACUGAAAAAUGAAGGUUGUGUUUUGAGAUGGAGUCAGUAAUCGAUGAUUAUUGAUUGUGAUUUCGAAAGUUUGGAUUGAUUAUGAUAUCAAAGGUUUGUAUUGACUGGGAAGAGUCAUUGUUUGGAGUCAAUAAUUUGGGUUAAUAAUCUUCGAAAGCUGUGACAUGGAGGUUGAGUAUUUGAUUUAGAAGGAUUGUUGGUAAAUUUCGAAAGUUUGGUUGUCGCUUUAAUAGUUGAAACGAAGAUUUUUAGUCAAAUCUCUACUAGAUCUGACGAAGAGAAGAAAAUGGAAUGUUUUGAAAUUGGUCCUUUAAGUUUCGACAACUUGACAGUGUGUAACCACUUUCAAAAUAAGGACUAAUUUUUGAAACUUUGAAGAAUUGUGCAGAUGUUUCAAAGUUGUUCCUGAAGUUUCGAAGAUUUGGCAGAAUUCACCCAACUUCAAAAUUGCGCUGAAAUUUUUGAAAAAUGAGAUAAUUUUUGAAACAGGCCCCUGUACUUAAUGCGAAUUGAUGUUUUCUACCCAGUUUUGUAAAUGGGGGAGAGUUUCGCAUGUUUGGCUGUUUUGGGCGCACCGGGUCAUUAUAGAAUUUUGAAACUGACAAUUUCUACCCAAAUUUGAGAAAUUUUGUCAAAGGCGGUCCGUGAACAAAGCUAAAAAUUGGAGAUUUUUUGGAUUGAAGCAAAAUGGUUAUGCCAUGUGUUAAGGGGGAGUUUUGGAUAGAAAAUUUCUGACUUGAGCGCUUUCUCAUUCCUUUUUUGGUUUUAUAAUCAUUUUUUCGAUUAUAAAAAGGGGGGAGAGAUUUAUAUGGAAAUUCGAAAGUUGAAUUUUUCAUAUUACGCGGACUUGAAGAUCGAAGUGACCUCGAGUCCUUGAAGUUUAUGAAAUGAUUCGAUUGGAGAUUCGGAUGUGUUUUCAGUUCAUGAUGGGUUUGGACUAAUUGAAGAUUUUUGGGGUGUGCUUUUAUGCUCAACUUUAGGGUAUUUAUUUGUAGAUUGAGAAACUCCUAAUUAUCUAUUGAUGCUUGGUUCGUAUGGUCUUACAUUCUAGAACCCAAAUUGAAAAAUCAUGGAAGAAUUGAAGAUUUGGUGUUCAUCUCUACAUGUGUCACGUUUGAGACUCAGUUCCUGAAGUUGCAUGAGUUUGGAAGAUUUGAAGUAGAUCAUCCAUUCCUAACUUUGAGGUAGAAAAUGUCUGGUACAAAGUUAUCCAUGAAUGACUUUGUAAAUGCUUUGACUUUUGUAGACACACUUGUAUGUGGUAAAGCAGCCUUGUGACAUGAGAGAUAGAGAGAGAGGGGGGGGGGGGGGGGAGAUGCAAAUACCUCUAUAUAAGGUGGGUUCAUACCACUUGUAGAGGUGUGCUUGAGAGAUGUAACAUCGAGAGUGUUAGUAUGUGUUAAUUAUGUAGAUUUUAAUCACUGUGUUCUUUGUGUGUUCUUUAAUUUCGCAUACCAAACCAAUGUUCAUAGUUCACAUCAAAGGGAAAGAUGCCUAUCUCGAAAGAUCAUCAAGUUCACUGCUCCGGACCACCACCAAAACAAAAAUCUGGUUGGACCCAAGAAAAAAUCAAUCAAGCACUUGAGGAAAGCAUCCGGAUUCAAGCCCUCAAAAACAAUCCCAAUCCAAUGCUAGGGCUCUCUCCUCUGUACCGUGACAGAAUAAUACACGAUUUGGAUAUAGUACCGUUUAUGUACUAUGAUAUUCCUAAAAAUGAUUCGGGCAUAAUUGAUUUGCCUCUCUCUCCCUACAGAAAGUACUACACAAAGUUCGCCCCUCUCAUCCCUAAAGAUGAUCCAUAAUUGAUCAUCCAGACUGAACAUGAAAGAUUGAAGACCUUUUACUCCAAGAAUACACUUCCCCAAAAAGAAGUGUGGUUUAGAAAAAGGACUACUAAGAUCUCAUGGUUUGGAAGAAAGAUCCUGACCAAGUUCGAACUUAAUUGUAUGCUGUUCCGAUACCACAUCUUCCGGAACAAACCAACUCAAAGCACCAUCUCUGACGCCGACUUUCCUACAAUUAACCCAAAUGACAUCUUGAACAUUGCUACACAUUUCCAAAGUCAUCCAGUUAACAGUCUCAGCAUGGGAGCUUACCACGUUGCUUUAAGCUUCCUCAAAGACUAUGUUGCUGAUUUCUUCCGGUGCGACUAUGAGCUGGCACAUUUGUCCGGAACCAAAAAUUACUUGGCCAAAAUUGACUUCGUUCUACUGGAAGUUGAGUUAUUGGCUAAAGAGCCAAUUGAUGUGUCGGUGCUAGGGUUUGUCUACAAGCAAAAGAAGACAAACAAGGACUUCUUCCUAGUCCUUGAGAAACAUCUAGUUCCAAACAAAGCUCUUCAGAAAUUCAUCAGUCGUGCAUCCAAUUCCAAUGCACGUGAACAUGUCAAAGAAAAUUUUGUGAGUCAAUUACAAUGAUACAUUGAGGUCAGAGAUUGGUUGUACAUAACAUACAUUUUCAUCAAGGAAGAAGCAAACUAAGCUGACAUGAUUUUUGAGUUCACUUAGGGGGCAUUGUUGGAACCUAAAAGUGAACCUCUAGCAAUUACAAAAAGAAGAUAUGAAGUCAGUCACAUGUCUGAAAUGCAUUGGAUAUACGAAAUAAUGUUAUGGUGCGAAGUGAAGAUUAAAGUCAAAGGUGAAGAUGUUCUGAAAUGGAGAAUGAGUCUGAAACAGUCUAUCCGUCUAUGUACUAAUUGUUCUUGUCUUUUCUAUGAUGUAACAUUACUUAGGACUUAGUCUUUUUGUUUAUUUGGACAAUCAGAAUGUCAGAAGUAGUGACAUUGUCCGUUCCUUUGUGUGUAUUCUGGAUUGUAAUCUGUUCCUCCUUUUUCUCUAUAAUGAGUGUUUAAUGAUAAGAACAAAUGACGGACUGUUGCUCCAAAGAUAGUUAUAUUUGAAUUUACUUCACUUGCAUCUUUCUCUUAAAUCAAAACUCUUUCAAACAUUUUACUUGUUUAUUUAUUGUCUUUACUUUGAUUAUACUCGUUACUCUAUAUUUAAUACUCGAAGUACUUUGUUGAUUCUCAUCUUUAGUCUCUACUAGUCCUACCAGACUUUACUGGAACAGUUAAUCAGAAGCAGACAUUGAUCUAAGCAUUAACUCAAGGUUUGAGUUUUCGAGCCUUGUCCCUGCACAAUCAGAUACUCCUUGUUCUCACACGGGGGAACAUGUACUACGAGCCAAGAAUAAUUGCUUUGCUUAAAACCGCUUAUUACGAUUUUUUUAGUUUUUAGCUACGCUAAUUAGGGUUGCUGUUUGGGCUAUUUGAUUCGUUUGUUAGUUACAUAUUUUGAAGUAAGUUUUAAACGGAUAUCUUGAAAUCAACCGAUUUAUUUUAUAAAGGAUAUACUAAAACUCAAUGAGUUGAAUUACAACGAGAUUGGUUGGGGUAAAAUUUUAGCCCUAAAUUUCGGGAUGUCACAUUAGCUCCUGGGUUUUUUGAUGAAUAGUAAUGUAUUUUCGUUGUACUUGACCCAUACCUGAUCCUUCCAUGAUUUCCUUGUGCAUACAAGUCGUAUAUAAUCCAAGAUGGAAUAGACGAUCGGAUGGGUGAUUCUACCUUAAGCCCACAACCAAACAUGGAACAUGAAAAAAAGCGGAAUCACACAUCCUAAGUCUAUAGAAUCUUAUUUAUAUACAACUGUAACGUAUACACCUAUCAAUAAUAGGUUAUUUGCAAGAGCCCUUAGUUUCUAUAUGGAUGACAUGGUUUCCUUGAGUUCCUCGUCGAGGUGAUGUGUAGAGUUUGAUCUAGAAGUUUCUGAAUGAGACCGUAAGAAUAAUCAUGUGUAGUGUAUCUUGUUUGGCUUAAGUUUUUCAGGAUGCGUAUGAAAUGACUGUAAUCAUUAUCAUCAAUAUGCAUUCUAACACUUGGUGAGAGGCGUCACAAAAUGGUACUGGGUCUUAUGUUCCUUCUCGAGGAGACAAAAUUGGUGCACUGCACCCCAACUGCUUCCAUUUUUUGAAGGCAAACUCUUGACGGUGAGAGGCUUGGCUAUCUUUGAGAAGCUCUCGAUGAUUCUUUGCUAAUAACAUGCAAGCCCUAAGAAUUUGCGUACUUUGGUUGGUGUUGUUAGUGAUUUCCAAUUCUUGACCGCUUCAACCUUUGCGGGAUCGACAUGAAUCCCUUUAUUGCUUACCACAUAACCGAGGAAAUGAACUUCGUUAAUCUAGACUCACUUUUAGAAAAUUUUGCAUAAAGUUUCUCUUUCUUAGCAGUUUCAGAAUUAAACACAAGUGCUAGCCAUGUUCUUCCUUGGUUCGUGAGUAUAUCAAUACGUCGUUGAUGAAGACAAUUACGAAUUUAUCCAAGUAGGGUUUACACACCCGAUUCAUCAGGUUCAUGAAUAUGGUUGGUGUGUUGGUCAGUCCCAAUGACAUAAUUAGAAACUCAUAGUGAUCGUAUCUACUGCAAAAUGUCAUCUUUGAAAUAUCUGUCUCUUGAGCCGAUAUGAGUUUUGGUCUGUUUGUAAUGUCAGUUGGUAGUAGUUCGAACCCUAAGUGUGGGAGAAGUACAUAUUCUGCUUGAAGGAUCAUUGUGACAACCCGAAAUUUCCAUUCUGUACAAGCAAUAUCACUUCAAUAGAAGUUAUAGCAGUCACAGUUAAUUUUCAGACUUUUUCGUGUAAGUUUGAGUAAUUCAGGGUUUACACUUCAGGAGAUAUCAGGAGAGUGGAUGCACUAGGGUUUUGUGCAACACUGUUCUUCCAAAAAUAUCUCAGGACUAUAAAUAGAAUUCUGAACCAAAUUCAUUCAUUAUUCGCAUUUCCAUCUAGAGAAAAGCCAUUUUCUCUCCCACGGAUCUUCGGGUUUUUAUCCCAAAUCGUGAGUACCUCUCUCUAGUAGUGUUAGCAUGCUUAUUAUAUGUUUAUAACACGAAUUACAUAGCUAAAUCACUAGAUUUAGGAGUUUACUCCCCAAGGUGUUCUUGGGCGGUAAACUCCCGAAAUAAUGCCUAGCCUUUCCCCCGAGAUAUACUACUGCCUUAGGCUUGUUUAUAAGUGUAUUUGGGACAUGAAAACAUCAAAUAAACACAAAUGUUUGGGUGUUCACGGCCCAAGAGGAUCUUGGACCGUGAACUCCAAAAUCUUGGACCAAAGUGUGUUUUUAAGACACCUAAAGUCUUGGACAAUUACCAAGGGUUACUCGUACAUAACUCAAGGACAUUAAACCAUCAAAAACACCUUCCAAAGUGAAUUUACGGCCAUGACAUGGUUCUUGGUCCGUAAACAUGAUUAAAGGAAACCAAAGUGUGUCAAAUGGCUUCAUAUGCUUAGGAUAAAAGUCUAAGAUCUAUACCACAUGUGCAGGAGACUUGAAAGCAUCAAAAACACCCAUCCUUAAGAGUUUACGGCCGCAAACUCUAAGGGAAAUGGCCUUAGGGCCGUAAACUCCUCAAAGGAGUGUUUAUAAGCCUUAAACCCUUCCAAGAAUUAAACCACCAAGUUGGAAUAAUUCUAGGGAUUAUUUAGAACUUCAAAACACAAAAUACCAUUAAGUCUUGGAGUUUACGGCCGUAAACUCCAUGUAUGAUGCUAUAUGGAGAGUAAACUCAUGUUUAGGGUCCUUUGGAACCCUAAACCCAAGUGCCUUGUCCCAUAAUAGCUUAGAUGCAAUCCUUAGGGCUUAAAACACUUAUAUAAAGUGUUGACUAUGUUCUAGGAUGUUUUAACAUUAUCAAUUAGUAAUUUAAGACUAAUUGAGUGCAUAUAUGUGUGAUAAUAUGUUCAUUAGGAUCGUAGUGUGUGUACAAGUCCUCACGUGACACAUAACAAUCCUAUAUCGUUCAGUUCAUCCAAAUCACCAUCUACAGGGGAGUUCAUACCCCUAAUCAAUGUUUACAUGGUUUUAAAUGCUUUAAUGGCGGGGGGGGGGGGNNNNNNNNNNNNNNNNNNNNNNNNNNNNNNNNNNCAUGUUAUUAAAUCAUCUAUAUGUAUUUUAUAACUGUGUUUUCAUUCAACAAAUUUCACAUACUACAAAAUGUGAUGCAUGAAAUGGUUUUCUAUCUUUAAAAUACUUUGUUAUCAAAUGUAUUACUUUUGAAAUGUUUAUCAAAAUGACAUCAAGUCACUUUUAUAUUUGUUCAAAACCCUUAAAUGUCUUACAAAACCAUUUUACAUUCUUGAACUAAACUAUGCAUAUACACUUAUAUUCUUAUAUAUGUAUUGAUGUUAUAGUUUACAUCUUUCAUUUAGUUUCUCACACCCUUGAGUAGUAAGAGUGUUAAACCUACUUGAACAACCAUUUACCUUUCAGUAAAUUAUCAUAGGGAUAAUUUGAAGAUAUCAAACAUUAUUCCUAUUACAAGGAAUCACACAAGAGUCAGUUCAUUCAUGAGUCUAUACCAGUACAUUACAUGAUACAUUAGUACACUUACAUAUGCUUACAUGAUACAUGAACACAUUUACCUAGCCUUACAUGAUACAUGAGUACGUUUAAAUAGAUACAAUUAUCUGAAUACGCUUACAUGAAUACCAUACAUGAGUACGUUUACAUAGAUAAAAUUAUCUGAAUACGCUUACAUGAAUACCAUACAUGAGUACUGUUACAUAGAUACGUUAUCCUGUAUUCACUUACCUGGAUACUUAUACCUUGAGUUAUGAGGAAGAUUUAUUCGUACCUUCUGUGUAAAUUUUCUUGCCUAUCCCUGUUCGAUGGGAUGUCCAGACGGGACUAACCAUUCCGGAACCCAGCUGUUAGCAACACUGGGUGAUGAACAUCUACGGAUGUCUAAGGUUAUCACUUGUCAUAGAUAGAUUGAAUAUGGAACUAACCAUUCCUCCAUCCUGCUGUUGCAACAGAGGAUGAGAUGAAAAUCUUCGGAUGAUCAUUAGGUUAACGCUUCUAUUAGGAGUCGGCUACGGAACUAACCAUUCCUCCAUCCUGCUGUUGCAACAGAGGAUGAGAUGAAAAUCUUCGGAUGAUCAUUAGGUUAACGCUUAUAUUAGGAGUCGGCUACGGAACUAACCAUUCCUCCAUCCUGCUGUUGCAACAGAGGAUGAGAUGAAAAUAUUCGGAUGAUCAUUAGGUUACCUCUUAUAUUAGGAGUCGGCUACGGGACUAACCCUCCCUCCACCCUGCUUCCGCUACAGAGGAUGAGUGGACAAUCUUCGGAUGUUCAUUAGGUUAUACCUUUCGCUUCGGCGAUGUCGUGUUAGUCCUGGUCACCCAGGGAUAACACUUACAUGAUUAUGCUUUUUCAUGUUUACUUUAUUUUGUGAUAUAUUCACGUAAACGAUGAGUUAGACUAAGUACUUUUAGUACUAGUCAAUAGAAAGGAAAAACUAUCAUUUUACUUACAAAACAUUUAGGUCUUGGUAGAAGACUAUCAUAUCAUUUUCCUAUUUUACUUUAUUUUGUGAUAUAUUCACGUAAACGAUGAGUUAGACUAAGUACUUUUAGUACUAGUCAAUAGAAAGGAAAAACUAUCAUUUUACUUACAAAACAUUUAGGUCUUGGUAGAAGACAAUCAUAUCAUUUUCCUAUUUUACUUUAUUUUGUGAUAUAUUCACAUAAAUGAUGAGUUAGACUAAGUACUUUAAUACUAGUCAAUAGAAAGGAAAAACUAUCAUUUUACUUACAAAACAUUUAGGUCUUGGUAGAAGACUAUCAUAUCAUUUUUCCUAUUUACUUUAUUUUGUGACAUGUUCACAUAAACGAUGAGUUAGACUAAGUACUUUUAGUAUUAGUCAAUAGAAAGGAAAACCUAUCAUUUUACUUUGUCAUAACAAAACAUUCGGACCUUGGUAGAAGACCACAUUUCAUACUUAUAUCAACUGUUCUACUUAAAGAUUUAUACGACAUUCUUAACAGCAUUCCAAAACAGGACAAUAACACCUAAAUACUUAUGAAUUCACCAGCUUUAAAGUUGAUACUCUCUUUCAAAAUAACUUGUAUUCUCAGGUCAUCAGUAGACAGGUACGGUGGCCAGGUUUUGAGAAGACGGAGCAGACAAGCCUCGUCUUUUAUUUUGAUUGUAUAUUUUUGGUGUCUUAUUACAAUGAAAGAACACACAUGUAUUAAAACUUUACUUAUAAUGCAAUGGAUGAUGUUGUUGCUUGUUUACUAUUUUACACUGUUGUGAUACUGUACAUGACGUCCUCCACCCUUGAACGUUUCCGCCGUUCGUGGUUUUGGGGUGNGUUUAUAGUGAAUUAAGUAUAUCAACCCAUAAAAGAUAUACUAACUAUAAAUACAUGGGUUGUAAACACUCUGUCUAAGAGAAUAUACUUUUAAAUAAUAAAAUAUUUAACAAAGUAUACGUGCCUGCAUUCAUACUAAAAUCAGUGUCACAAUGACAAAAACAAAAGUAUUACGAUUGUUGAAUUUCACAGGUAAGCUCGGGGAUGUAUGGUCAGUAUUAGGAGUGGUAUAGCCUGAUCAACUAUGCUGUUCAAAGGAGUGAUUAGCACAUGCCCAAGAAUGGGUGUGAUAUGGCAACAAGUCUAAAAACUUACCAACAUUACCACAAUGAGAACAUUAUAACAGAACCUAAGUCGAAAAUACCAUAGGGGUGUUUUGUGUUACUAUAAGUACUUUAUACUUGAGAACUAAAAUGGAAUCUUCAUUCCUAAGUUGAUAAUUGCUAAGUGGAUACGCUAAAGUUAUAUGUAACUAGGAUGUUAUAGACUUAGAAUCGGUGAAAUUUUUGCUUUACCCCUAUUCCUUGUGAAUUUGGAGUUGAGGUCACUUAUUCGAAGGCAUAUCCAGUGUUGAUUACAUAUAACUGGUAUGCACUUUACAAAUAGCGAUGGAACUAAUGAAGAUUUCCUACAUAAUUAUCUAGACAGUUCAUCUAAUAAUUAUUUUCUUACCCCAAAUUCUCGCGUAGAUAACAUGGCUGGAUUCCAUCCCCACGACAACCUGUUCCUUCCGAACGCGGUUAUUGCUGGAUGGUUUGGAGAAGAACCAGUUAAUGAUCAUCCAAUCCCUCUGAAUGAUCACCAUGCUGAAGACCUUUCAGACGAUGCCAUCUCCGAACCCGAGGUUGAGAACCUACCCCAGGCAGCUCCUUUUCCGAUUCCUAACCCUUGUCCGGCUUUUCAUGGCCCGACGCCUGAGUGGGUGGAAUGUUUGGAAACAUGGAGCCAAGGACAAGAUCAGCCCAUGCCAUUUAAUGGUGACCGAAGCUUCUAUGACCUGAGCAAUGGGGGCUCAGCAGAAAGAAUCAUGCCAAUUCUGAUCCGAAGAGUUGCCCGAAACGAAAUUUAGGGCAGGACAACUCUACAACGUAUCGCAGAAGUCGAUACAAAAGGAGGAAUGCAUAUGCUUCGCACCAGUCACCUUGAACAUGCUCGUGAGAGGUCUGAGAGAGACCAUGAAACCCUGCUGCAAGCACUGGCUGAAUCACGAGCCGAAGUCAUGGAACUUCGAGUACGCCAGAGAGUGUACGAAAGACACCUACUUGAUGUGGAACGCCAACUGGCUGAACUGAGAGUUCACUAGAGGGAUGACCGUCGCCAGUAGUAGAUGCUUUAUUUUAUAUUCCUUGUUAGAAAAGAAUCGUGUUCCUGUCUAUGCCCGAUGUGGCAUUUUCUAUGAAACUAUCUUGUACUGUAAGUACUUUAGUUAGGUCUUUAUACUGUCAGGAACUAUCUUCUCUGGUUAUGAUGUAAGACCUUUUUACAAGGUCAUUUUCCCGAACUUGUACGUCAUGAAUAUCAAAGAUAUUGACAGUCGGCUAACUUCUGUGUCGUUCUUUAUUCGAAUACUCUUAUCAUACUUUCAUUAGAGUCGAUUUGAAACAUGCUCUAGUCAAGUCAUUGGACUAUAGCAAUUUAACUCCGGAGACAUCUCCGAGUCUCUUUUAAUGGUUGGAUCACGUUAUUCGCCAACCAACGAUACCUCGGCUAGAACGACAAACAUCUUGAGACCAUUGCAUGAACUUAAUUCCGAUCUUUGCUAGGACUGCAUCAUAGGGAUGUAGGUCAAACCUUCGUGAACAUACUUCCAUUCCAUACUAGGACUGCAUUAUAGGGAUGUAGGUCGAACCUUAGAGAACAUACUUCUAUUCUUUACAUGAGCGAUCGAACUACGUCUAGGUUCAACCAUUCUCGCUCACAAAUUCAUAUGUACCUUGACGACCGGGGACUUCAUUUCGAUUUCCUUUAGAAAUCGUGUCUCUGCCUCGCUUAGGCGAGUUGACUGAGCAAACACAGGGAAAUAGUUACUUUCAGAAAUGGACCUGAGAUCCGAAUAUCACCAGGUCGAGUGAUAGGGAAGGAUGUCCUGAAGACUAUCCUCCGAACUCAAUGCGGACAUUUCAAGUCCGUAGUGAUACCCCUCGGAUAGGACCAAUACGCCCACAUUAUUCAUGAGUUAAAUGAGUGGAGUACGUCUUUCUUACUGGGAUCAGUUCGUCAUUUCUCCAUGAAAUGACCUACUUAUCUGCCCUCGUAGUAAGAAAGAGCCCAUAGAAACAUUACCCUCGGAGAUACUUUCCGCAAAGUUCUCUGAACAAGAGUUUUGGAAUUUAGAGUCAAAUUCCCUGAGAUACACUUUUAGUGUUGUGGAAAUUCUUGAGUACUCUGGCAAGUUAUCCAAAACCGUUGGGAAUUUGUCGGCACCGUAGUCACAGACGGAAAAUUUGCCAAGUUCUAGGUCUUAUAGACUAACUAUCAUAGUCCAUUCGGAAUCCCUCACAAAUUUCAGAAACCCUUUUGACUUUGACCCAGCGAGGGGUGGCCCUUGACUGGGAAGUUAAGCAGUAGGAAGAACCUUUGGAAUACUAAGUGAGAGACCAAAUUCUUUAAGAAACCGCACUCUGGGAACGGCUUAAUACGCUUCGUAAAGCGUGGAAAGCUAAAUCCAAUGUAGUUAGGACCUCCGAGAUUCUUACCAGAAUCGAUCAUGUAUUUCACCGACUAGAUCUACUCCGCGAACUCAGUACGUACAUGCUACUCUUCGUGUCUCGAUCGUGAAACCAUACUUUUCCGUUAGGACUCUUGUAAGUCCACUCGUCGAGAUCCUCGCCUUCGUAUUAGGACCGUAGUGACCCUCGACCGAGAGUUCAAGCGGACGAAGCAACGCCGUCGCCCGUUAGUGAAGGUUCGUUGGGAUACCAACCGAGAACCCGAUUUCACUUAGGAGUGCGAGAACCAAUCGAUUAGGAAGUUCACAUAACGACUCGAUCAUUCGUACAUACUUCCUUGCCUAAAUUCUAAUUUCGGGACGAAAUUCCCUUUAACAAGGGGAUGAUGUGACAACCCGAAAUUUCCAUUCUGUACAAGCAAUAUCACUUCAAUAGAAGUUAUAGCAGUCAGAGUUAAUUUUCAAACUUUUUCGUGUAAGUUUGAGUAAUUCAGGGUUUACACUUCAGGAGAUAUCAGGAGAGUGGAUGCACUAGGGUUUUGUGCAACACUGUUAUUCCAACACUCUGUUAUAUGAGAAAUCAUUUCAGGAAUAAAAAUAUUUUCGGCCAAAAAUUUUCUAAGGACUAUAAAUAGAAUUCUGAACCAAAUUCAUUCAUUAUUCGCAUUUCUAACUAGAGAAAAGCCAUUUUCUCUCUCACGGAUCUUCGGGUUUUUAUCCCAAAUCAUGAGUACCUCUCUCUAGUAGUGUUAGAAUGCUUAUUAUAUGUUUAUAACAUGAAUUACAUAGCUAAAUCACUAGAUUUAGGAGUUUACUCCCCAAGGUGUUCUUAGGUGGUAAACUCCCGAAACAAUGCCUAGCCUUUUCCCCGAGAUAUACUACUGCCUUAGGCUUGUUUAUAAGUGUGUUUGGGACAUGAAAAUAUCAAAGAAACACAAAUGUUUGGGUGUUCACGGCCCAAGAGGAUCUUGGACCGUGAACUCCAAAAUCUUGGACCAAAGUGUGUUUUUAAGACACCUAAAGUCUUGGACAAUUACCAACGGUUACUCCUACAUAACUCAAGGACAUUAACCCAUCAAAAACACCUUCCAAAGUGAGUUUACGUCCAUGACAUGGCUCUUGGGCCGUAAACAUGAUUAAAGGGCACCAAAGUGUGUCAAAGGCCUUCAUAUGCUUAGGAUAAAAGUCUAAGAUCUAUACCACAUGUGCAAGAGACUUGAAAGCAUCAAAAACACCCAUCCUUAAGAGUUUAUGGCCGCAAACUCUAAGGGAAAUGGCCUUAGUGCCGUAAACUCCUCAAAGGAGUAUUUAUAAGCCUUAAACCCUUCCAAGAAUUAAACCACCAAUUUGGAAUAAUUCUAGGGAUCAUUUAGAACUUCAAAACACAAAAUACCAUUAAGUCUUGGAGUUUACGACCGUAAACUCAAGAGUUUACAACCGUAAACUCCAUGUGUGAUGCUAUAUGGAGAGUAAACGCAUGUUUAGGGUCCUUUGGAACCCUAAACCCAAGUGCCUUGUCAGACAAUAGCUUAGAUACAAUCCUUAGGGCUUAAAACACUUAUAUAAAGUGUUUACGAUGUUCUAGGAUGUUUUAACAUUAUCAAUUAUUAAUUUAAGACUAAUUGAGUGCAUAUAUGUGUGAUUAUAUGUUCAUUAGGAUCGUAGUGUGUGUACAAGUCCUCACUUGACACCUAACAAUCCUACACUGUUCAGUUCAUCCAAAUCACCAUCUACAGGUGAGUUCAUACCCCUAAUCAAUGUUUACAUGGUUUUAAAUGCUUUAAUAGGGGGGGGGGGAAUACAAGUAGAAAACGGCAUGUUAUUAAAUCAUCUAUAUGUAUUUUAUCACUGUGUUUUCAUUCAACAAAUUUCACAUACUACAAAAUGUGAUGCAUGAAAUGGUUUUCUAUCUUUAAAAUACUUUGUUAUCAAAUGUAUUACUUUUGAAAUGUUUAUCAAAAUGACAUCAAGUCACUUUUAUAUUUGUUCAAAACCCUUAAAUGUCUUACAAAACCAUUUUACAUUCUUGAACUAAACUAUGCAUAUACACUUAUAUUCUUAUAUAUGUACUGAUGUUAUAGUUUACAUCUUUCAUUUAGUUUCUCACACCCUUGAGUAGUAAGAGUGUAUAAACCUACUUGAAAAACCAAUUACCUUUCAGUAAAUUAUCAUAGGGAUAAUUUGAAGAUAUCAAACAUUAUUCCUAUUACAAGGAAUCACACAAGAGUCAGUUCAUUCAUGAGUCUAUACCAGUACAUUACAUGAUACAUUAGUACACUUACAUAUGCUUACAUGAUACAUGAACACAUUUACCUAGCCUUACAUGAUACAUGAGUAUGUUUAAAUAGAUACAAUUAUCUGAAUACGCUUACAUGAAUACCAUACAUGAGUACUGUUACAUAGAUACGUUAUCCUGUAUUCACUUACCUGGAUACUUAUACCUUGAGUUAUGAGGAAGAUUUAUUCGUACCUUCUGUGUAAAUUUUCUUGCCUAUCCCUGUUCGAUGGGAUGUCCAGACGGGACUAACCAUUCCGGAACCCAGCUGUUAGCAACACUGGGUGAUGAACAUCUACGGAUGUCUAAGGUUAUCACUUGUCAUAGAUAGAUUGAAUAUGGAACUAACCAUUCCUCCAUCCUGCUGUUGCAACAGAGGAUGAGAUGAAAAUCUUCGGAUGAUCAUUAGGUUAACGCUUCUAUUAGGAGUCGGCUACGGAACUAACCAUUCCUCCAUCCUGCUGUUGCAACAGAGGAUGAGAUGAAAAUCUUCGGAUGAUCAUUAGGUUAACGCUUAUAUUAGGAGUCGGUUACGGAAUUAACCAUUCCUCCAUCCUGCUGUUGCAACAGAGGAUGAGAUGAAAAUCUUCGGAUGAUCAUUAGGUUACCUCUUAUAUUAGGAGUCGGCUACGGGACUAACCCUCCCUCCACCCUGCUUCCGCUACAGAGGAUGAGUGGACAAUCUUCGGAUGUUCAUUAGGUUAUACCUUUCGCUUCGGCGAUGUCGUGUUAGUCCUGGUCACCCAGGGAUAACACUUACAUGAUUAUGCUUUUUCCUGUUUACUUUAUUUUGUGAUAUAUUCACGUAAACGAUGAGUUAGACUAAGUACUUUUAGUACUAGUCAAUAGAAAGGAAAAACUAUCAUUUUACUUACAAAACAUUUAGGUCUUGGUAGAAGACUAUCAUAUCAUUUUCCUAUUUUACUUUAUUUUGUGAUAUAUUCACGUAAACGAUGAGUUAGACUAAGUACUUUUAGUACUAGUCAAUAGAAAGGAAAAACUAUCAUUUUACUUACAAAACAUUUAGGUCUUGGUAGAAGACAAUCAUAUCAUUUUCCUAUUUCACUUUAUUUUGUGAUAUAUUCACAUAAACGAUGAGUUAGACUAAGUACUUUAAUACUAGUCAAUAGAAAGGAAAAACUAUCAUUUUACUUACAAAACAUUUAGGUCUUGGUAGAAGACUAUCAUAUCAUUUUUCCUAUUUACUUUAUUUUGUGAUAUGUUCACAUAAACGAUGAGUUAGACUAAGUACUUUUAGUAUUAGUCAAUAGAAAGGAAAACCUAUCAUUUUACUUUGUCAUAACAAAACAUUCGGGCCUUGGUAGAAGACCACAUUUCAUACUUAUAUCAACUGUUCUACUUAAAGAUUUAUACGACAUUCUUAACAGCAUUCCAAAACAGGACAAUAACACCUAAAUACUUAUGAAUUCACCAGCUUUAAAGUUGAUACUCUCUUUCAAAAUAACUUGUAUUCUCAGGUCAUCAGUAGACAGGUAUGAUGGCCAGGUUUUGAGAAGACGGAGCAGACAAGCCUCGUCUUUUAUUUUGAUUGUAUAUUUUUGGUGUCUUAUUACAAUGAAAGAACACACAUGUAUUAAAACUUUACUUAUAAUGCAAUGGAUGAUGUUGUUGCUUGUUUACUAUUUUACACUGUUGUGAUACUGUACAUGACGUCCUCCACCCUGGAAAGUUUCCGCCGUUCUUGGUUUUGGGGUGUGACAAUCAUCGAUUUUUUCGAGCUAUUAGUUUUAGAAUAAUGGGCCACAGGAACCUGUAGUUUGGGUAUGCAGGAUUUUGGCUCAAAAUUUGGUCAAUUUGGGGGUGCAGAGUAAGUUGCCAUCAGAUAUAUGUGCAUAAGAAUGCAUGAUUUGUCUCCGUGGUAGGAAGCUAUUGGACAAGGAGCUCAUUUUAGCUGGUGGUUCAUUUUAGGAAUGUUGAUGAAUAGAUUAAGAGGCAUUUGGUCCACUCAGGUUGAGUAUCGGUUGUUGAGGGAUUUGUCAGCUUGUUGUAAAGAUUGUUAUCUAUAGUCUAGGUUGGGUAGCUAUUGAUCGAUAAAUCAGCUUCGGAGUUGGUUGUGUUUAGUUCUACAUGGUUUUUGGCUUAGUAGUGAUUGGAUCAUUGGAUUAGUUAUCAAUGCAUCAUCGAUCGUUGGUCAUUUCGUCCAUCAUAAGUAGCGGAGAUUCUUUGGAAGUUUCGAAUUGUAUCAGUUGAAGCUCAAUGGAUGUGCCAACCUAUCAUCAUGUUCGGCUCGAUUUUGGCAGAUGUCCUUGGUUGUUGGAAGUUUGGAUGAUGGGGUAAUGUUGUUCAUUUUCAAGACGUGACUUUAGAUCUGCGUAGAAUCCAAUUUUUGCAUGUUGUGUCGGAAGGUUUGGUAUUUUGGAUCGAUCUGAUCAGGAUUUUAAAACCAUUUUUGGAUAAUUUUGGAAAACCUUUAUCAAGCUAGUUAUGUAUUGGUAGGAUCUGUUCAGUUUCAAUCAUGGUGGGGGGAUCUUUGUUUUGGCCAUGUAUGAUGAUUUUUCUGUUAACGUUUGACAUUCGUUAAUUAGUUACAUCUGUUGGUGCUUCAUCCCUUGGGUAAGGUUAUGAGGAAGAAUGAGUGCAGUAGAUCUAGGGUUGGUUACAUGUCUCCCCUUGGGGUGUACAUUGUGGUAGUGCCUCAAAUCUGGUCAUGAGGGAGGUGUAUGUGGACUGAGUGAGAUGACAUGAGAACGCUUGGUCCGAAAUUAUUGGUAUGGUUCUUAUGUAGUCUAUAGCUUUUGGAAUUUAAACAAGAGUUCGAUAACCUAUCUCAUUCCUUGGUUGUAUGUGUCCAUGUUUUCGUAUGAUUUUGCAUUGGUGGUAGCAUGUACUGUGAAAGGGAUUUUGCGUGAUAGAAGGGUAUGGCAUGUGUUGUGUUUUGUUAGUGUUGAGAGGGAUGUUGAUUGGGUUCCUGCAAGUUGGUGGAUUGAUAGUUGAGUAUCUUUAGGCCCAUGUGGUGCUAGUCAUGAUUCUUCAAGUCAUUGAUGGAAUAACGGCAAGAUCAGCAUAGUACCAUACGGUUAUUGUUUUAGUGGUUAGAAGGUGUCAUGGUGUAUCGUUAACUAGUGGUUGUAUGAUUCAUAUGGUUAGGACCCAGUAGUCAUCUGAUUGAGACUCUUAAGUCUCGAAUCAUUAAUCUUAUUGACAUUUGUAGGUGUCAAUGCAUUCUUGGGAGUUGGGAGACUCAGUGAUCAGCUGGUUUGGAUCAUGUAGACUAUAAAAGUUUGUUAGGAGUAUUAGUUGUGCAUCUGAAGUCUCUUGUUGAAUGUUUGCAUUUGUGGGUCUCUACUUGCUUGUGGGCUAUUAUUAAGAGUUGGUUACCAGAGAUGGGUAUUUGAUAUAAAACUUCAGAACAUGAAUUUUAUUGAUAAGGUCAUGAAUGACUUGUUAGGAAGUCAAGUGUGUAUUUCAAGAUUUUGGGCAUAAUUUAUGGAUUUGGGAUUGGUUGAAAUUCACGAUCUAGAUGUUUUGGGUAGUUAUUCUACAUCCUUAAGUGGAUUUCAUACUCAGGGACUCAGGGUGGGUAUGACGGAUGGAUGAUCAUCAAUCUUAGGGUCUAAUUCAUAAAGUUUAAACUGAUGGGUUCCUGGUUUCGGGGAGUUUAGUGAUGGAGUUGGUUUGUGGUUGUAGUUGUGAGAUUUCCCGAUUGAGUGGUUUUCUCUAGAAGUUGGUCUUGCAGUUAAGGAGAAAAAGAUAGUCAUUGCGGUUAAGAGGAAGCUUAUGUUGAUAUAAAGAUCACCGAAAAUGAAGUUGAAACAAAAAAGUUAUGAUUGUUUGAAGUUGAGGUGGAUAUGGAUGGAAAUCAUCACCACAUAGUGGGGAUUAGAGCCCACGACGCGGCAGUCACCAUGGCAUGGCGAAACAUUUCCACGACACGGCAAUUAAUCAAGCCCAAGCCCAUGAAUAUUUAAGGUUUUCAACGUAUUUAAGCAUAAGGUUCUGACUUUUUGUCCAUUUUUUCAGCUUCCAUCACCUCUAGAACCCCUUGGGAGAAAACUUAGCCUCUACUUUCAAGAUUUGAGCUUCUCCUCUCUCUGCUCUCCUCUUUUGGAUGCUUUUAUGAUAUUUUGAUGAAGUUUAAAGAUUAAGAAGGUUCUCUCGGUUGCAAGGAAUGAUCCCCCAGGUUUAGAUCAAUCAAAGACACUACAUUUCUAGAAUUAAUGUCCCUUUGAGACCUAAAGUCUAGAUAUUUGUGGUGUGGACCUUCCUAAUGGAUAAAGUUGCAAAAUUUAUCUAUUAAGUUGUGGAAAUAAUCAGAUCUAAGCUUUGGAACUCUUGAAAUUGGAACAAAAUAGAUUAAGCUUGUUUGAGUUGUUCAGACCGGUCCCCAUGGCAUGGCCUUAGGCUGCCACGACGUGGCGACAGGGGAACCAUCGCGGUUUUAUCAUUUUGUGGCCACGACAUGGAGGGCUGCUUUUAGCAAUUUUGAUCUAAGCUUUGGCCGUUGACUUUUUUAUAGGUUUGACUUUCCGUCAAACUUGGGUAGAAUUGAGUAUUUGACUAAGGAUUAGUCUUGGUUUGGAUUUCAGAAUGCUUUGGUUGGCUGUGUUGUUGUUGAGGUAGCUGUUGAGGUUCUGUUGAGUAGUUCAAGUGAGUCUUCUCGCUGUACUUGUAGGUCGAAGGCACUAAUGUCGGCCCACUGGAUUGUGUUGUGUAGGAUGCUAGUUGUCUUUAUGACUCUUGCAUGUAAUAUUGGGUUGAAAUAUACGCCAGGGUUGGUGUUACAACGUAAAUUUUCGAAACAAUUUUUCAUUUCUUUAACACAUAAUUUCAUUCAAGACAAACCAUAAAAUCCAAUGUAGCAUAGUCAUAAUACAAAACAUAUCAAUCCCAAGAUCAAUCAUAUCCAAAUCUGCCCGUGUGUGUGUACGAGUCAUGUCGGCACCUUCCCACGGUCCUCACUAGUACCUGAAACACAUUACACUUAAACACCAUAAGCAAAAAGCUUAGUGAGUUCCCCAAUAUACCACUUACAAACAUAUGCCUUUCCAGGCCAUACUCCACACGACCUUCCGGUCCAUGUGUCUCACGGGACUUCCUUCCCAACCCGGUAAACCUUCCGGUCCGCAUCAUAAUGCCUUCCGGCCCAUAUCAUAAUGCCUUCCGGCCCAUAUCAAGCAUAGCACACAUAUCAUAUACAUAGCACAUACGAAACAGGAAACUCAUAGCAUACAAUGCACAUAUCUCAUAGCAUACCAGACCUUCCGGUCACACAUAGGUACCCUUCCAGGUAUAGUAUAGUGAGAAGACUCACCUCAAACGAUGUCUAGAAUCUCGCGUGCUCGAUAUCUCAGAAUCUCGAAACGACGACCUAGCCUCGCCUAAUCACAACAAAUAAUCAUUCCAAUCAUUAACGACUCUCAAGGUUAUGCUACACUCCUUUCCACAAUCCCACAAAAGGGUAAAAGACCAUUUUACCCCUCCCUGACUCAAAAGUCCACAUGUUGACCAAAACUCUAAAAGUCAACAAAAAGUCAACAGCAAGCAGUACGCGGGGCGUACCCUUGCACUCCAGAAACGGGGAACGCGGCCCUCUACGCGGCGCGUAUUGGGAUUACGCCCAGCGUAAAUCCCAGUUUCUUAUUUCCUCACUUUAAUGUCUUAAGCAGUUAAGACAUAACCCUACAUUCUAGAUCUGGCCAUUCUAAUACCUCUUAAUCCAUAAUGUCGAAACCUUUAAGCCUUUGCAUGGCUAUAAAGGUUCCCCACACCUUCUACACCUUUCCUUUCUCCUCCAAAAGUCUAGAUCUCAUGCAUGGCUCAACAUUCAUGUCCAAGAUUGCAUUUUUAUGAACAUAUAACUCAUAUAGUCCUGGAAUAUGAUAGAUCUAGGCCAAUGGAGACUAUUUGCUCAUAAAGUCUCCAUCUUGGGACCAAAAACCCUAGAAAUUGGUCCAAGAAGCACACCACACAAACCACAAGGCAAGAUCUGAACUUUUUACCACAGCAAGAAACUCCAACCCUUGUAGUCCCCAGAUCUACACGUGUCCACCAACUUCUAGCUUCCCCAAUGGCCUCCUCUUCUCUUCCACCACCUUGAAAUGGCACUUUGAAGCUUAGAACACUCACACCCAAGCUAAAAACGAAGGAAAUACACUCUUAGGGUUUCUUUCUGAAUGAUGGUGGCUGAGGGACAUGACCGUCUCAUUCCUUUUAUAGUCCUCAAGUCAUAUUAGGGUUUUGAAACUGGGUCGGUUACGCCCGGCGUAACCCUUAGGUACGCCCAGCGUACCCGGAUGAAUCCGCGUACAAAAUAAGCACGCGAGUACGCACAGCAUACUCCCAAGCUAAGCACUUUAACACGAAGAGACCUAAUAUGACAACUUGGAAAAGAAAAAGGGUCAAAUGGUUGAACCUGAAUUUCGGGAUGUUACAAUUCUCCCCCACUAGAACCAGACUUUGCCCUCGAAGUCUUAUACCGAAAACAACUCCGGAUGCUGAUCCCGCAUCUCUGACUCUGACUCCCACAUUAGCUUGGACCCCUUCCGAUGUUGCCACUGAAACUGCACCAAUGGCACCUCCUUGUUCCUCAGAACCUUGAUCUUCCGAUUCCGAAUCGCAAUUGGUCUCUCGGUAUAAUUCAGGCCCGCAUCCACCUGAAUAUCCUCUAGUGGCACUACCGCCGACUUUUCGGCUAUACACUUCCUCAACUGCGACACGUUGAAGGUAUUAUGAAUCUGGCUCAACUCCGCAGGUAGCUCCAAUCGAUAUGCUACUCUGCCUACCCUCGCAAUCACUCUAAACGGCCCAAUAUACCGAGGCCCCAGCUUGCCUCUCUUCCUGAAUCGCAUCACUCCUUUCCAAGGAGACACCUUCAGGAGUACAAAAUCCCCAAUAUGAAACUCGAGCUUGAAUUGUCGCCUAUCUGCAUAACUUUUCUAGCGACUCUGAGCGGUCAACAACCUCUGUCUGACCUGCUGUAUCUGCUCUGUCGUCCGAAACACUAUCUCUAUACUACCCAUCACACGUUGCCCUACUUCACCCCAGCAAAUGGGGGUCCGACACCUCCUCCCAUACAACAGCUCAAAAGGUGUCAUACCAAUGCUCGAGUGAUGGCUGUUGUUAUAGGAAAACUCAGGCAAGGGCAAAUACGUGUCCCAACUCCCUCCAAAAUCUAAUACACAUGCCCGAAGCGUAUCCUCGAGCGUCUGAAUCGUCUGCUCACUCUGUCCGUCCGUCUGUGGGUGGUAUGCGGUACUGAAAUGCAGUCUCGUACCCAACUCCUCAUGAAACUUCUUUCAAAAUCUGGAAGUAAAUCGCACGUCUCGAUCUGAAACAAUCGAGAUCGGAACUCCAUGUCGCGAUACCACCUGCCUCACAUACAACUCUUCCAGCCUCUCAGCAGAAGAGCUCUCACUGAUAGCAAGAAAAUGAGCACUCUUCGUCAACCGAUCCACAAUCACCCAUAUUGCAUCGACACCUCUAGCAGUCCUUGGCAAUUUGGUGACAAAAUCCAUGGUAACCUGCUCCCACUUCCACUCGGGAAUCUCCAAUGGCUGCAACUUACCAUGUAGAUGCUGGUGCUCGGCCUUAACCCUGCGACAGGUCAAGCACCUCUCCACGAACCAUGCGACAUCUCUCUUCAUACAGGGCCACCAAUAAUACCUUUUUAGGUCCAAAAACAUCUUAGAGGCCCCGGGAUGGAUCGAGAACCUCAACCUAUGGGCCUCCUCCAUCAAGAUGGUACAAGCUCCGCCCACAAACGGUACCCAAAUCCGGCCCUGAAAAGUCAUAAGUCCUCGACUAUCGGCAACGAACUCCGAUACCUGCCCGACCACCCGCUCCCUUUUGCGGUUCUCCGGUCUCACGGCCUUCGCCUAGGCACCUCGAAUGGUGUCCAACACCGGAGUCAUCACUGACUGUAGAUGUAAAAUUGUAAAAGUCGAAUAUAGUGUAUUGUAUAGUUUCGCAUUUUAUGUUAUUUUACUAAGUCAUCUGUUUUGCGAAGUGAAAAUGUCUAGACUUAGUAUAUUUUUUGUACACCCAUGUUCCCUAUAAAUAGGGACUGAGGUUCGAAGUAGGAGAGGUUGUUUUCGUAACAGAUAUCUCUUUUCUGCUUAUUUUGUAAUCAGUCUUUAUCAAUAUGAGAUCUGAUUAAUAUUUACUCUUUGUGUUCUUAAUCUUCAAUCACUCAAAUCUAACUUUGCUUUUUCAAAUCUCGAUAACAAUUCUCAUCAAUUGGUAUCAGAGCCUGAUUCAAACUGCUUUGAUCUGAUUUUUCUGUUAGAAUCAUUUGCUUUUUGAGUUGCAAAGUUACUCAAAAUUUUCCGCGCAUUUUGGUUUUGAAAAUCACUUUUGAUCUUCAGAUUUGAAUUGAUUCUGUCUUUGAAUUGUUAAGUCGAGUAAUCGGUUAGUGAUUUGUGAUCAAUUCAUUUGAUCAAAUUCUCUAUUUCAACAAGUUUUUCAAGCUUUCUGAAAAUUUCUAUGUUCAUCAAUGGCGAACUUCAACAUGAAUACAAUGAAGAUUACUUUUCUCACUUGCUUGGUUCCUCAACCAAAAUUCCGAUGUUAAUUCCAGAAUACUAUGAUCAGUGGGCUGAUAGAAUGGAAGAUUACUUAAAUGGAAUUGAUGAAGAACUUUGGAAUUGUAUCGAUGGAACAGUGCAAGCUCCUGCUAAUGUUCAACCAAUUGGACCUUCUACAACAUCUACUGAAGUUGCUGAUCAGGAAAAACGAUUGAAGAAUAAUGAAAAGAGGUGCAUGAGGGAACUAAGAGGUGCUCUACCUCCUGUGGUUUACAAUUACAUCCGUAGUUGUAAAACAGCCAAGGAUAUCUGGAACACUCUGAAAGAGAAGUAUCAAGGUAGCGAAAAAACGAAGAUCAACUCUGUGAAGCAAUGUCUAGUUGAACUGAAGGAAUUCAGACAAAAGGAUACAGAAACUCUUGAAAAUUACUAUGAUCGUCUGAAUGAGCUUAUGUUUCGCUGCAAUAGGUAUGGAAUCACUAGGUCUCUCAUGGAGUUCAAUUUAACUUUCAUUAUGGGUCUUCGCAAGGAAUGGCGAAGUGUGAGCAUGAUGAUUAAGAAUCAACAGAGUUUUGAUACAACUAAAUUGAAUGAUCUCUACAAUCAACUGAAAACACAUGAAUGUGAGGUUUCAGAAAUGUAUGAAGAAUCAAAACAGAGUAUUGGAGGUCCUUUGGCUCUUGUUUCAAAGGUAUCAGAAACUGAUGUUAAUGAAAAAGAUGGUUCAGAUGAAGAAGGAUUUUUGAUGAACUCUGAUGAUGAAGCUGUGGCAUUCUAUUCAAACAACAGAGUUAAGAAGUUUUUCAAAAAGCCUUUUAAUCCAAAAGGAAAGGCUAGUGAUGUGAAGAAUGCAGUCACAAGAACUGGAGGGGAGGAGAGGAAGAAAUUGGAGAAAGCUGAUGAGAAACAAAAAGAUGCGAAAGAAGAGAAGAAGCUGAAAGGUGAUUCAGGAAUUUACUGUCACUACUGCAAUGGUGCGAAUCAUUUUGCAGCUGAUUGCAUGUUGCGAAAGAAAGAAGAGAAGAAGGAAAAAGUUAAAGAUGAAGCAUACUACUCUGAAAAGAUUGAAGAGAUACGUGCUAAGACCAAAGGAGUGUCUUUGGUUGCGAAAGGUGAAACUGACAAUGAAGAAAGUGGUACGUAUCAGAUCUGGUCUUCAGGAUCUGAUGACGAGGAAAUGAGGCAUCCCACACAUGGAGCAAUGUUCGCAAGUUUUGAAGAUUGCGAAGAGGAAAUUUCAGGAAGGUGCUUCGUAUCCAAAUCCACAGACAAAUCACCCAUGACAACCAAGGUACGUGCAAUACUUGAAUCUUUUAAUAUUCCUUUAUCUGCUUAUGAUGCUGAAAUUGUUUCAUUUGAUGAAACUGUGGCUUAUUUUGAUUCUGUUAUUGUGUCUGCUAGUACUGAAGCUCAAAAAUUAAGUAUGCAACUAGGUGAGACACGGAGAGAAUUAGAAAUAAAGAGGAGCAGAGUAGAAAAACUUGAAAUGCAGAUCAAAAAUAUAGAUUGUGAUAGGAAUAAUCUUACAAAUGAUGUUAGGUUGUUGCUAGCACAAAGGAACAUAUAUUGUAAUUCUGCCAAACGGCUAUAUGCAAAAUUAACUGCUUUACAUCAUUCUUCUGACAUUAGCAAAGAACAACAUAGAAAACUGUUACCUUUUCUUGAAUAUGAACGUGAAAAAGUUGAUGUUGUUUCUUAUGAUUGUGAAAGUACAAUUGCUCAAUUUGACAAAAUACCUGAUGAUAGAUAUACAUAUGGUAUUGUCAAAAUUGAUGAAUUUCUGAAUGCUGAUGAGUUAGUUAACAUUGUCAAUGAAAGUUUGACAAAGAGUGAACAAGUGAAAAUCUUAAAGAAAACAGAAAAUUCAACUCUUGCCUCUCAAUUCAAUUAUGCUGAUAUUGAUGAAAAUUCAGAUAAUGUGAGUGAAAUCAGUGAGAUAGAAGAGGAAGAAGAGGUAGAUUGUUCUCAAUUGUCAAUAGUUAAUAUCACAUCUAAGAUUAAAGGUAAAGAAAUUAUUGUUGAUUCGAUAGUAGAGGAUGAAAUUGAUAAACCUUUAACUUCACAACAUUGUAAGUUUGAUAAUGUGGAAGUUGAAAGCUGGAAAUCUGAUGAUAAUGAAGAAAACAGAGAAGAAAAGAAAGAUUCAAAUGAAACACCUCAACGAGUUGUGGUUGAUCAAGUGUUUGAAAAUACAAAAGAAUUUGACAAAAUUUUAAAUGACAAAGGCGCACAUUAUUUGGAAACCAACACAGUGGUAUAUCCAAAUUUUGUAUGUACUGAUAAAACCAUUUUUCCAAAUCAAGUUUUUGUCACUACUGGAAAUGCUGAGAAAGUUCAUCCUGAAUUCAACAAAAUGAUUGAAAAAGAUAAUCUAAAGUCAACCACAGAAGGUUUUUUCGCAAAUCAAAACACAGAAGAAAACAAUUUAACUCAAAAUUCUUAUGUGUUUCAAAAACAAAAAUCAUUACAAAAAUGGGUGGUUAAAGGUGAAAAACCAAACAAAAUUUUUGAAAAAGUUGAAAAAUCAAAGGCUGAAGUGAAAUUAAAUUCUCAUGAAUUCAAAUUGAUGGUUGGAAAUUAUUCAACAGAAAAUAAUGUUUCAAAAAGAAAAGCAAGAAAAGCAAUUUUCUGGCAAGUUGUGUCUAAUGACAAACCAAGAGCUGAAAAAGAACAAAUUUCAAAAACAACAUCAUCAAAAUUUCAAAGCAAAAAUAAACAAACAGAUUCAAGUUUUCAUAAACCAAUAAAUUCUGUUGACAAAAUUCCAUAUGUUCGCAAAUAUGACAACAAUCGAAAAUUUGAGAAUUCGCAAAAAUUUGCAAAUAAUCAAAAGUUUCAAAAUGUUGGCAAAUUCACGAAUACUUCAUCAAGUUUGAAAGAUUCAACUCAAGCAAAAGUGAAAUUUUCACCAAAACAACCAAAUUUUCCAAAUCCUUCAGUCUCAAAACCGACCAAAGUUUCAUAUACAAAAGGAAAAUCUGAUGUAAGUACAAUCAAUCGUUGGUUUGAAGGGAAAGGAAGAAAAUAUCAAAGUGGGAAGUUUUCAGAGCAACAAAUCAAGAAUGCAUUUGACAAGUUCGCAAAUAACUCUUCCACUGCUAGUUCAUCAUCUCAUCAUUCGCAAGUUCCAGUUCAAAAAUGGAAACCAGUUAUCAAAAAUGCGAAUGUUGUGAAGGAUAAGAUUACAAUCAAUGGAAAUCCAAAACUAUUGAAUGACUAUAUCUCAAUAUCUAGAUCUGAUGAUGUUGAUAUAAUGGAUUCUGUCACAAACAAAGUGAAAACAUGGUUUUUAAAUUCAAAGAAUUUGUUUCAUUCUACUAAUGAUGGACCCAACAAGUCUUGGGUUCCUAAAUUUUUUCAAUAAAUGCAGGUGAUGUGUGACGAGCAAUAUGAUACGAAAUGGUAUAUUGAUAGUGGUUGCUCUCGUCAUAUGACUGGAAGAAAGGAAAACUUGCGAGAUUAUAGAAGCUUGGAAAAUGCAGGAGUAGUCAAAUUUGGGAAUAAUCACAAGUGUCAAGUGAAAGGCUAUGGGAAAGUCACAAAUGGAAAAUUCACUGUGAACAGAGUUGCUUAUGUUGAAGGACUUCAACAUAAUUUGAUAAGCGUGUCACAACUUGUUGUUGGUACUGGAAAUCAAGUUGUAUUUAAUGAAGAAGGAAGUAUCAUUUCAAAUGCGAAGUCAAAUGAAAUACUUCUCAAAUCCAAAAGAUAUGGUGAUAUGUUUACACUGGACAUCAAACCAAUUGUGGGAAAACCUGCUGUGUGUUUACUAUCAAAAGCAUCUAAUGAUCUCAGCUGGCUUUGGCAUAGAAGAUUGUCACACUUGAACUUUCGAAAUAUUAAUAAACUUGUCACUGAAGAUUUAGUUCGAGGGUUACCAGUACUAAAAUUUGACAAUGAUUCUUUGUGUGCAGCUUGCGAACAAGGAAAACAACAUCGAAAAGGUCAUCCGAUUGUGAUAGAUUCAAAAAUCGUAGAACCAUUGGAACUUCUUCACAUUGACUUAUGUGGACCGUCGACUGUUGCAACAAUCAAUAAAAAGCGGUAUAUUUUAGUUGUUGUAGAUGAUUUCUCUCGAUUCACAUGGGUGUUUUUUCUCAGGUUGAAAUCUGAAGUUGCUCAGACGAUGAUUGAUUUUAUCAAAAAGAUUGAACUUAGUCUGAAGAAGAAUGUACGAAAAAUUAAAAGUGAUAAUGGUUCUGAGUUUAAAAAUCAAACUCUUGAUAUUUUUCUCACAAGCAAAGGCAUUUCGCAUAAUUUCUCAUCACCAUAUACUCCACAACAAAAUGGUGUUGUUGAAAGAAGAAAUCGAUCUCUAUGCGAAGCAGCCAGGACCAUGUUAACAUAUGCGAAUCUACCUCAAUAUCUUUGGGCAGAAGCAGUGUCCACUGCAUGUUUUACUCAGAAUCGAUCAUUCAUUCAUCGAAGAUUCAAUGUUACUCCAUAUGAAAUAAUCAAUAAUCGGAAACCUAAUGUAAAAUUCUUUCAUGUUUUUGGUUGCAGGUGCUUUAUCAUGAAUCUCAAAGAUAAUUUGUCCAAGUUCCAAGCUAAAGCUGAUGAAGGCAUAUUCUUAGGAUAUUCACAGAAUUCAGUUGCAUACAGAGUGCUUAAUAAAAGAACAAGAAAAGUUGAAGAAACUUUCAAUUUAACGUUUGAUGAUUACUAUCUUAAACAAAUGGAUAGUAAAUUUGAAAAUAAAUCAAUACUUGUGGAUUCAAAUACUCAAAUUGAUAAUUCUGAAAUCAAUGAUUUUGAUUAUGACUUAAUUUUCGGAAUUCCUGACAGGGCAAUUGACGCAGAAAAUAAUGCUCCUGAUAAUCAAACAUCAGAAUCCUCAAAACAUACUGAUGAUUCAACAAUAAAUACAACAUCGAUAUCUUGUGAAAGUACGACUGAUAUUCGUAUGGAGGAGGAACAUACGAGUAUUCAUGAAGAUACUCAGCCAACUCUCGAGGGGGAGAAUGAAAUUAUGAAUCAUCAAGUUGAGGGGGAGCAUUCGCAGAAUCAACAGGAACAUCAUUUUGAGGGGGAGCAUCAAGAUGAAGAUCAUGUUGAGGGGGAGCAUGAUGAAACAGAGACAAUUAAUCUUGAUGAAAAUGAUGAGUUUCAUGAACUAAAUGAUAAUUUUUCUGUUGCAGGAUCUGAAAAUGAAGAUAUGUAUGAAGAUGCACCAUUAGAAUUUGAUCCUAAUUUUCCACCACUUGAGAAAUGGACAAGAAAUCAUCCAAAAGAACAGGUAAUUGGUAAUCCACAAGAUGGUGUGUUGACUAGAGCUCAAAUUCGUGCGAAAAAUGAGGUACUGAAUGCGAACCAAGAACUAUGUAUGUUUAAUGUCUUUAUUUCGAAAAUAGAGCCAAAGACAGUAAAAGAUGCUAUGGAACACUCAGAUUGGGUUGUUGCUAUGCAAUCUGAACUGGCUGAAUUUGAACGAAACAAGGUUUGGAGAUUAGUUUCUAAACCUUCUGAUGUUUCAAUUGUCGGAUUAAAAUGGAUUUUUAAAAACAAAACCGACAAAGAUGGCAAUAUUAUUCGAAAUAAAGCUAGACUAGUGGUUAAAGGUUAUUCGCAACAAGAAGGGAUAGACUAUGAAGAAACAUUUGCACCUGUUGCAAGACUUGAAGCAGUUCGCAUAUUUUUAGCCUAUGCAGCUCACAAAGACUUUGAUGUUUAUCAAAUGGAUGUUAAAUGUGCAUUCUUAAAUGGAGAACUAGAAGAAACAGUGUAUGUUGAACAACCACCAGGAUUUAUAAGCAAUGAACAUCCUAAUCAUGUUUACAUCCUAGAUAAGGUUGUAUAUGGAUUAAAACAAGCACCAAGAGCCUGGUACGCAACACUUACAAAUUUCUUGAAACAAUCUAAAUUUAAACAAGGAUCAGUUGACCCCACAUUAUUUCGCAAGAAAGUUGGGUGUCAUCUAAUGCUUGUUCAAAUUUAUGUUGAUGAUAUUAUCUUUGGCUCAACUGAUCCAGCAUUGUCAAUUGAAUUUGAAAAUCUAAUGAAAAGUCAGUUUGAAAUGAGCAUGAUGGGAAAAAUUAAUAAUUUUCUUGGCUUAAACAUAAGACAGAACAGGGAUGGAAUCUUAAUCAAUCAAGAAAAAUAUACGAAGAACUUGCUUGAAAAGUUUGGAAUGUCUAAUAGCACGAAACUCAGAGUACCAAUGGCAGUAGGAACAAGACUAACUCCUUCGUUAGAUGCUCCUGCUGUUGAUUUAACACUUUAUCGAAGCAUGAUAGGGUCUUUAUUGUACUUAACUGCAAGUAGACCUGAUAUUAUGUUUUCGGUUUGCAAUUGUGCUAGAUAUCAAGCUAAUCCCAGAGAACCUCAUUUGACUGCAGUGAAAAAUAUUUUUCGCUAUCUUAAGGGAACAGUUUCUUUAGGACUUUGGUAUCCUACGAAAACGGGGUUUUUCAUUCAAGCUUUUUCAGAUUCUGAUCUAGGAGGAUGUACUUUGGAUAGGAAAAGUACGAGUGGUGGAUGUCAACUAUUGGAUGGGAAGUUGGUGAGUUGGCAAUCAAAGAAACAAACUUGUGUGGCUAUAUCAACCGCUGAGGCAGAAUACAUUGCUGCUGCUGCUUGCACUUCGCAAAUUAUUUGGAUUCAGAGUCAACUUCGUGACUAUGCAAUAAACAUGAAAAAGAUUCCUUUGUAUUGUGAUUCGCAAAGUGCAAUUCGCAUUUGUCAUAAUCCAGUACAACAUUCAAAGACAAAACACAUUGCUCUUCGAUAUCAUUUUAUCAAAGAUCAUGUGGAAGAUGGGAAUAUUGAAAUUCAUUUUGUUAAAACAACUGAACAACUUGCUGAUAUUUUUACAAAACCUCUUGAUGAAAAAUCAUUUGUUAGAAUUUUAGCAGGUUUGGGGAUGAUUAAUGCGAAUUCAAUUUCAAAAACUCAUGCCUAAAAGUCUGGUUCAGCAGUUAUGAGUCAAAUUUGUUCAGAGGUUACUGUUCAUUCAGAGACUUCGCAUGGCUUCGCAUCCACAUCUUUUCGCAUCUGAGAUCAUAACAACUAAGGUAAGGUUUACGACUAAUUUUGAAUUUUUUUUUUAACUUUUGAAAAAUCAAAAAUCCAAAAAGAUUUUAUUUUGUUAUGUUCUUAAUUUUGAAAAAUUAAAAAUCCAAAAAGAUUUUAUUUUGUUAUGUUUUUAAUUUUGAAAAAUUCAAAAAUCACAAAAAUAUUUUUGUUUUCUUUGUUCUUUAAACUUUGUGUGCUGAGAAUUUAAUACAGGGCUAAAAUGCGAAGAAGUCAUACUUAUGUGUUUCUACGGGAAGGUAUUAAAUUUCUUUUAAAAACUAGUUAGGAUGUCCCUAGAAGCAUGCUGUUGUAUGUAGACCAAAAGCCUCAACAAGACUCUAUGUGUGAAAAGAAAGCCUUAAUGAAAUUAUCACAUGAAAAUUUCUUCCCAAAAAGGCUUAUAUUCGCAUAAGUCAACAGAGCUACCUUACUCUUCUCAAAUGAGUUAAGAGUUUUCUGUUUUGUCCAUUAUAACAGAGGUACACUUCGAUUCUUAUCCAAUCUUUUUAUACCAAACAAUUCUUUCACUCCAAAUUUUUGAAGAGAUUUGUCCUUGAGGUCUUUGAUCAAACCAAUCAAAACCUAGACAAAUCACAAGUCUGUGUUUAUGAUCUAACAUCAUGAGUCCGUGAUGGAAGUGAAACCCAAAAAUCAUAAACCUUAAGGAAUUGACGGGGAACUUUGUUCCAGAUUUUUACGAAACCUUUGUUUCAGUAUCAAAAAUUUCGAAACUUCAAAUCAUAUUCAAUUCGCAUGUGUGGUCUUGAUCAAAUAUUCACAACCAAGAAUGUUUGUUACCCAACAAGAUCCAGAACAAAUUUUCUUUUGAAUAUGAUUUCAGUGUAAGUUUCAUUAGCAAAUCCUUGUCAUGAUAAAUAUUUUCACAAGCCAAUUUGUCACUGACGACACUGGUCAAACAAGUAAUUUCAUUUACAAUUUCUCACCUUAUGUUAAGGCUGAUAUGUAAUGAAAUUUCAAACCAAUCCAUAAUGUCUUUUAAAAGAAGCCCUUCGAUACUUCUCUACAAGUAUUUGAUUGUAAAUCACGGGAAACUACAUAAGCUGUUGAUUAUCUCUCUUGAUAAUUAACGAAGCAACCUUUGCCUGGGGUUUUACUGCAUUCAUGUCAAAUUAAAAUUUUGACAUCACAACAUUCCAAAUAUUUGUUUGUUUCUCAUCUUAUUUUGCUGACACAAUGCACACACGAAAUCCUUGAGGUUUUGAGUAAAACCAACUCAGACUGAUGAUUUGGCAAAUCUGGCAUAUGACUUCACUUUAUCUCCCAAAAGUGAAAGAGCCUUGACUCCAUGAGAAGGGUUUUAACGGUUCAGAUUCUAUAACGGGAAACUUGACAGGCUGUAUACUCAAAAUGGUUGGUAUUCUAUCCAGUUUUCAAGGAGAUGGGACAGUUACUUUUUGAAGCAUGGUUAUCUUUUGCAGUCAUGAUCCGAUUUUCAAGGUGCCACAUCAGAUAACAUUAAAUGUAUCCCGCUUUCAUUUCAAAUCAAUUUUGAGUAACCUAUAAAAGGGGGAUCAAGCACACUAUAUACGGUUACGCAAACAGAACUCUCAUAAAACUUCAAAGUCUAAACCUUGAUCAAAACUUCAUCUUUCUCAAAACCCUAACAAUGGCAGCCACUCAAUCCAACACUGACGAAGUUCUUUCUCAAUCCCUGAUGAAAAUCCAAAGCACCAAUUAUCAAGUUGAUCCAAACGUUUCCUCUUAUCCUGAAGAAUUGAAGAUGCUUAUCGUUGCUCUGAUACGAUCACCUCUGUCAACUGCCAUGUUCAGUUCCUUCUCUGUUCCAAUGAUAUGGUUAUCCCUGGCAGCUUCAACGGCAUCAUACAAUCGCACAGCGGAUGUGAUCACCUUCAAUUUAACCAACAACAAAUGGGUUAAACUGUCCAAGAAGAUGUUUGUUGAAAUCUUGCAGAUUCCAAACAACCCUCCGUUUGUCAAACCCGUCAACUCGCAAAUCAUUCACAUGUUCAACGAGAUGGGUCAUCAACCGGAGCUUGAGAAAAUCAGUGACUUUAGAAAGUCUGGGUUGCCGUGUAUCUGGAAUUUCUUAUUUGGCAUUUUUCUAAGGUGUCUUACAGGAAGAUCUGUCGGACUAGAUAGAGGAAGAAUGGAAGUAUAUGCCAUGGUUAUGGGCAUAUACUAUGAUAUCAACGUGGAUUAUGCAAACCAGUUAUGGAAGGAAUUUGUUAAAAGUCUUGAAAACACAAAUUCAGAAAAGGGGAUCUCGUGUGCCAGAUAUUAGAGCUUGAUUCUAGAAAAGGUCUAUGAAAAAGAAUCAAUUCCAGUAAUGGAGGAUGCUGACGUUGCAGAAUUUUCUUUAUACCAGUUUCCAAAGACGGUAGAAGAUGAUGAAGCAAUAUUUACUCAUGUUGCUCGCAUUCCAGAUGCGAUGCUUCGCAAAGUGUCUCCAACUCACAAAGUUUUGGUGAGAUAUUUGCGAACUGUUGACCCAUCAGAGCAGACUGGAGUAUUACUAGAUGUUGCUACUCCGUCAAAGAAGAAGAAGAUUAGCAAGAAAGAUGCGAAGGCUUCAUCCUCACCAAAAGUUCAAGAUGAAGCUAUUCAGACUGAAGAAACUUCAUCAAAGUCGAAGAAAGAAAUCAUACCUUCUAAGUCUGGGGUAUUGAAGAAAAUUCGCAAGGCUGAGGUGAGUAGUAAAGGCGUUACUAUUCGCAGUAUUCCAGCUCCGGUUUCUCCAGGCAAGAAAAGACAAAGAGCUGAAGAUGUUGCCAAAAACAUGCAACGUACACUUGUCAAAAGGAGAAAGAUGGUGAUUCGCAAUGAAUCAUCUGAUGAAAAAAUCGUACCAGAAACUCCACCCGUAACAUCUAUGGUAAAUGUUUCUUUACCGAUUAUUCAUACUUCGCAAAUUUCAACCACUCUACCACAAACUAAACCACUCGAAAUAGUUCCUACCAAAUCAGUUUCUGAGGAGGUACCUAUUUCUGAUACGGUUGUCAACGUAUCUGAUAUGGGGGCACCUAUCCUGAGUGUUGCAACCACAAUCCCAAUCUCAAUCUCCUUACCCAUUUCAUUACCAGUUGUUUCAAUUCCAGUUACCACUUUAUCCACCACUUCAUCAAUUUUUGAUCAUGUUCUUCAAAACCCAUUUACAACUCUUUUUCCUUCUCAAUCACCCGAAAAUCCUCAACCUUCGCAAUCUUUAUCUGAUACUGAAGCUGAAGGCGGUGCCUUUGGAGGAAUCAUUGAAGAUAUUCAUUUUGAUUCAGAGGAGGAGGAUAUUCCUGAUCAUAUGCUUAUGACAGGAAAACAAUUUUAAAUCCUGAAUCAAAAAUUAAAUGCUAUUAUUCAGUCACAAGCUGAUUCUGGCAGGAUGUCCUCUAUUUCUGCUAUGGAGGUUGAUGUAAUGAUCAAAGGGGCUGAGAAGCGGAUUAUGGAGAAGGUUGAUCAAUCUGACAAAAAUAAUGAGCUUCGCAUUCAAGCACAAGGGAGCAAUUUUUCUUCAGCAGUAAAGGAUUUGAAAGCUGUUGCAAAAGAACGUCAUGUUCUUUUUGUACAAGAUGUGAAGAAAGUUCGAGAAGAUGUCAACUUUAAACUUCAAGAAUUGAAAUCUGAAAUUGCGAAGGAGCUUCAAGAUAUUCAUACUCAAAAUGCUGAAGUUCAAAAGCAGAUUGUGGAGGUUUCUUCAAAAGUACAAAAGUUUGCUGAUGUUCGUAAUUCUGAAGCAACUACUGAAGAAAUAAAGGAGAAGCUUGCUCAGCUAUUCAAGUUGGUGUUUGAGCUUAAGAUGAUGGUUUCGCAAUCUUCAACGACUCAAAUUCUUACUCCUGAGUUCUUGACUCUAAAGAUUAAUACUUUAGAGCAAGCAAUUCAGAAAGCUCUUGCUCCACUCGCAAAUUUUACUUCUUUACUACCCAGGAGUGCCCCACCUGCUUUCACAGGGGUGCAAGGGGGAGACAAAAGAUCAAGUAAAGAAGAAGAUGCGAAGACAAUUGGGAAAGUUAUAUCUACUUAACUUAUAACUACUCUUCCCAUAAUUACGAAGCCAAUUUCCUCAACCACAGUAACCACAAGAACGAUUGCCAAAGGAAUCGUUAUUGGAGAAAAAGAUGGAGGUUCAAGUUCAAAACCUCAAACAGAUACGGUGGGAAAAGGAAAAGGGAUCUUAUAUGAAAAAUCAAAGGAGGAGAAGAAAGCUGAGGCUGAAGCCGAGUUGGAAAGAAUGAGGCAAGUUCAGAGCAUUAUGAGGCAGAGAGCAAGUGAUCCUCCCACAAGGAACAAAGGAGAUCCUGCGAAGCUUUACUCAUAUGAAACAAUAGAGUCAAAAGUAGUAGGAAGGGAGAUGUACGAGUUUGAGAAGAAGCCAAAGAGGAGUUAUGAUAUUGCGAACUCAGAUAAUUGUCAGCUGGAUUUUCCAAUAAAUGAAAUGUUAUUCAUUACUGCUCAGUACAAGAUAAGUGAGAAAUUUGAUAAUCCUGAUGAUUAUACUCACAUGAAAAUCAGAUUUCAUGCUGUCUUGGGGAAGAAUCCAGAUGAAGUUUGGUCUUUAUUAAAGAUCAAAAAGGUGCUGACAAUCAAGAAAGACGUAUUAUUCGAAGAUAUGCUUCAAAAUUUUUGUUAUUUUGUUAUCAGAGCAGAUAACAACCAGUAUGACUUCACGGUAGCUGAUUUUCCAUUGAUGAACUGCAAUGAUUUAAUUCAAGUGGCUCUGAUAUUGAAGCAUAUGGAAGAAACUAAUCUCAAACGUUCUGAGACAGAAGUGUUCAAGGUAGGCUUCGCACAUGUGAAGACAUUCAUCGAGAACUACUUCGAUUGUUUGGCCCUUACAGAUGAUGAAUUGGCUAAUGUGGUGGGAAGAGAAGUAAAUGUUCCUUGGAAGAAACUUUAUCCCAAUCAGCUUUGUCGAAAUAUGUAGUUGGAGAAAUAUGCCUAAAACCAUUCGGCAUGGUGUUUUCUGGAAGAGACACAAAAGGGAAACCAAAGAAAUUCUUGUUCAAAGUCUCAGAGAUUGAAAGAUAUAAUUCUUCGCAAUAUACGCACUUUAUUGUUCGUAUGAAUAAUUGCAAGAAGAAUAAUGAAGGAGACAAGAAAGAUCUCAAGAAGGUGAUCUCCUAGUAUGGAGAAGUGCGAAGGACAAUCCACUCUGCUGUUCAAAAGCUUAUGGGUUGAAUACUAUCGACUGUUUACAAAGGGGGAGAAUGUAGAUGUAAAAUUGUAAAAGUCAAAUAUAGUGUAUUGUAUAGUUUCGCAUUUUAUGUUAUUUUACUAAGUCAUCUGUUUUGCGAAGUGAAAAUGUCUAGACUUAGUAUAUUUUUUGUACACUCAUGUUCCCUAUAAAUAGGGACUGAGGGUAGAAGUAAGAGAGGUUGUUUUCGUAACAGAUAUCUCUUUUCUACUUAUUUUGUAAUCAGUCUUUAUCAAUAUGAGAUCUGAUUAAUAUUUACUCUUCGUGUUCUUAAUCUUCAAUCACUCAAAUCUAACUUUGCUUUUUCAAAUCUCGAUAACAAUUCUCAUCACUGACAACCACAUACAAACGUCUCGUAUCGGGGCGCUCUCCGCCCUACGGCUCAAAGCAUCUGCUACAACAUUAGCCUUGCCCGGGUGGUACAGGAUCUCACAAUUAUAAUCCUUUCCCACAUCCAACCAUCUCCUCUGGCGCAUAUUCAGGUUGGGAUGAUAAAUCAAGUACUUCAGACUCUUGUGGUCCGUGUAUAUGGUACACCAAACCCCAUACAGAUGGUGACGCCAGAUCUUGAGGGCGAACACCACAGCCCCCAACUCUAGGUCAUGGGUGGGAUACCUCAACUCAUGAGGCUUUAGCUACCUCGAUGCAUAUGCUAUCACAUGCCCCCUCUGCAUAAGCACUACUCCCAACCCGGAUAUCGAUGCAUCACAGUACACCACAAAAUCCUCCAUCCCUUCCGGGAGUGCGAGCAUCGGGGCUUCGCACAACUUCUGGCGAAGUGUCUCAAAUGAGGUCUGCUGCUCCAGACCCCAGGAAAAAGUGACACCCUUCCGGGUCAUCUUGGUAAGUGGCACGGCAAUCUUGGAGAAACCCUUAGUAAAUCUCCGAUAAUAACCGGCCAAUCCCAGAAAGCUCCUGAUCUCGGUGGGCGAUCUCGGCACCUCCCACCUCAUGACUGCCUCAAUCUUGGCUGGGUCGACCAAUAUCCCAUUCUGGUUAGCGAGAUGUCUCAAGAACUGAACCUCUCGUAACCAGAAAUCACACUUGGAGAAUUUGGCAUACAGCCUCUUCGAUCUCAGAACUCUAAGGAUCUCCCUUAAAUGCUGCUCGUCACUCACACCGCUCGCCUGAGGUCUAUGGCGUGUCCCACCAUGAUGUCUCUGAAAGAUAACAUAAUAAUAUCAAAGACUCAUUCGAGCAUACUCGCACUCGAUAACUCGACCCUACUUGUUCCUUAGUACCCAAAGGAUUCUUACUUAGAGUGCGCACUGCUCUGGUGUCUUCGGUAGUACGGGCCUUUAUACUACCGCUACACCGCAUCAGUAUUCACCCUAAUUCCUCUGUGACAACCCAAAAUUUCCAUUCUCGACAAACAAUAUCACUUCAAUAUAAGUUAUAACUACACAGAUAAUUUUCAGACUUUUCCGUAUAAGUUUGAGUCUUUAGGGUUUACACUCCAGGAAAUAUCAGGAGAGUGGAUGCACUAGGGUUUCGUGUAACACCGUUAUUCCAACAUUCUGUUAUAUUAGAAAUCAUUUCGGGAAUAAAAAUAUUUUCUGCCAAAAAUAUCUCAGGACUAUAAAUAGAAUUCCGAACCAAAUUCAUUCAUUAUUCGCAUUUCCAACUAGAGAAAAGCCAUUUUCUCUCUCACGGAUCUUCGGGUUUUCAUCCCAAAUCAUGAGUACACUUCUCUAGUUGUCUUAUAAUGCUUAUUAUGUGCUUAAUAACAUAGAUUACAUAUCAAAUCUGUGAGAUUCGGGAUUUUACCGCCCAAGAACGUUCUUGGAGAGUAAACUCCAAAAUGAGGCUCAAAUGCUACCUAGUCUUUUCCCCAUGAUAAGUGACGGACUUAGGCUUAUUUAUAAGUGUAUUUAAGACUAGAAAACAAUCAAAAACAACACGAUCUAGGUGUUCACGGCCCAAGAAUUUCUUGGACCGUGAACUCCAAAAUCAAGGGCCAAAGAGUGUGUUAAUCACUCCUAAAGCCUUGGACAUUAAACCCUAUUUAAUCCUAGCUAAUUUGCAGACUUUAAAACAGCAAAGACACCUCCCCAAAGUGAGUUUACGUCCCUAGUAAUAUUCUUGGGCCGUGAACAUCAAUUAAGGGCACCAAAGUGUGCCUAGGGCCUUCAUUAGCUUUAAACAAAUAACUAGAAACUAUCCUAUAUGUGUUUGGCACUUGAAAGCAUAAAAACACCCAUCCCAUGAGAGUUUACGGCAGUAAACUCCAAAGGAAUUGGCCUUGGGGCCGUAAACUCCUCAAAGGAGUGUUUCCAUGCCCUAAACUACCCAAAGGAUUAAACCACCAAGUAGAACUUAUUCUAGAAAUCAAGUAACACUUCAAAACAAAUUAUGUCAACAUGUUUGAGAGCUUACGGCCGUAAACUCAAGGGUUUACGACCGUAAACUCCUUAUGUGGAGUUUAUUGAAGAGUAAACACAUAUACAAGGUCCUUGAGAACUUUAAACCCCUUUAGCCUUGUCCCACAACAACUUAGAUGCAACCCUUAAGACUUAUAACACCUAUACAAGGUGUUUACAUGUUCAAGAGUGUCCCAACUAAAUUUAUUAGUUAUUAUUUGGCUAAUUAGUUAUAUACAUGUUCAUUAUAUGAUAACUAGGCUCGUGCGUGUGUACAAGUCUCCGUUUGCCACCUAAAACAGUAUCCGACACUCCAUCCAAUCCACUCACCACAAGUGAGUUCAUACCCCUUUAAUUAACCUUUGAAAUACUUUUAAAUGUUUUAAAUGCUUUUAUGGGGGGGAUACAAGUUAAAUACUUAUAGUUAUUACAUCAAUCACAUGUGAUUAAUAACUAUAAGACCAAUGAUUUUAUUACUGUUCACACUGUUUAUCAAACUGUUUUACAAACUCUUUUACGUAUCAACUACUUUUACUUAAACCUUGUUACACUUAUUAUAAAUUGCAUGCCCGUAUAUGUAUAUUUGUAUAAGUAAUGUUUAAAAGACUUAGGAAGGCUAUCCACCUUGUUUCCUUUUCCUCGAUUUGGAUGUGGUAUGAUAGGAUAUCGGGUACUCGUCCGAAGGUCGUUUAAAUAUUAAUUAUAUAUCAUGUGUACAUAUAUAGACAUAAAAGUGCUUCCAUAUUCAUGCGUACUAGUUACAUCAUUAAUAGGCUACCAUCGGGGUAGCACAGGAUCAUACUUAUACUAUUGCUAGAUCAAUGAGUCAGUUCAUUCAUGAGUCAAUACUUAUUACUAUGAGAACAUAUACAACUAUACUAGAUAAAGAACAUAUACAACUAUACUAGAACAAUUCAUUACAUUACAUAUACAACGAUACUAGAACAAGUAACAUUACAUUACAUAUACAUGAAUACAUUAACAAUUGUGAUCUACUGUGUCGGAGCAUGCCUUAAAUGUCAUGGCCCGAGUUGUAGCCAGAAUUCUCUUGGAGGGAAAGCGUGAGUUUGCGUAUAGAUCUAUACUGGAUUGACUAUCCUACACCUUGCUGCUAGCUACAGCCGGACCUACAGGUCUGCGGGUGCCAAACGUCAUUCCGUUUUACGACCAUUCGUAUGUCGUUGUUACCAGUCGAUAGUAUGGUACAAUUAAAUCAUAUAAUACCUUAAUAUAAAUCCGGUUUAAGAUAGUUAGUACAGCAGUAGUUCCUAUUAUACAACACUACAGUACUACAAUAAUUUACCCUGUUACAUAUAUUUAGUGAUUAAUUCAUUUAAACAUUAAUAUACAAACUAUAUUUUGUUAAUGAUAGUUACAUUUGAGAAAUUACACACUUUUACAACAAACGAACAUACAAAACAAUUAAGCCUUGGUAGGAGGCAACUUUAAUAGAAAAUAUAGGUUUUUCUGAGAGAUUCAAACUUUUAUAAACACUUACAAACAUUUACAUACAUUUUACAAACUUACACUUAAGACAUGUUCAAACGUUUUGAUAACCAACACCGACUCUAAAAUACUUAUGAACUCACCAACUUAAUGCUGAUAAACUCUUUCAAAAUAACUUGUAUUCUCAGGUCAUCAGUAGACAGGUACCGAGGCCAGCUUUUGAGAAGAUGGAGCGCAUCCAAGACUCAUCUUAUUAUUUUGAUUUACAUUAUUUUUGGUGUCUAUAACUGUACAGAACACACUUGUAUUAAAAUUAUAUAUUUAAUGCAAAGGAUGAUGUUGUUUGCUUGUUUACUUUUACUGUGUUGUGAUACUUUACAUGACGUCCUCCGCCCCAGAACGUUUCCGCCGUUCUUGGUUUUGGGGUGUGACAGAUUGGUAUCAGAGCAUUGUUUAUAGUGAAUCAAGUAUAUCAACCCAUAAAAGAUAUACUAAUCUAUAAACCCAAAAGGGACUAAAACACUCUGACCAAGAGUCUAUACUUUAAAUAAUAAAAUAUUUAAUUAAGUAUACUAGUCUGCAUUCAUACUAAAAUCAGUGUCACAAUGACAAGAACAAAAGUAUUACGAUUGUUGAAUAUCACAAGUGAGCUCGGGGAUGUAUGGUCAGUCCUGGGAAUGGCAUAGCCUGAUCAACUAUGCUGGUCCUAGGAGUGAUUAGCAUAUGCCCUAGAAUGGUUGUGAUAUGUUAGCAAGUCUAAAAACUUACCAACAAUACCACAAGAAGAUCAAUAGAACCUAAACUUGAAAUACUAUAGGAGUAGUUUGUGCUACUACAAGCUACUUAUAGACUACAUUCUUAUACCUCUUUUCUCGCAUAGAUAUCGUAGCUGGAAUAGCUCAGUUGAUUAGUCAAUGUGUUACUCUCACACUACCUACAAUUGAUUCUUACCAUUUUGUUCAUCUUUCUAAACUUAUAGUUGAAAGAUGCCUCCUCGCAAAUCUACCAAGAAAAACCCUGCACCUCCACCUCCUCCUCCUCCGGUCAUCGCUACUGCAGCCCUGAAUGCUGCCAUAGCCGCAGCAGUGGCAACUGCCAUGGCUCAGUAUCACUCUUCUGAUGUCUGCAGAGGUGGAACCCCUAUUGAAUCAAUUCCGGUUGAAACCCCUGUGCGCUCGAGAGAGUGCUCCUACAAGGAUUUCACCAACUAUAAGCCGAAGUCCUUUCAUGGGACCGGUAGAGUCAUUGCCCUCUCGCAAUGGUUCGAGAAGACUGAAUCAGUCUUCGAAAUCUGUUCAUGCCCUGCUGCGAGCAAAGUCAAAUAUGCUGCAUGCACCUUUGAAGGAAAGGCUCUGACAUGGUGGAACGGCCAUGUUAAGGCACUAACUCUCCUGGUGGCGAAUGACAUGGGUUGGGAAACCAUGAAGGACCUCAUGAUUGAGGAAUACUGCCCGAGGGGCGAAAUCCAGAAAUUGGAGCAGGAGCUGUGGAGCCUAACCAUGAAGGGCUCCGACGUAGUCUCCUAUACAGCCAAGUUCAGCGAACUGGUGGCCCUCUGCCCCAAUAUGGUUCCCACCGAGGGGAAAAAAUCGAGAGGUACAUAUGGGGGCUGGUGCCUCCGUAUCAGGGGAAUGUCCUAUCAUCAAACCCCGCUACCUUCAACAGUGCCAAGCGAUUGGCACAGCGACUCAUCAACCAUGGAGUCAAAACCCCUGCAACAACAACCACCCUAGCCAUACCGGAACCCUCCAAACCCGCUGACACUAAGCGGAAGUUCUGGGANNNNNNNNNNNNNNNNNNNNNNNNNNNNNNNNNNNNNNNNNNNNNNNNNNNNNNNNNNNNNNNNNNNNNNNNNNNNNNNNNNNNNNNNNNNNNNNNNNNNNNNNNNNNNNNNNNNNNNNNNNNNNNNNNNNNNNNNNNNNNNNNNNNNNNNNNNNNNNNNNNNNNNNNNNNNNNNNNNNNNNNNNNNNNNNNNNNNNNNNNNNNNNNNNNNNNNNNNNNNNNNNNNNNNNNNNNNNNNNNNNNNNNNNNNNNNNNNNNNNNNNNNNNNNNNNNNNNNNNNNNNNNNNNNNNNNNNNNNNNNNNNNNNNNNNNNNNNNNNNNNNNNNNNNNNNNNNNNNNNNNNNNNNNNNNNNNNNNNNNNNNNNNNNNNNNNNNNNNNNNNNNNNNNNNNNNNNNNNNNNNNNNNNNNNNNNNNNNNNNNNNNNNNNNNNNNNNNNNNNNNNNNNNNNNNNNNNNNNNNNNNNNNNNNNNNNNNNNNNNNNNNNNNNNNNNNNNNNNNNNNNNNNNNNNNNNNNNNNNNNNNNNNNNNNNNNNNNNNNNNNNNNNNNNNNNNNNNNNNNNNNNNNNNNNNNNNNNNNNNNNNNNNNNNNNNNNNNNNNNNNNNNNNNNNNNNNNNNNNNNNNNNNNNNNNNNNNNNNNNNNNNNNNNNNNNNNNNNNNNNNNNNNNNNNNNNNNNNNNNNNNNNNNNNNNNNNNNNNNNNNNNNNNNNNNNNNNNNNNNNNNNNNNNNNNNNNNNNNNNNNNNNNNNNNNNNNNNNNNNNNNNNNNNNNNNNNNNNNNNNNNNNNNNNNNNNNNNNNNNNNNNNNNNNNNNNNNNNNNNNNNNNNNNNNNNNNNNNNNNNNNNNNNNNNNNNNNNNNNNNNNNNNNNNNNNNNNNNNNNNNNNNNNNNNNNNNNNNNNNNNNNNNNNNNNNNNNNNNNNNNNNNNNNNNNNNNNNNNNNNNNNNNNNNNNNNNNNNNNNNNNNNNNNNNNNNNNNNNNNNNNNNNNNNNNNNNNNNNNNNNNNNNNNNNNNNNNNNNNNNNNNNNNNNNNNNNNNNNNNNNNNNNNNNNNNNNNNNNNNNNNNNNNNNNNNNNNNNNNNNNNNNNNNNNNNNNNNNNNNNNNNGGUCAAAAAUCGUUACCCUCUGCCUCGCAUAGACGAUCUAUUUGACCAACUGCAAGGGGCGAGUUACUUCUCCAAAAUUGAUCUGAGAUCCGGAUAUCACCAGUUACGAGUGCUAGAGGAGGAUGUUCCGAAGACAGCCUUCCGAACUCGUUACGGACACUACGAGUUCGUGGUGAUACCAUUCGGAUUCACCAAUGCGCCCGCAGUCUUCAUGGAUCUGAUGAAUAGAGUAUGCCGACCUUAUUUGGAUCAGUUCGUCAUUGUAUUCAUUGAUGACAUCCUGAUCUACUCCCGAAGUAAGGAAGAGCAUGGCGAUCAUCUGCAACAAGUUCUAGGAACUUUACGAGCGGAGAAGCUCUAUGUGAAGUUCUCUAAAUGUGAAUUUUGGACCCGAAGAGUCGAAUUCUUAGGACACGUGGUAAGUGAAGAGGGAAUCCACAUGGACCCAUCCAAAAUUAAAGCCAUUGAGAACUGGUCAGCACCAAAGACACCUACAGAAAUUAGGCAAUUUAUAGGUCUCGCUGGCUACUACCGCAGGUUCAUACAAAACUUCUCCCGAAUUGCGAAACCUCUUACAACACUGACCCAGAAGGGCGUGGCCUUUGACUGGGAAGAGAAACAGGAAAGAGCGUUCCAAACGCUCAAGCGAGCCUUAUGCACCGCACUAAUACUAUCCCUCCCCGAAGGAAUAGAAGACUUCGUAGUCUAUUGCGAUGCAUCGAAUCAAGGGCUCGAGUGUGUUCUGAUGUAGCGAGGUAAGGUCAUCGCCUACGCCUCGAGACAGUUGAAGACACACGAAGUUAACUACACGACCCAUGAUCUUGAACUAGGGGCAGUUGUGUUUGCUCUGAAGAUCUGGAGACAUUACUUGUACGGAAUGAAAAGCACUAUUUUUACCGACCACAAGAGUUUAAAACACAUAUUCGAUCAAAAGGAGAUCAACAUGAGACAACGACGGUGGGUCGAGCUACUCAGUGAUUACGAAUGAGAAAUUCGUUAUCAUCCGGGUAAAGCCAACGUAGUAGCAGGCGCUCUAAGUCGGAAAGAAUAUUAUGGUCGAAGAGUCAAGUCAUUGACAAUAACUAUCCAUUCGUACUUGUCUAAGCAAAUUCAGGUGGCCCAACUUAAAGCUAUGCAAUCUGAAAACGUGACGAGUGAAUCCCUUAGAGGAAUGGAUAAAAACCUGGAAGCCAAGGGUGGCGGAGCCUUAUAUUUCAUGAACCGGAUCUGGACACCGAAACGUGGUGGUUUCCGAGACUUCGUCAUGACCGAGGCGCACAACACUCGGUAUUCCGUCCACCCAGGUUCAGAUAAGAUGUAUCUGGAUCUUAAAAAGCUAUACUGGUGGCCUAAUAUGAAAGCAGAGAUUGCUACCUUCGUAAGUAAAUGCCUUACUUGCGCAAAGGUUAAGGUCGAGUACCAGAAGCCCUCUGGUUUAUUGCAACAACCAGAGAUCCCGGAAUGGAAGUGGGAGCGGAUCACUAUGGAUUUCAUAACCAAGUUGCCCAAGACAACGGGUGGACUUGACACCAUAUGGGUCAUCGUCGAUAGAUUGACCAAGUCUGCACACUUCCUGCCUAUCAAAGAAACCGACAAGAUGGAGAAACUUACGAGAACAUACAUUAGGGAAAUCGUACGGCUACAUGGUGUACCUAUGUCCAUUAUCUCCGAUAGAGAUAGUAGGUUCACCUCAAGAUUUUGGCAAUCACUACAACAUUCCCUAGGAACAAGGCUGGACAUGAGCACAGCCUACCAUCCUCAGACCGACGGACAGAGUGAGAGGACCAUCCAAACUCUGGAAGAUAUGUUGCGAGCCUGCGUGAUUGACUUUGGGAAGGCAUGGGAUACUCAUUUACCCCUUGUCGAGUUUUCCUAUAAUAACAGUUAUCACACGAGCAUCAAGGCUGCUCCAUUUGAAGCCCUCUACGGCCGAAAGUGCAGAUCCCCUCUGUGUUUGGCUGAGGUGGGUGAUACCCAAUUAGCUAGGGGCAAGCUUUUGACAGUACUCUCACCGGUCCGGAGAUCAUUCAGGAAAUGACAGAGAAGACCGUUCAGAUCCGUGAAUGAUUAAAAGCCUCUAGAGACCAACAGAAGAGCUACACUGAUACGUUUUGGUAAGCGUGGGAAGCUUAAUCCAAGGUAUAUAGGACCCUUCGAGAUUCUCGCAAGAAUUGGCCCCGUAGCUUACAAACUCAACCUACCCGACGAACUCCGUAACGUACAUUCUACAUUCCACGUAUCUAACUUGAAAAAGUGUCUGUCCGACGAGACUCUUGUAAUCCCACUCGACGAGAUCGAGAUCAACGAGAGCCUCAACUUCGUGGAAGAACCUGUAGAGAUCAUGGACCGUGAGGUCAAGCAGACGAAGCAAAGUCGUAUCCCGAUCGUGAAGGUUCGCUGGAACGCCAAGCGAGGACCAGAAUUCACUUGGGAAUGCGAGGAUCAGAUGAAACUAAAAUACCCUCAUCUUUUCGCUUAGUUAUUUGUAACUUCUUAUUUGCUGAAAUUCUAAUUUCGGGACAAAAUUCUUUCUAACGGGGGAUGAUGUGACAACCCAAAAUUUUCAUUCUGUACAAACAAUAUCACUUCAAUAGAAGUUAUAACAGUCAUAGUCAAUUUUCAGACUUUUCGUAUAAGUUGGAGUAAUAUAGGGUUUACACUUCAGUAAAUAUCAGGAGAGUGGAUGCACUAUGGUUUUGUGCAACACUGUUAUUCCAACACUCUGUUAUAUUAGAAAUCAUUUCAGGAAUAAAAAUAUUUUCAGUCAAAAAUAUCUCAGGACUAUAAAUAGAUUUCUGAACCAAAUUCAUUCAUUAUUCACAUUUCCAACUAGAGAAAAGCCAUUUUCUCUCUCACGGAUCUUCGGGUUUUCGUCCCAAAUCGUGAGUACACUUCUCUAGUUGUUUUAUAAUGCUUAUUAUAUGCUUAAUAACAUAGAUUACAUAUCAAAUCUGUGAGAUUCGGGAGUUUACCGCCCAAGAACGUUCUUGGAGAGUAAACUCCAAAAUGAAGCUUAAAUGCUACCUAGUCCCAUUUCCUUGUUAAGUAACUAGCUUGGGCUUGUAUGUAUGUAUAUUUGAGGCUAGAAAACAAUCAAAAACACCAAGCUUUGGGUGUUCAUGGCCCAAGAACUUCUUGGACCGUGAACUCCAAAUUCAAGGGCCAAAAGGUGCCCUAAUUACUCCUAAAGCCUUGGACAUUAACCCCCAUUUAAUCCUAGCUAAAUUUUGGACUUUAAAACAUCAAAGGCCCCCCUUAAAGUGAGUUUACGGCCCUGGAAAUGUUCAUGGGCCGUGAACAUCAAUAAGGAGCANACCAAAGUGUGCCUAGGGCCUUCAUUAGCUUUAAACAAAUACCUAGAAACUAUCCUAGAUGUGUUUGGCACUUGAAAGCAUACAAACACCCAUCCCAUGAGAGUUUACGGUAGUAAAAUCCAAGGGAAUUGGCCUUGGGGCAGUAAACUCCUCAAAGGAGUGUUUCUAUGCCCUAAACUACCCAAAGGAUUAAACCACCAAGUAGAACUUAUUCUAGAAAUCAAGUAACACUUCAAAACAAAUUAUGUCAACAUGUUUGAGAGCUUACGGCCAUAAACUCAACGAUUUACGACCGUAAACUCCUUAUGUGGAGUUUAUUGAAGAGUAAACACAUAUACAAGGUCCUUGAGAACUUUAAACCCCUUUAGCCUUGUCCCACAACAACUUAGAUGCAACCCUUAAGACUUAUAACACCUAUACAAGGUGUUUACAUGUUCAAGAGUGUCCCAACUAAAUUUAUUAGUUAUUAUUUGGCUAAUUAGUUAUAUACAUGUUCAUUAUAUGAUAACUAGGCUCGUGCGUGUGUACAAGUCUCCGUUUGCCACCUAAAACAGUAUCCGACACUCCAUCCAAUCCACUCACCACAAGUGAGUUCAUACCCCUUUAAUUAACCUUUGAAAUACUUUUAAAUGUUUUAAAUGCUUUUAUGGGGGGAAUACAAGUUAAAUACUUAUAGUUAUUACAUCAAUCACAUGUGAUUAAUAAUUAUAAGACCAAUGAUUUUAUUACUGUUCACACUGUUUAUCAAACUAUUUUACUUCAAACUGUUUUACAAACUCUUUUACGUAUCAAAUACUUUUACUUAAACCUUGUUACACUUAUUAUAAAUUGCAUGCCCGUAUAUGUAUAGUUAUAUAAGUAAUGUUUAAAAGACUUAGGAAGGCUAUCCACCUUGUUUCCUUUUCCUCGAUUUGGAUGUGGUCUGAUAGGAUAUCGGGUACUCGUCCGAAGGUCGUUUAAAUAUUAAUUAUAUAUCAUGUGUACAUAUAUAGACAUAAAAGUGCUUCCAUAUUCAUGCGUACUAGUUACAUCAUUAAUAGGCUACCAUCGGGGUAGCACAGGAUCAUACUUAUACUAUUGCUAGAUCAAUGAGUCAGUUCAUUCAUGAGUCAAUACUUAUUACUANNNNNNNNNNNNNNNNNNNNNNNNNNNNNNNNNNNNNNNNNNNNNNNNNNNNNNNNNNNNNNNNNNNNNNNNNNNNNNNNNNNNNNNNNNNNNNNNNNNNNNNNNNNNNNNNNNNNNNNNNNNNNNNNNNNNNNNNNNNNNNNNNNNNNNNNNNNNNNNNNNNNNNNNNNNNNNNNNNNNNNNNNNNNNNNNNNNNNNNNNNNNNNNNNNNNNNNNNNNNNNNNNNNNNNNNNNNNNNNNNNNNNNNNNNNNNNNNNNNNNNNNNNNNNNNNNNNNNNNNNNNNNNNNNNNNNNNNNNNNNNNNNNNNNNNNNNNNNNNNNNNNNNNNNNNNNNNNNNNNNNNNNNNNNNNNNNNNNNNNNNNNNNNNNNNNNNNNNNNNNNNNNNNNNNNNNNNNNNNNNNNNNNNNNNNNNNNNNNNNNNNNNNNNNNNNNNNNNNNNNNNNNNNNNNNNNNNNNNNNNNNNNNNNNNNNNNNNNNNNNNNNNNNNNNNNNNNNNNNNNNNNNNNNNNNNNNNNNNNNNNNNNNNNNNNNNNNNNNNNNNNNNNNNNNNNNNNNNNNNNNNNNNNNNNNNNNNNNNNNNNNNNNNNNNNNNNNNNNNNNNNNNNNNNNNNNNNNNNNNNNNNNNNNNNNNNNNNNNNNNNNNNNNNNNNNNNNNNNUUGGGAAAUUACACACUUUUACAACAAACGAACAUACAAAACAGUUAAGCCUUGGUAGAAGGCUACUUUAAUAGAAAAUAUAGGUUUUUCUGAGAGAUUCAAACUUUUACAAACACUUACAAACAUUUACAUACAUUUUACAAACUUACACUUAAGACAUGUUCAAACGUUUUGAUAACAAACACCGACACUAAAAUACUUAUGAACUCACCAGCUUAAUGCUGAUAAACUCUUUCAAAAUAACUUGUAUUCUCAGGUCAUCAGUAGACAGGUACCGAGGCCAGCUUUUGAGAAGAUGGAGCGCAUCCAAGACUCAUCUUAUUAUUUUGAUUUACAUUAUUUUUGGUGUCUAUAACUGUACAGAACAUGCUUGUAUUAAAAUUAUAUAUUUAAUGCAAUGGAUGAUGUUGUUUGCUUGUUUACUUUUACUGUGUUGUGAUACUUUACAUAAUGUCCUCCGCCCCAGAACGUUUCCGCCGUUCUCGGUUUUGGUGUGUAACAUCCUCCUCCUUGGAUCCCAGAUCACAAGUACUCUAUAUCUCACUGGCAUAGGCUACCCUUCGGUAGGCCUCUUAUCAGCCCCUCACUGAUAUCUACUCGCUCUAAAGCAUCACAUAGCAACACAUUCCUUCCUAGGCUAAGGCAUCACAAAAUCAGGCCACUCUAGUCCUAAUAUGAAUACCUAGCUAAUUGUAGCAUGCAUAAUAUAACAUAUCAUAUCUCAUAACACAUAACGUAAGGGCAUUUUGGGGGAUCACCGUCCGGGCGCUGGCUGACCGUACGCACUGCUCCGCUCUAUUGUCUCAAAAUCUCUUGCUUUUUAGAAAAUUAGUUUUUAUCGUUUGGAAAUUUUCUCAAAUCCUCAGUUUGAGUUCAGUUACGCCCGAAGGUGCAUCCGGAUCCCUCAAACCAAGGCUCUGAUACCAACUUGUUACAACGUAAAUUUUCGAAACAAAUUUUCAUUUCUUUAACACAUAAUUUCAUUCAAGACAAACCAUAAAAUCCAAUGUAGCAUAGUCAUAAUACAAAACAUAUCAAUCCCAAGAUCAAUAAUAUCCAAAUUCGGCGCCUUCCCACAAUCCUCACUAGUACCUGAAACACAUUACACAUAAACACCGUAAGCAAGAAGCUUAGUGAGUUCCCACAUAUACCACUUACAAACAUACUGUUGGAUAUAGUGUCUAAGUCCAUAACUAUAUUUGGUAUGUACUUGACCCGACCCGGCAUGGUCCAUUUGGGUUGCACUUCACCCGAACAAUUUAUGGAUAAUAUUUGAGAAUAGUACAAGUUAUGAUUUAUUAAUAUAUUAUAAGUUCUAAUAUAUUAAUAUAAGAUCAUAUUAUUUAAUUAGUAGUGAUCUAUAAUUAAUCUAGGAUUAAUUUAGUGAUCAAAGAUAUUACUAAUUAAAUAUGGGCUUCUAUAUUUAUAUAGUGUGGGCUAGUGCUUAUUUGGAAUGGGCUAGGCUUGCAUGGGAAAAGUCCAUGGAUACUCUAUGGAGCUUUAACCCAUGGAUCUCAUGGAAAUGAAGAGACAUGGGUAUUAGGGUUUACAUGGAAGUAACGCUAAUCCAUCACACUAUAUAAAGGAGGCUUUAGUUCUUGAAAUCACACUAGUUGACACUUGUUGAGGUGAGGGCCGAUUUCAAGAUAGUAGUGACUAUUCUCUCAAAGUUCCAAGUUUGUGGUGAUUUGUGAUUUCCAUUUGAGGCAUCCACACUAUUGGUGCUAGGCUCUAAAACUCCAAGCAAUCAACUACAACUUCAAGGUAAGUAUUUCUACUAGCUUUAUUUGAUUCAUGUUCCCCAUGCCAUGCUAGUUAGGAUAUGAACCUUGGAAAAAUAAUUAUUUGCAUGUAUCUUAGACAAACAUAGAUCCAAGGUUUAUUAGGGUUGCAUGUACACUUAGGAAGUGUUAGAAUGCUCAAAACCCAUCAGUGGUAUCAGAGCCUAGGCUUGUUUGUUUGUUAUUUGUGCUUAAAAGUUGAAGAAAGUCGAAAAUUCUGCUGUCUGACUGAUGGACUCGGCGAGUCCAUGGGGAGGACUCGUCGAGUUCAUGUGUAUCUUCAACCUACUCGGCGAGUAGGUUUAUGCACUCGGCGAGUAGGGUCGACAGAGUGCAGAAUUUCGACUUGAGUUGCUGGAAAUGGAUUAGAAUCAUUACCCUAAAAUGUUUUGGUACUUGAAAACUUAUUUUAGAAGGUGUAAUGUCUUUUCUAACUCAUUUACAACAACUAGUUAUCAAAAUUACAAAGAUUAAAUGUGAUUUUGAUUCUUGAAAGUGUUCAUAUUCAUAUUCUUGUUCUUAUGAUGUUUAGAUGAUCAUAGGAAUUAUUUGUAACCUAUGUGGUAGAUUAAUUCAUGAUCAUAAUGUGUUUUAAUGGAGUCCAUAACUUGUCCUCAAGUUAUGGAAAACCAAAAGUCUCUUGGAUUAAAAACCAUUAAAAGAACACAAGAGUUAGGAAAAAUGAAAAGUCCUCAUUUUAUUACUCUAUUAAACUCAUAAGUUACAAGAAAUGAAAAGUUUUGAAAGUUUACAAAACUUGCCCUCAAGUUUUGGAACAAGUAAAGUUAAGUUAAAACUUUAGUUCCAACCCCUAGAAUUUUAAAAGUUAAAAUUCAACCCUUAUACUUAUAUUAUUAUGAUUUAAUAAUUAUAUAUAUAUGUAUAAGAACAAAGUCGUCUUACCGCUAGUACGCCUCAUUCACGAAGCCGGUCUAUAAGGUGGGUAUAAGGUUGUUGCCUAUAAAAUGGUGACUUAAUGGGUGUCCACUCUCACCCACCGCUUGCUUGAUCGGUGGAGGGUCGUUAGCCGAACGGGUAAGACAAGGACUUAUUAAUUCUCAUUCAAAGUAUGAUGAAUAUUAUAAAGUAACUAAAUGUUUUAUUAAAUUCCCAAUCUUAGUUACUUUAGGAAAAAUGUGAAUAAGGUGCUAUUCCAUGAAAUUACACUUUACACUUUGAUUAAGUCGUUGGUGGAGCGUGUGUGGUUAACCGGCACACUAACUUGGACUUAACAAGGUAGGUAAAGGGUGACUUAGGGUUUAUUAUAGUAUCGAUGGAGCGUGUGUGGUUAACCGGCACAUCGAUUGAGUGAUAAACUUUAAGGGUACCAAGUGAUUUGCAUGGUUACUUCACACCUCGUUUUGUGAUCCUCGGUAUCCCAGUCACAAAACUUGGAGGGCACACUCGAGAUUGAAACAUGCCUUUGAA
rnacentral:lncRNA from 1 species